UGGCGUUUUUCUGCAGGAGCGACCUCCUGGCGGACUGCGUGGGAUGCGCGGUGAAGACGAGGUCGACGCUCUGGUUCUUGAGCGCCUCGAACACCUCCGCGGGGGUCUUGCCGAGCGACACGAGGCGCUUGAGCGUCUCCUCGAUGUCGGACUCGGUGGUGGCGGAGCCCUCGUCGGAGAAGUCCCCGUGCUUGAGCUUGCUGUUCCGGCGGCGGUGCGCCAGCUCCACUUCCUCCGCCAGGUUGGCGAGGUUGAGCAUGUGCAGGAUGGAGCUCGCCACCAGGAUGGCGUCGGCGGGGGCCAGCCCCGUCAGCUUGGCUCCCAGCUCCCCCAGCUUGGACGUGUCUUUCUUGCCCUCGUAGUCGGCCGACACCUCGUAGCACUCCUGGACCUGCAUGCAUCGCAUUUGGGUAUAUAUAUAUAUAUAGUAAGCACCGGAUUCGAGACGUAUAGACUAUAGAGAGGUGAGCUGAUGAUGCUCUCAGCUCGAUCUGCUACGUACAAAUUCGCGAAGGCUGGGGCCAUGGAGGUCCUGGAGGAUGUCGAGGAAGCGGUCGACGAGCAGGGCGUCAUACUGGAUGAGCUCCUCGGAGACCUUGCCGGGUGCGAGGGCACGGAGCUGCGCGUCGAUGGAGUGGUGCCGCUCGGACGCCAUGGCGGCGGCGGCCGGGGAGUGGGCCGGGAAGCGCGAACGAAGCUGGAGAUGGUUGGAGCGCGGCGCGGCGUGUUGCUCGUGCUGCUCCUCUGCUGCGAGUUGAUUGAUCAAUGCAGGGCGCCGGCCGGUGGCUUCAAAUAGGGAUGGGGAGUUGGCGAGUGUGUGGUCGGCGUGUGCACGCGGGAUUGGAAAGGCAUGCAUGUGAUCGGCGGUAAGGGUAGCCGAGAGCUGCGCGCGGCUGUGGCUACGCUGCUUUUGGCUGGGAUCGCUGCUGUGGACGUACUUUGUCACUGCGCACUUGCCUGCUUGUGUUAUUCCGCUGGCUAAUUGCCUGUUUGCAGGACGUGGAGAGGGGUGUCUGCUAGUGCUAGCUAGUGGUAAGGAUGGGGACGACGCUUCAAAUAACUCCUCGUGGUUCUUCUCUAGUCUAACUAAACGAACUAAAUUAAAAAAAUAAGAAAGAAAUUGUUUAUUUAGUUUAUUAAGUUAGACUAGAGAAAAACCGCGCAAGUAUCCAUUUAGAGUACCAUCUUCAUUCUUAGCUAGUGGUAACCGCAAAGGGGACCGGGAGAGCUGCGGCCGCACCUUGCUCCUGGAUCGUUUUUGGCUUGGCUUUGCUGCUGUUGACGUGCUUUGUCACUGCUCACCUGCCUUCUUGUGUUAUUCGGUUGGCUGAUGGGUUUGCAGGAUGGGGAGAGGGGUGUCUGUUUGCAGUCAAGGCCGGAUUCUGGGGAUCGGUAGAAUUUGGAGGUUUGCUUGCACGCGAUGUGGAGAGAGGUGUCUGUUAGCAACGGAGGAUGCAUGGCGCUGGAGGAAGGCUUUGCAGGGUGUGGAGGAGAGGGUGCCUGUUAUCCAGUAAUGUUAAUGUUAGGAACAUAGAUGUCCUAUAUCCAUGUAAAUUGUGGAAACAGAACUUAAUUUCCUUAGGAGACCGGGAAACAAAAAAUGAACUUGUGGUUAAGGAUAUGGACUAUAAUUUUGUGGUUCAAAGAAAGGUAUUGGUAUACAUGGCUGCCGUAGGGAUAAGGGUCAUACAUGGCUGCCGUAGGGAUAAGGGUGUUGUUACUCUACCAAGGGCACCAUACAGGUGGCUGCACAGCAUUCAGGCGCUGCCAAAUCUAGCGCGCACAUCACUGGGUCAAGCCGACACAGAUUUGGACAAUACGAUGUGUAGCAGCUGGUGGUGGUGAAGAUAUGCGGAUUUAAGAGAGAGGUGGAUUUGGGUUGGGAGGAGCAACUUGCAUCGUCGUGGAUCUCCACACAAAAAAGAAGAAUUGGAAAUGUAUAAUACUAUACAUAUGCUUAAAUGAAAGUAUUUACUGAAUUGUGGAUCGAUGCAUUAAUUGUCAUCACAAGUGAAAAUUAGGUAAUAAUGAGUACUAGUUAAUAGUUGAGCACGGAAAAAGCAUCGAAUUUUGACCUUGCAUUUAGUACCACACCACAUCUCCUAACUCCUUAUUACAUGUCCCGAUCCUCAGCUUGCUGUCAACAUGUAUUAGUCGAGUAGGUCGAGAUCUGGAUCAACCAUGGCAAUAUAGAAUUCCCAAUUUCCCAUAUAUGCAAAAAGUAGCACUGCAAAUGUCCACUUUCAAUAGCAGUAGUUGUCACGUAUGAGUGUAAGUGCAUCAAUGCUAUCAGUGAGUUUUGUUGAAAAGAUGAUGACGCAUAUAAAGAGGUAAUGAUGUUUCAUGAGAUUUUCAGUUAUACAUCGAUGUGAAAAAGUGCAAAAAGAAACAUGGGACCCCUCAAUUCUUACUUUAAAGAAAAAUGCGGCAUUGCGUUUUCAAAGAAACAUGGAAAAAGCAUCGAAUUUUGACCUUGCAUAUACUACCACACCACAUCUCCUAACGCCUUAUAUCUCUACAUCCCUAUCAACACGCAUGUGUGCAUUAGAUCGAGCAGGUGUCGAGAUCUGGAUCAGCCAUGGCAAGACAUAAUUCCCAAAUUAAUUAAUUCCCAUAUGCAAAUAUUAGCACUGCAAAAUGUUCUAUUCUAACAGUAGUUCGUUGUCACGUAUGAGCAAAGCAGCAAACUAAUCUGUCACUCCAUCAAUUAGACAUCUCAAAAACAAAAGGAUGAGAUUAAAGGAAAAGACUAUAUAUAUAUAUAUAUAUAUAUAUAUAUAUAUAUAUAUAUAUAUAUAUAUAUAUAUAUAUAUAUAUAUAUAAUUCCUUAUAUAAUAUUUUUUUAAACUCAUGAGAACAUGCAUGUUUGACUCGAGAACUUAAUUAGUAGUAGUAAUAGCAUGCGGAGCACAUAAUAUGGUCCUACGUUGCGAUCCCUUGAAGCUUGUUUCUUCGCCAACAUAAGCUAAACAAAAAUACCGGCAUGACAUUUGAAAUAAAGUUCACAUUUACUAAAAGAUGAUCUUUUGGAGCACGAAACAGUUGAAUUUUCGUGUGCAGGGGAACUGGAAAUUUAGAGCCACGCAUUUUCGACAUGGAGACAAUUUAUUAGUAGUGAAAAAUUAGAAUCUAUGAUAGUUAUAGUUAUUAUUAGGUGCUACUAUUUUAAUGAGUUCGUGAUGAUUCAAUUGAAUCUAUGGUAACACCUGUGAUGCUUUUCAACGUGGAUUACACGAUUAGUGAUUUGAUCAAUACAAUUUUAUGGUUUAGAAGAUUUUGGCCAUGAAGACUUGUGCAACAUAUAUUACAGAAAAUGAUUGUGGUUGAAACAGAAGAAAAAUUGUUGGCCAAGAAAUUUAUGAUAAUGAAGUAACUGAAUAGGAAGAAUUAUUUUGAUGGAUGAAAUAAAUUUUGGCACCAAGAAAUUGAAAAUAGACGUCAAAAACAACAUCCGUUCUUGGACAAAUGCACAGCUAUGAUUAGGGACAAAUAGAGAUCUCUAUCGGUCGAAGUAUUCGCGCGCUCCCAACUCUUGCGUCCCUUCUACGCAACCUCACGUCUCCUGCACCAUGUAUCAGUGAAAAACACACAACGACCACUUAUCGCUCCCAGCUCUUAUGUCCCUUCUACACAGCCUCACAUCUCAUACACCAUGUAUCAGAGAAAAACACACAAUGACCACUUAUCAGAGAGUAAAAAUAUGAGCGUCUAGAAGCUUCUACACUUGAGAGCUUAGACACGAACAAAACGAAGAAGCCUCUACACUUGUACUACAAGGAGUGCAAAAAUGGCCGACAAUUGUUAUACUGUUGGGCAUUUACUUGCACCGUCGGGAAGUGUAAUGCCCGAGCGUGUACCGUCGGGAACCUCACGUCGAGCAUCCAUGGUCGGGCAUUCCCCCUUUUACGGACGGGUAGUCGGUCAUUGUGUGGCCGACCGUAUGUUUCCGACGGUUAACGCUCAACAAUUAGUUUGUAAACACGCCAAAAAGACUUUGGUCGGACAUGAAUUGCCGAGGGUACCCUAGUCGGGGACUUGUUACUUGACAAUUUUUUAAAAUCCAUUGGCAAAUAUAUACAGUCUGAGUUUUGUUGAACGACGGCUUUUUAAAACCCAUCAGAAAAUAUAUCCGGUCAGGAAUGCAUUGCAUGACGGGUUUUUAAAACCCGUCGGGAAAUAUAUUCGGUCAGAGAUUUGUUGCAUGACAGUUUUUAAAACCCAUCGAAAAAUAUAAUCUGUUGGGGAUUUGUUGUACGACGGUUUUUUAACCCAUCGAGGAACAUAUUAGCAACGGUGUUUAUUAACCAUUAGGAAAUAUAAUCGGUUGGGGAUUUGUUGCAUGACGGUUAUUGAACCCCAUCGAGAAACAUAUUAGCAAUGGUGCUUGGGAUAUUUUAUAGCCAUAAAUAAUUAAUAUUUAACAAUGAAGAUCAAUUCUAGAUGUACAUUCACACUAUAACUCACGACAUUUCAUAACCAGCUCUACAAUAUUGCAUAGUACAAUGAAAGUUUGAAGCCCAAUGACAACUAAACAAAGGUACGAACAAGAGAUUCUUAAAGUUUCUAAGAACAUUCUUCAACAUAACAUAAGUUAAUGUUUAGACUAAAAUACUUGACUAAGAUGCUGCUAUUCACAAGGCAUAACAAAUACUACUUAAAAGUGCCACACACUUCAUAUGUUGUAUAGAAUCUUUUCUCAUCAAUAGGUGCCAUCAUCAUCAUAACCAUGGUUCACAUAAUAUUUGCCAUCAUCUUGGGAACGAUAGACUUCAUCUUCAUAAUCAUAGGUAUCAUCCUCACUGUCAUCACCACUAUAGUUUUCUCCACCAAUGUUAUCCUACAGAAGUUGUAAAAUUAUUUCUAUAAACAUAUGAACUAACUUGAAUACAUAUAAGAUAGAUUUUAUAAUACUUAACUUGAAUACAUAUAAGAUAGAUCUUAUAAUACUUUGGCAUGAAUAUGCAACACAAAUAAUACUUACAUGUUCAGAUGCAUUAGGAACAGUUUUCUUAUGCUCUAUAGAGAAUGCAACCUCGGAUUCAGAAGUAGGUUGCAUGUCAUUGUUGACGGUCCUUAAUGCUCACAUUUAACCGUCAACUAAUCAUGGAAAAGGACCUAUAUGCAACCAACAUCCAAAAUUAGGGUUUCAUCUGACAGAAUUUCACGAGUUUUGGUGUUUGUCUAUUUCUGCAGGGGGUUAUGAGGAAAUAUGGAGGAAAGGUCCACACAUCGGGUUUACAUAGAGAUAUUAACGUGCACCGUAAUUAUCCAACAUCUAGAAGAGUCGAGAAGCCACGGGAACGAGCGGAUGGCCGAGCGGGCCCGGGGGCUGGGCGCCCGACCUCCCUCAUAGGGCGCCGCCCUGCUACAGGAGCCAAUCAGGCUCCGCCUCGCGGAUUAUGCUCCACCGACCGAACGAAUUAAGGAAAACCGUGCGAUUAAGGUCGGUUUGAUCCGACGGGCCAUGUUCAUUUGGAAGGGCUAUAUAAGCAGGCCCCCUGGCCCCUGGAGAGGAUAUUUCUUCUACACAAUCAAAGCUAGGGUUUCAAUUAUUCAUCCAAGUAGAGAGGAUCCCUCUAGUUCAUCUAGUUCUAGUUCUAGUUCAUCUAGUUCUAGUUCUAGUUAGUUCUAGUUGUAAUCUAGAAAAUAGGGAGAGAGAAGAGGAGAGCGGAGGAGGAGCCGGAUCUGUCGGAUCUUCCUCAACAUUAUACUUUUGCAGCAAUUGGUUUGUUCUUCAUCGUUGUCCAAGUUCUUCAAUUCAUAAUUCCUGAGUUCUUUAAUUACUUUUAUUUACAUUCAAGUUAUUUAUUGGAUUUCUGCUAACAUCAAGUGCUCUAGUCUUUGCAAUGCUAGAGUAGUAAUUAAUAGAUUAGACGUGGUGUUUAGUCUUGCAAUUACCUAGAAUUACACCCAAUCCUGUGGAUUAUUGUGGUAGCUCUAGGGUAGUGACAGACCUAACGGUCGACGUAUUCCACCUCGUUCGGAUCGGUGUUUGUAGGACCAUAGUCAGAGCUUCCUAGCCCCCUUCUCAUCUCUUUCUGUGGUUAGUGUUCUGAUGUCCCGAAAUAAAUAAUCUUUGAAGUAAUUCUUUAUUCUUAGAUCAACUAGAGAACUCUCAGGAAACUUCCUCUCUUCCCACCAAAAAUAAUUAUAUAGUUAUCCUUGGGCGAUCUUGAAUCUUAAUUAGUACACUCAUGUUCCCUGUAGAAAAUCGAUACUCUAGAAUACUCCUGGAUGAAAGCUACAUCGGUAUCCGUGCGCUUGCGGAUUUUUUCUGUUUGCGUUUAAAAUACCCAACAAGCUUUCUGGCGCCAUUGCCGGGGAACGGUAGUUGUGCUAGUUUCGAACCAAGUCGUACGUGUAUCCUUUUUCUUUUCCUUUUUUUUACCACACUCACCUUACCAUUUUCACCAUACCACAUGGAUUUCACUCCUAUCUAUAAAUUAUUUGCUCCAAAGGGCGAGUUAUUAGAGCCACCACCAUCAUCACAUCCAAUUCUUACAGAUGGCUACGACCUCGGCCCUGAUCUAAUAGCCAUGAUUCAGGAGCAACCCUUCUCUGGGCAAGUAGAUGAAGAUCCAUACACCCACCUUAGAGAAUUCGAGCAGUUGUGCUCUUGCCGAUCUAUUUCCGGCAUGACACAAGAAACCCUUAAAUGGAAAUUAUUUCCAUUCUCCCUUUUGGGAAGAGCAAAAAAGUGGUAUGCUCAUUCUGUAGGAGGCGUUAAUGGAAAUUGGGAUGAACUUCAGGACAACUGUUGUCUCGCUUUCUUCCCACUUUUUCGAAUCGCUGACCUUAGAAUCAAAAUUCUUACAUUCAAACAAAGAGAGAAGGAAACUUUAGGAGCAGCUUGAGCUAGGUUCACAAGCCUUACCAAUUUCAGUCCAAACCUUUUCAUGCCUGACCAUGUACUAUACUACCACUUUUAUCGUGGUCUAAACAAGGAAGCUGCUCUUCACCUCGACAUUGCUUCAUGAGGCUCAUUCGCACACAAACUCAUAGAUGAGGGGAGAGCUAUCCUAGAGAGAAUCCUUGAAAAUAUCCCUUACACAGCCAUUUAUGAUGAGUUUCCUAAAGAAGAAAAAGAAGUCGAGCCUGAUCCUAAACCAAAAGAUGAGGAACUUGCAACCGAGUUAGAAAUUCCACCUGACCCAUCUAUUAAUUUGGUUGUAGAGAAACCUCCUGAUAAGGGAAUGCAAAACCAACUAAGGGAUAAUGAACCACCACCUUUAGAGCAUUCCUUUGAAUUCGAGGAAGAUCUUUUUGAAGAUUAUGGAAACGCCUCGAAUUUUCUUAUCCAAACACGACCUCUAGCAGGGACCACUCAAUCCGUUCUAAGAGUAGAAUCUGUUGACAUAGAACACAUCAAAUGCCUUUCGGCUAUUCUGAGUUAUGAAUGGCUAACAGAAGCAGAGCUGUCUCCUGAGGUAGCUCAGAUCAUCACUCCUUCAACCAUUCUUCUGUGCAAAAUUAGAGGGUCCGCUAGGAAGGUCCACUACAAUCCACAUGUUGGGAUAAAUGUUAUUUCCAAGGAGUUAGCUCACACUCUUUAUCCCAAUGAGUCCAUAACCCCAUCUCAAAAACUUUUACAAAGUCCAUCUGGAUUAAUUCUAGAAAGCCAUGGGGGUAUUAAGGGCAGUUCCUGUUAGAAUCAAGGACUCUGGAAUAUGUCUAGAUUUUCACAUUUUUGACAUACCGGAGAUUCCUCUCUUGAUUGGCAGACCAAUCAUGAAACUUCUACAAGAACAACCACAACGAGGUCAUUUAGACUUCAAUGUUGGGAAUUCCACUAUUGUUGUUCCUCUUGCUAGAUCAAUUAACACGAUAGUGGAACCCAAACUUAAACUAGAUCCUAUUGAGGAGAUCUUAAUGCUGACUCAAGAGGAGAUGGCCCAACCAUUCUUUAAUCAUGAACACUUUGUUCAAGAAGAAGAAGAGUUGGUAUAACCUGUUGAGCUAGACAAAAAUGAACAACCUUCACCUCCUUCGAUAGAGUUAAAACCUCUUCCUUCUGGCCUUAGAUAUGUCUUUUUGCACAACAACCCAAAAACUCCAGUAAUUAUCAGUGACAAGCUUUUCGAUUAUGAAACACAACAACUUGUCACUGUUCUUGAAAGGCAUAGAUCAGCAUUUGGCUACUCUCUUGAAGAUCUCACGGGCAUUAGUCCCAUUCUCUGCACUCAUCGUAUCCCUAUUGAUCCCAAUUUUACACCUUCAAGGGAACCACAACGGAGACUUAACAAUGCUAUGCGAGAGGUUGUUAAGAAAGAGGUCCUCAAACUCUAUCAUGCUGGGAUUAUUUAUCCUGUGCCACAUAGUGAGUGGGUUAGCCUUGUCCAAGUAGUGCCAAAGAAAGGAGGAAUGAGAGUCGUUAGGAAUGAGAAGAAUGAACUCAUCCCUCAACAAAUUGUCACUGGGUGGCGUAUGUGUAUUGACUAUCGAAAACUCAACAAGGCUACAAAGAAAGAUCACUUUCCGUUACCCUUCAUUGAUGAAAUAUUGGAACGGCUUGCAAACCACUCUUUAUUUUGUUUCCUUGAUGGUUAUUCUGGAUAUCACCAAAUCCCAAUCCACCCAGAUGACCAAGAAAAGACUACCUUUACAUGCCCGUAUGGAACUUAUGCAUACCGACGAAUGUCGUUCAGAUUGUGCAAUGCUCCAGCUUCUUUCCAACGGUGCAUGAUGUCUAUUUUCUCGGACAUGAUUGAGAAGAUCAUGGAGGUUUUCAUGGAUGAUUUUAUCGUAUAUGGCAAAACCUUCGAUCAUUGUUUGGAGAAUUUAGAUAAAGUCUUGCAGCGAUGUGAAGAAAAGCACUUAAUCCUGAACUGGGAGAAAUGCCAUUUUAUGGUUCAGGAAGGAAUAGUGCUAGGACAUAAAGUGUCCGAACGUGGUAUAGAGGUGGACAAAGCAAAGAUUGAAGUUAUUGAAAAACUUCCACCUCCCACGAAUGUGAAAGGAAUCCGUAGCUUUUUGGGACAUGCAGGGUUCUAUAGACACUUUAUCAAGAACUUCUCUCAAAUUGCUAGACCCCUAACUAGUCUCCUAGCUAAGGAUGCACCUUUCAUCUUUAGUGAUGAGUGUCAUGAAUCUUUUCAAACUCAUAAGAAAGCACUCAUCUCAGCCCCGAUUAUCCAACCACCUGAUUGGAAUCUUCCUUUUGAGAUCAUGUGUGAUGCUAGCGAUUUUGAGGUUGGUGCCGUUUUAGGACAAACCAAGGAUAAAAAGCAUUAUGCCAUAUCCUACGCUAGCAAAAUCUUGUCUGGACCACAGCUCAAUUACACUACAACUGAAAAAGAGAUUUUGGCUAUUGUCUUUGCUAUUGACAAGUUUAGAUCUUACUUAGUGGGGCAAAGAUAAUCAUCUAUUCAGACCAUGCUGCUCUCAAGUACCUCCUCACUAAGAAAGAUGCUAAGCCUCGUCUAAUUCAAUGGAUUCUUCUACUCCAAGACUUUGACAUAGAAAUCCAAGAUAGGAAGGGAGUAGAGAAUUCCGUAGCCGACCACUUGUCUAGGCUUCAAUAUAAGGAAACACAUGAUGAGCUUCCCAUAAAUGACUACCUAAGGGAUGACACCCUGCUUAAGAUAACACAUGUAAAUCCAUGGUACGCAGACAUCGUAAACUUUAUAGUAAAAGGCUAUGUCCCACCUGGUACAAACAAAAGGAAGUUGCUUCACGAUUGUCGUUUCCACCAUUGGGAUGAGCCAUAUUUUUUCCGAGUCUGCACUGAUGGACUCUUGAGAAGGUGUGUUCCUAUGGCUGAGGCUACCCAAAUUAUGGAAAGAUGCCACGCCUCGCCAUAUGGAGGACACUAUGGAGCAUUCCGGACACAUGCUAAAAUUUGGCAAAGUGGCUUUUUCUGGCCAACGAUGUAUGAAGAUACAAAGGACUUUGUCAGGAGAUGCCACCGAUGUCAAAAACAUGGGAAUAUCAACUCACGAAAUGAAAUGCCUCUCACAAAUAAUCUUCAAGUAGAACUUUCCGAUGUAUGGGGCAUUGAUUUCAUGGGGCCAUUCCCUAUGUCCGGGAAUUGCGAGUAUAUCUUAGUAGCUGUGGACUACGUGUCCAAAUGGGUAGAAGCCUGUUGACACUUGCUAACACCACUUGAAUACUAGGUUGUCAUCCCCAGCAUAGCACUAGAGUGUACUAUGGUAUUUAUACGCACACAGAUAAUCCGCAAGCGCACGGAUACCGUUGAAGCUUUUACCCGGUUAAAGGUUUUAUCGUAUCCACAGGGAAACGGGAGAACCAACUACGCUCUAACUUAACCAAAAUAGGAAAGAUGGUAGAAUCGAAUAAGAACAAUAUUAAAGGUAAGAUAACAGUGAGUGAUAAUAUGGGAAUAGAGAAUAGAGCAAUUCUAGUAUAUGGGCGAUGGUAGCAGAAUAGAGAGAAUAACUAUGGUUUCUCUACUUCAAAGGGGUAUGUCUAUGUCUGGGACGAACCACGUGAUAAGAUUACACCAGAAAGGAUGCUUAUCCAUAGGCCGAUAAACACUACCCAUCCUGCUAACGAGAGGUGGACUACAGAGGACCAACGUAACUGUCACCUACGCGGCCUACCACAUGAUCCACCUAGACAGGGGAUAUCCACAAGUAAUCUAGGUCUAAGCACCACGCUUACACCUAUACUACAACUCUAACCUAUAGCGUCCUAUAUAGAUUAGAAGUACUCAAAAGAGUUGUGAACCAGAACAUACAUGAUUAGUAAUUGCAUAAUGAAUUAGAAGUAGAUUACUAGAGUCAUCCCUUGAGCAAGCUUGAUUAGAGCUUGAUCAUGACGAAGUACAACCGGAGGAAGAACCGACAGGCCGGCCUCUCCUCUAAUCCUCCUUCGCUCUCCAUCUUGCUACUAUCUAGAUCUACUCUAGUUUAGAGAAGAGAGGAGAGCUCUCAUCUCUAAACCCUAGCUUUUGCUCUGUCUAUGAAUAAUGAAUAAUGUUCAAGGGGUGCCUCCUCCAGGGGCCAGGGGGUCUGGUUAUAUAGUCUUUUCAGAUGAAUCUGGGCCGUCGGAUCAAACCGACAUUGAUCGUGUGGUUUUCCUUGAAGUAUUAGGUCGGUGGAGAUCUCCCGAGAGAAAGAGUCCCGAUUGGGCUCCAGAGGUGGGCGGGCGCCCAGGGUAGGAGGGCGGGCGCCCUGCCUCUGGCCCCGUUCGGUCUCUGCUUGCUUCCCGUGGCUUCUGGAGUCUUCUAGAUGGAAGAUAAUUGCGCGGCACGUUAAUAUCUCUAUGUAAUUCCGACGUGUGGGCCUUUCUUCCGUAUUUCCUGAUAACCCCCUGCAGAAAUAGACAAACACCAAAACUCGUAGAAUUCUGUCAGAUAAAACCCUAAGUCUAGAUGUUGAUUUCAUUUGGAUCCUUUUUUUUGUUUAUGUGAUAAUUAAAUUUGAUACUUAAGGACCAUCAAUAAACUCCCCCAAGCUUACCUCUUGCUUGUCCCUGAGCAAGGAUAGACUCAGCAAUGGAUCAGAAGUUGUUGCAAUAUCUUAAAAAUUUGACGGUACACAUGCUUUUAAAUAAGAUCUCAUCUCUGAGUUAGAGUAAACUGUCAAGAACUAAAACUUACUUACUUUACCUUUCACCAUGGGACUUGUAACCGUCACUUCUGUCUUGAGUAGUUAAAAGAUAGAACAGUCUAGCCAAGUGCCAUGUCUCUUAUUCUUGAUCAGCUAUAGCUCUGGAGUUUUUACAGAUUUUCAAAUAAAACUCAGAGAUUCCUUGUAUGACUCUCUCAAUCUCUCUUUGGUGGUAUUUCUGGAUCCUUACCAAGGCAGUGAUGGUAUAUGCCUUCUCUCAAGAUAUGUGGUAUUUGUGGUAUAAGGCAUAGUGACAUUGCCUUCUCUCUCACCCUACUCUAAUAAGGCUUUAAUAUCUGGAGCUCAUAGGUGGGAGAUAAAGUAUACAUACUUACAAGACAUUUAUUGUAUAGUCAAACCAUGGAUCCAAAGAAACAAAUCAAUAAGCCAAAUCAAGAUGUGCAUGUGUGGCGAAUGAAUGGUGUAUGGUGAUGAUGGUGAUAACAAUGGUGGAAGUCUAAUUCUACUUUUGCUCUUUUGAGGGGAUACAUACCUUCCUUGCUUUUUGAAACUUUAUGAGGAGAAUGAGAUGCUCUUCUUUUUCUUUUCUCUCAGGUGGGUAUCCUGUACCCCUAAUUCUACUGUCGGACACUUGUCUAUUUUUACCUCUCGUCUCACUCUUUUUUUUUCUUUCGAGGUUCCGGGCACUUGCCCCUUUUUAUUUCCUCGUUUAUUAUUUUUUUCUCUUUUUUUUAGAGCACUCAUCUGUUGAGAUAAUAUAGCAAGUGGUAGUAGCAAGAUAACUUGAGCAUUUAUUUCACAAGGGAAAACAGAAAUAUUUUUGGCUAUUCUUUCCCGGAUUAGGAGUAGAAUAUUUUUGGGUGGUUCUGGAGAUGGACAUGGAUGGAUAUAUGUGGAUGGUACUUCCGGAGUAGAAGUAGCAUAUAUGAGUAAACGUGCAAGUGAAUCUUGAUUUAACCACAUGACAAGCUCCUAAGGGUCUGCACAGCUUGACCACACUCAAUGCUCAUAAGCAGUAAAUAAUAAAUAUGUGGCUCAAAGUCUAGCAAGCAUGUAUAUAUGGCUGUGGUAGGAAUUUAAACUCUCAUCAUACAGGAACUCAUCAUGCAACAUUUUAAAGAUUUUCAAAGAUAAAAUUCUCCAGAUUUCUAGCAUCUCUAGGAACAGAUAAAUAGCAACUCAACCUUCCCAUAUCAUAUCCGUUAACAACUUAGAUUUCAGAUCAAGUUUUCAUCCCACAAGUUUAGAUCUAGAGCAAGCUUUAAAUUAUAACAGUUAUGUCUAAACUUGAGAGAGAGCUUCAAAUUUGCAAAUUAGGCAGAGUAACUAUUCAUCAUAUCCAUGCUAGAGUUUUAUUAUUAAGAUUCAGAUUAGCAUAGCCACUUUAUUUAUUUAUUAAACACACUAAGCAAAAGAUAUAUAUAUAUAAGCACAAAAUCUUUAUUUGGUUUUUCAUAGUUUAUGUAUUUUAAUAUUCUAACAUAAUAUAAGUAUAAAGAUAGGUAGAAAUACUUAGCGAGAUAAAUGGGGGUGCUCUCCCCCAAGCUGAAUUUUGACGUAAUUUCUCUUGCUGUAGCUAGCAGGUGGCAAAGGUGUAUUUGAAAGUUAGCAACAUUCUGACAACGAUUAGAAUGUCCUCCGUCUGCUAGUCUUCUUGAUUCUUAAAUUCUGUGGAGCUCAAAUAGACAACAAAGCUCGUGGAACUAAGUGUUAGCAUAAAUAUCUAGCCUUCAUCAUGUUGAGCUUCCUCAAUAAAUAUUACUCCCUAUUUUUAUAUUUUUAUUUUAUAAAGCAGAAAAGAAAUAUUUAUUUUAUUUUUAUGCCACCAUAGUGAAGGUACUUAUGGGUUUUAUGCCACUCGUAUACUCACAUGGGGCUUAGUAUUUUUUAACAUUUUUAUUUUCUUUUCAAGAUAGCAUGAUUAACUAAUAAUCUAUUUAAAGAAAGUAAAUAAUUAAAGGGAAAAGGGAAUGCAGAAAGGAUAAAUAUGGAUAACUACCGAUCUUACCUUUCGGCGAGGGUUCAAUGUUUUAAGUCUUUUUAACAAGACUUCUCACCGUGUUCAUUCUUUAGGUGCGUCAUUUGAUUCAGGUGCGGACCUUGACAUCUGCACCUCUUGAUACGGUGUCACCCAUGUUCUUCGUUUGCCCAGCAGUUCGAAGUGCGGCGUUGGCAGUAUCCUGCUCAGUGUGUUUGUGCUCGUAGAUCCAGGUCCUUCACUUGGUAGAGUCUGAGAGUUAUAAAACUCCUCCGUGUUUUGCUCAAAGUGUACCUGCUCAUAGAGACAAGGCAGAGAUCAAGUGCAUGGGUCCUGUUGGUGGAAAACACCAACAGAACCUAAAGUGUAUUUGUUGUUCUCUAACCCUAAGCAUAGUGAGCAAGACAAAGUUGAUGGAUGAAAAGUUCAUGAGUGUAGCACUUAUAACAUUUGUCAGAUCAGAUCGCUCAACCUUAUGGAAAGAUAAUUUAUCUAUGUAUAUGUCUUUUUCUUUAUAUCUCUCAAUGAUUGAAUGUGUAACAUUUUAGCUCAUAUGAUUAGGAGUGUGGGAUCAUGGAGGUAGUACUAAGAAUAAGGAUUAAAGGACUAAACAUGUUGAAUCAGUUGGGUUGGUUAAUCUAGACUUGUAAAUCAUACAUGUUUGUCUCUUUUAUUUAUAUGAACGCCAAAACCAAGGAGAAGCUUAUAAAAGUGAUAGUCAAGUACCUUAAGAUGUUACCUUGCUUGAAGAGUGAUGGUACAGUAUCACCUUGUGGAAGCUUUCCUUUCUUAGUGGUUGUGCAUCGUGUUUGUGGCACCCUCCAUGGAUCAUCUCUCUAUGAUGAAUGAGCUAUGUCCUUCUUGUGCAAAUUGUUAAACUUCAUGUGUCACUCUCUUCAUCUCUGAUGUGAGUUUAUCUCAAGACUUCCCAAAUCGAUAUUGAAAGUUUUUCUGCAGGGGUUAGUCCGACAAAAAUAUACCAAUGUCUACACAAGUAGUUUUUAGUUCAAUAACCGAAUUAGACUCCAUGUCUAAUCAGAUUAAGGAAGGCUGUUUAACCUAAGCACCAUGCUUAAUUUAAAAGCCAAUAGAAGUAUGUGCUGUACUUCCAAACUAACACUUACUAGUAAAUAGACAAAGGUAGCAUGACAGCAUUUAUAGAGAUCUACUCAAGUGGAGAUGAAGUAGUGUGAUUAGUAUUUAACAAAUUGAGCAUGUCUUAAAGGUAGGGACAACCAACAUAGCAACAUGACAAAGGAUGUUUUUAUGUAAAGUACUCCCCCAAGCUUGAAUUUUGCAGAAUUCAAGUUUGGAUGAAUUUAAUUCAAUGUUGUAUGAUGAUUGGUUGGACAUACCUUGUGCUUGUCAUUCAUCCGAUCUUCUUGUUCCAAUCCUGGAAAGGUUAGUGACAAGAAUACCCGAAGGAAUAUUUUUACAAUUAUCCUUAUAUGCUCAAUACACAAGGUAAUGUUGCAAAUAAUUAAAAACUCAUGUUACGAUCUGAUCAGCGCUUAUUUUAAGGCACUAAGCUUGUCCUUGGGAAACCAUCAAUUUAUGUCGGCGAAGUGGUUUCCCUUCCAACGCUGACCUAAAUCAAGAUUAACUCAAUGAGAUCUGCAAUAUUUAUUAUAGACAUAUGCAUCGACAACCGCCCUUUUAAAGUUUUUAUAAAUAGAAAGGAAGAGGGGCUUGGAGAUCUCAAAUGUGGUGAUGUUGGAGAGACCAAUAGAUUGGGAAGAUGUUGCAUAUGAGCAUGGAGUAAACGAAGUGGCUAUGAAAUAAAUUCCAUGCUCAUUAAUGUUAUCUUCGCCUCCAAUCUGAAUGUUCGGAGUUUCACCUUGAUUGGUCUCACCUAUGUCCUCUUCUGUAGUUGGAUGAAUCUUAUCUUCAAAGGGAGUCAAGAACUCACCAUUUGAAAUUGAGCCAAAGUCAGAAUCCAUUAAGGCUUCUUCCUUAUCCAUCCAUUCUACACAUUCUAGCCAUUUAGAACUUGUGAUCAGGAAAGGGGAGGUGUUAGAAUUUUCAAUAUGGCUUAGCUCUCCUUCACUUGAUAUGUCAUCCUCGACUUCUUCAUAACAGGAACCAGGACAUUCUCUAAGAGAACCAUUAUUGCGAGGAUUUGAAUUAUCCCUGCUUGAAGGUCUCUUAUGGAACCAUAAGUCUAAACCAUCAGCAUCUGAAAGAUUUAAGGUUGGAAUUCCUUCCUCCCUUGGAGAAUUUUGGGGUAUUGAUGGUUUAGGAUCGAUAGCUAAAGUUUGGAAUUGAAGUGGUUGUGAUCUGGCUAUCGAAACUUCUUCUUCUUGUCUAGAAACUGGUUCUGUCUCUUUCUCAGGGAUAUAAAAGCUAGGAGACUUUCCGCUCAUUAAAUCAAUCAAAUUCCAAGCUUCACUAGCGGAUAGGUGGUGGAAAGAUCCUCCAGAGGCCGCAUGAAGGGUUUGCUUAUCUUUCCUACUAAGGCCCUCAAAAAAGUGAAUUAGAAGAACUUCUUCUGGAAUAGAAAGCUUUGGGCCAGUGAGAGUAAGGUUAAUAAAGCGGUCCCAUGAUUUGCCAAGAGAUUCUUCUUCCAGUUGUCUAAAAGAAAUAAUCUCACGUCAAAGUUCCGCCACUUUAGAGAUUGGAAAAUAUUUUAAAAGAAAACUAUUAUGUAACUCCUUCCAAUCUCCAUGAACACUCCCUAUUUUGAGUUUGUAUCAAUGUCUAGCUUUUCCCGUUAAAGAGAACGGAAAGAGCUUCCAUUUAAGGGUCUCAUCGGACAUUCCUUCUAUGCGAAGGAGGUCACAGACUCGAUAAAACUCUCUUAGGUGUGUGUAUGGGUUUUCCUCACCUUCUCCUGAGAAAGGUUGUUUUUGAACAAAUUCUAUGUAUUCGGGGUCUAUCUCAAAACUAGAUGCUAUGAUAGGUUUUGAAGAUUUUGGUGGUUCGAGAUGUGUACCCGUAGGUCUAUGAAAUUCAUAGAUAGACAUGUUUGAAUUCAUGAUAGACCAGAGAUCAAGGAUUAGAUAAGAAGAAAGAUUAGCAGAGAUGAGGCAAAGGAUAAAAGGAAAAUAUAUUUUUUAUUAUUAUUAUUUUUUUAGAAAAUGAUUAAGCUAGUUCGUAGUCAACUCAGCAACUGUUUCCCCGGCAACGGUGCCAAAAAUACUUGUUGACACUUGCUAACACCACUUGAAUACUAGGUUGUCAUCCCCAGCAUAGAACUAGAGUGUACUAUGGUAUUUAUACGCACACAGAUAAUCCGCAAGCGCACGGAUACCGUUGAAGCUUUUACCUGGUUAAAGGUUUUAUCGUAUCCACAGGGAAACGAGAGAACCAACUACGCUCUAACUUAACCAAAAUAGGAAAGAUGGUAGAAUCGAAUAAGAACAAUAUUAAAGGUAAGAUAAUAGUGAGUGAUAAUAUGGGAAUAGAGAAUAGAGCAAUUCUAGUAUAUGGGCGAUGGUAGCAGAAUAGAGAGAAUAACUAUGGUUUCUCUACUUCAAAGGGGUAUGUCUAUGUCUGGGACGAACCAUGUGAUAAGAUUACACCACAAAGGAUGCUUAUCCAUAGGCCGAUAAACCCUACCCAUCCUGCUAACAAGAGGUGGACUACAGAGGACCAACGUAACUGUCACCUACGCGGCCUACCACACGAUCCAGCUAGACAGGGGAUAUCCACAAGUAGUCUAGGUCUAAGCACCAUGCUUACACCUAUACUACAACUCUAACCUAUAGCGUCCUAUAGAUUAGAAGUACUCAAAAGUGUUGUGAACUAGAACAUACAUGAUUAGUAAUUGCAUAAUGAAUUAGAAGUAGAUUACCAGAGUCAUCCCUUGAGCAAGCUUGAUUAGAGCUUGAUCAUGACGAAGUACAACCGGAGGAAGAACCGACAGGCCGGCCUCUCCUCUAAUCCUCCUUCGCUCUCCAUCUUUCUACUAUCUAGAUCUACUCUAGUUUAGAGAAGAGAGGAGAGCUCUCAUCUCUAAACCCUAGCUUUUGCUCUGUCUAUGAAUAAUGAAUAAUGAUCAAGGAUUGCCUCCUCCAGGGGCCAGGGGGUCUGGUUAUAUAGUCUUUUCAGAUGAAUCUGGGCUGUCGGAUCAAACCGACAUUGAUCGUGUGGUUUUCCUUGAAGUAUUAGGUCGGUGGAGAUCUCCCGAGAGAAAGAGUCCCGAUUGGGCUUCAGAGGUGGGCGGGCGCCCAGGGCAGGAGGGUGGGCGCCCUGCCUCUGGCCCCGUUCGGUCUCCGCUUACUUCCCGUGGCUUCUGGAGUCUUCUAGAUGUAAGAUAAUUGCACGACACAUUAAUAUCUCUAUGUAAUUCCGAUGUGUGGGCCUUUCUUCCGUAUUUCCUGAUAACCCCCUGCAGAAAUAGACAAACACCAAAACUCGUGGAAUUCUGUCAGAUAAAACCCUAUGUCUAGAUGUUGAUUUCAUUUGGAUCAUUUUCUUUGUUUAUUUGAUAAUUCAAUUUGAUACUUAAGGACUGUCAACAAAGCCCUACCUUGUCGAUCAGCUGAUUCAAAACAUGCCAAGAGAAUGUUCCAUGAAGUAAUCUUUCCUCGCUUUGGUAUACCCCGAAUAGUUAUAAGCGAUGGAGGUUCCCACUUCAUCGACAAAAUCUUCCGGAAGUACCUAGCUGAUCAUGGAGUUGGACACAACGUCGCAACACCAUACCAUCCUCAGACUAGCUGUUAAGCCGAAACAUCUAACAAACAAAUCAAAAAUAUUUUACAAAAGACCAUAGAUGAGAUGGGUAAGGGGUGGAAGGACAAACUUCCUGAUGCAAUUUGGGCAUAUAGAACUACAUUCAAAACACCCAUAGGCAUGUCACCUUAUCAACUUGUAUAUGGAAAAACUUGUCAUUUGCCUGUGGAAGUAGAGUUUAAGGCUCAUUGGGCACUCAAGAAAUGGAACAUGGAUCUCCACCUCGCUAGCGAGAAUCGUCUGAUGCAACUAUCUCAGCUAUAAAAAUGGAGAGAGAAAGCCUACCAUAAUUCAAGGAUCUAUAAAGAGAGAACAAAAUGAUGGCAUGAUAAGAGAAUCAAGCACAAGGAGUUUAAGCCUGGAGAUAAGGUUCUACUAUUCAAUUUAAGAGUUAAGCUCUUUAGGCAUGGUAAGCUACGAAGUAAGUGGGAUGGACCAUACAAGGUUAUUGACACUUCAACUCAUGGAGCCAUUAUCAUCCAAGACGACAUAGGUAACACUUUUAAGGUAAAUGGUCAACGCUUGAAAAUCUAUCUCGAGCCACAAAACAACCUGGUAGAGGAACUUGAUGUGAUUGAGUUCAUAGAAUUCUCACAUUAAGCUCUCAUAAGCUCUAGACAAUUACCUAACCCUUAACAUGCUCCACGAGUUUUGUUGUCUAUUUGGGUUGUGUAGGAUUUUGAGGCUUAAGAAGAGUGAGACCGAACAUGCAAGCCACAAGAGUGAACGACUAUGUCAACAUCCAGCUUGGGGGAGGCACCCCCACGUGUAUCUAGAUAAGUAUUACUUUUCUUUCUUGGUUUUAUUUACUAGUAUUUGGAAAUAAAUAAAAAAAUGCAUAACUAUGAAACCAAACAAAGUUUUUCUUUUGAGUAAUAUACAAUAGUUUUGUGUAAUCCUAAGUUUUAAAUAAAAUAAAAAAAGUUUGAUCCAUGUCUAGGUAAUUGACAAACAUGAUAUCAGAAGGUCUGAGCUACUAUUUAACUUGUUCCAAGUUUCGCUAGAGUUCUAGAGAUUUUAUCUUUUGAAAAUCUAAAAAUUCAAAAAAAAGAGAUCCUGUUUGACAUAAUACCUAGAGUCUUAUAAGAUAUAAAUAUUAAAACUGUGGACACUUGCUUUGUUCAAGCCAUUGUUAAUUCUUGUGGUUUUGGUUGAGAGAAUUAUCAUGCUCCAAAGAUCAAGAUCUUUUUGUUUUAAAAAUAUAAAAGAUUCACUCUUCCGAAGUAUUAUUGCGUUAGAGGCAUGGGACUAUGCAAAAUUUUGAUUCGAAAAAAAAGAGUGAGACGAGAGAUAAAAAUGGACAAGUGUCCGAAGUAGAAUUAGAGGUACAAAGAUACGUGUCCGAUAGUAGAAUUAGGGGUACUUGGUGCCCACUUGAAAAAAAAGAGAGAAGAACAAAAAGAAAAAAAAGAGAGAGAGACUGAAAAAAAGAGAGAAAAAAAUGAUAGCCCAUGGUCCCUCUAAUAAGCAAUAUGCCAGUAAGAGAUGAUAAACUUUUCAAAAAGGUCAAAGGUCUUGAUCUAGGAGUAUGACAUUCCUCUCCCUUGCUCCGAGCAUUGAUAUAGCAAAAUGCAAAGUAAGUAUGCUAAAACUUUUAAAGCUCUACUUAUAUAUCUUUCGAGAAGAAGGCAAAUGCCUCAGUUUUAUUUUGGAAACUUACAAAAAACUCCAGAACAAAGGUAAGACAGAAGAACUUGAGACGUAGUGCUUGACUUGAUCGUUCUGUUUUUCAAUCACUUAAGAACUUAGUGAUAACUUAAAAAACCCUGUAGUAAGAGACAUAAAAGUAACCCCUGUUUUCUUGCUGAUUUUAGCUUUGCUCAGGGAUGAGCAAAGGUUAAGCUUGGGGAGCUUGUUGACGGUCCUUAAUGCUCACAUUUAACCGUCAACUAAUCAUGGAAAAGGACCUAUAUGCAACCAACAUCCAAAAUUAGGGUUUCAUCUGAUAGAAUUCCACGAGUUUUGGUGUUUGUCUAUUUCUGCAAAGGGUUAUCAGGAAAUAUGGAGGAAAGGUCCACACGUCAGGUUUAUAUAGAGAUAUUAACAUGCACCGCAAUUAUCCAACAUCUAGAAGAGUCGAGAAGCCACGGGAACGAGCGGGAGGCCGAGCGGGCCUGGGGGCUGGGCGCCCGCCUGCUAUAGGAGCCAAUCAGGCUCCGUCUCGUAGAUUAUGCUCCACCGACCUAAAGGAUUAAGGAAAACCGUGCGAUUAAGAUCGGUUUGAUCCGACGGCCCAUGUUCAUUUGGAAGGGCUAUAUAAGCAGGCCCCCUGGCCCCUGGAGAGGAUAUCUCUUCUACAGAAUCAAAGCUAUGGUUUCAAUUAUUCAUCCAAGUAGAGAGAAUCCCUCUAGUUCAUCUAGUUCUAGUUCUAGUUCAUCUAGUUCUAGUUGUAAUCUAGAAAAUAGGGAGAGAGAAGAGGAGAGCAGAGGAGGAGCUGGAUCUGUCAGAUCUUCCUCGACAUUGUACUUUUGCAGCAACUAGUUCGUUCUUCAUCGUUCUCCAAGUUCUUCAAUUCAUAAUUCCUGAGUUCUUUAAUUACUUUUAUUUAUAUUCAAGUUAUUUAUUGGAUUCCCGCUUGCAUCAAGUGCUCUAGUCUUUGCAACGCUAGAGUAGUAAUUAAUAGAUUAGACGUGGUGUUUAGUCUUGCAAUUACCUGGAAUUGCACCCAAUCCUGCGGAUUGUUGUGGUAACCCUAGGGUAGUGACAGCCCUAACGGUCAACAUAUUCCACCUCGUUCAGAUCGGUGUUUGUAGGACCAUAAUCAGAGCUUUCUAGCCCCCUUCUCAUCUCUUUCUGUGGUUAGUGUUCUGAUGUCCCGAAAUAAAUAAUCUUUAAAGUAAUUUUUGAUUCUCAGAUCAACUAGAGAACUCUCAGGAAACUUCCUCUCUUCCCACCAAAAUAAUUAUAUAGUUAUCUUUGGGCGAUCUUGAAUCUUAAUUAGUACACUCACGUUCCCUGUGGAAAAUCGUUACUCUGGAAUACUCCCGGGUGAAAGCUACAUCAGUAUCCGUGCGCUUGUGGAUUUUUUUGUUUGCAUUUAAAAUACCCAACAGUCAUGCAUAUAUUAGUUUACACUUUGAAGAUCAGUUUACUUUAAUAAUUUGUGCUAUGUGAGCUAGAAGUUAAACUUACCAAGUUACUUCCAGUUUCCUGAGCUAACAUAUCAAAGUCCAUUCCUUGUUUAGCAACAAGUGUCUGUAAAAACAUCAUGGGUUCGAAAUAGGUAUUUAUUUGUACGCAUGUUUUUAUUCUAAUGAUAGUUACCCGCACAACAUGUUCAAGGUUGCUAUAUUUAUUUUGUAGCUGCAAAUUUUCCCUUUCAAGUCGAUUCUCUUUAGCAGAAACAAGUGGUUGGGCACUUCCUUUUCUUGUCUUCGUUGCUUCUUUCUCAUCAACACUAAUUGCUCCAUCACUAAUUCCUAGCUUACCAUGCGGCAUUCUACCUGCAAACUCAUAAAUGACACUUGCAUCUAAUUGUGGAUGCUCAAUUUUCCAAUUCGUGCCAUACUUUUUUUCCAUUCCUUGUUCAUAUUGUGCCUUUUUCCAAAAAAACAUAGAAAAGCUAAGGUUCAGUUACAAGACAAAUACAAGAGCUAUCUGUUAGAUAAUCCAACCCUUACCCAUUUAUCAGCAAUAUUCUGGUUGCACAACCUGCCAUCAUUUGUCCCACGAUUCAAUUUAUGAUUAUGCAGCCAAGCACCAGCAAUUCUAGGGUCAACUCCAUUUUUUAGUACCUACAAUUCAAGUAUGCUUUGACAUAUAUGGUACAUUGUACAUAAGUACUCUAUGAAGUCAUAACUUUUUGGUUUGGAUUCUUACCAGCCAUUGGCGUGUUGCCGGUAAGCUUCUUGAGCCACUGCGAUGUUAUACAAUAUUAUCUCUAGCUAGGCGAUUUUGCUUUGCCGUUACUGAUGAUUUUCUAAAUUUUGAUGAACUCCAGUGCUCACAUAGCAAAGCCCAGCCUUCAUUGGUUGUAAAGUCUAUUGGUUUAGCAGAUAUAAGUGCUUCUUUUGUUGGCCAAUGAUUUCCAUACUCGUUCACAUCUUCUGGGGGCACAUUACCAUCCUUAUAUAGCUUCCUUGUGACAGCCCGCUUCUCUUUACUUAAUAUCUUAGGCACCAUGUUCUUAAAUUUUAACUCCAAGACAGCAUCCGCCUUGGCUCUAUCUUCUGGAAGACACUUGAAACACCACUGGACAAUUAUAUUAUUUAUAGUUAGUUGCAGUUGAGAUACAUUAUACAUAAUAGCAAUGUUAGUUAGUAAGCUAUAGUGUAACACCCUAAAAAUUGUUACCUUAGAAAAUAGAGCUAAAAUGAUUUAUUUAUGAAUUUUUGUGCUCAUGAAACAUAGGAAAAAAUAAUAUUUUUUCAUUAAAAUAAAAAUUUAUCAUAGGAUUAGUAAUAUGGUUGUGCAUUCAUGCUGGAAAAUUCAUUUUUAUUGUGAUGAGUGAUUUGACCAAAGAUCAAAAAUAUUUCAAACAUAUUUUAAAUUGUUUUGACAAGGUUUUGAAAUAAAAAAAAACAAAACCCCAGUCAGCCCCAUUUCCCCAGCGCUCAGGCCCAGAGGCCUCGCCUUCUUUUUUUUUCCCGCGCAGGCCGCUCCUUGGCCUAGCAGGCCAGCCCAGCGCGCGCCCACUACUCCCCCUCUCUUCUCUCUGGUGACCGGGCCCCGACCCUUCUCCCACCGACAUCACGGCCCCACCCGUCAGCCGACUCCUUCCCCCCUUCCUUUCUUCUCCACGUAACCGAACGGGAGACUCCACCGAACGGCAGAGAAAUCCCGGUUUCCUCGGGAUCCUUUGCCAAUCCGCGUGUCAUGCCCCUAUAAAGCUCUCAAAUCAACCCUGUAGACCCCAUUUCGCACUUAAGUCGUUCAACCCGAGCUCUAGCUUCGUUUUCCGCGAGAACUAGAUCUCGCCGAGAGUCCUCUCCGCCGCGGCGAGUGCCCGGCUAUUUCUGCUCCUCGAGCCGAAUCGACCCCCUAGGUGAGAUCGCCGCACUCUCCUCUACUCGCCCAUGUGCUCGGUUUGAAUUUUGGUGCAACGAAUCGUGAAAUCCGUUGACGCCGGCGAGCUCGGCCUCCCUGGCCAUGGCGCCGCCGCAUCGGGACGUCGCUCCGGCGGCCGGCCGCCGCCCGUCACACUCCCAGCGCGCCUGAGCCGUCCAAUCGAGGAUCAACGCUCCAGAUUAAAACAUACCUCUUCGUUGAAAAACUUCAUUAAGAGUCCCUGCAACUUUUCUAUAUUUACUCCGCAGUCCUUGGCGUUUUGGGCGGUUUGCUCUUCUCAGUUUUGAAAGCGUAAUCUAGAUGGCUGGUUUCAAAAUACGCUUUCCAAUAUUCACAGAUUUGCCACUGAAACUAUUUUGCUCAUAAUAUAUUCGUUUUAACUCCGUUUUUGUCCAUCCAAAUUUCAUUAGAUUCAUUUUAACGAGCUCUAUAUGUUAGAAGUACUAUUUCUCUGUUUUGAAACUUUUUAUUUCUGCAGUAGCAUUUAAUUAAUUAUUUCUCAAUAGGAAAUCUUGGAAAAUUCAUAACUUCUACGUUUUAAUUUCGAUUUUCGUGAACUUUACGUUUGUGUGAUCGUAGCGCUGCGUAGAAUAUUUUGAUAAACUUCUAUAUUUGUUUUACCACUGUUUGGUGUAUUGUUCUAAUUAUAGCUUGUUUGCUUCAUGUAUGAUUGUCUACAUUGGAUUGUGUGUGUGAUCGAUGAUCGAGUUUAGACGGAGAGCAGUUUUUGGUGAUCAAGAUCAAAGCUUUGGCAACAAGCAAGACCAGCAGAACCAAAAGGAUCAGCAAGAGCAAUUGGAUUAAGGCAAGUAUAGCAUUUGGGUUUUAAUUUUGUGACCAUGAUCGUGUGACUAGAUUAAUGUUAAGUAAUAAAUGAUAAAAAUGACUUUUUAGCCACUUGAUGAUUUAUCUGUAAGUGAGAACCGGGACAACGAUGCAACCAUGAGGGCUAUAAUGGCUCUGGCUUUAGCUCAGUAUGAAGCCCUUUUCUAGCUUGUUAGAGGUUACCCGAAAGGGCGGAGGGGCUGAACCGUUUUGGGUAUAGUGUGGCCUCUGUCUGUAUGUGUAUAGGCUGCACAUCAUUGUGCCAUCGGAAGGGGGUUCUAUAUCUGCGUGCAAAGGAAACCUUGCGGCCCUAACAGGUUAGACGAACUUCUGAAAGGCUUCAUAGUGAUCCCUGCCGACCUUCCUUGGAAGUGGGUUAAGAGGCUGAUCACCUCGGGGGAAGGUAAAUCAUGACUCAUGGGUAAAAAUGUACAACAUCUGUAGAGUGUUAAAAACUGGUAUACUAGCUGUGCUCACGGUCAAGAGCGGCCUUGCGGAUUCUUGCAUCGACGAUGAUGAUUCUUGUGUGUUAAAUAUGCCCAUUAUUUAUUAUUUAAUGCUCUAUAUUAUUUAUGUCACAUUGAUCAUGAGACUGUGGAAUCUAUACAAUCUAGUUGUUAUACUUGUGGAGUUCGACAUGGACUCACUCUUGCUAUUACCCCCACACUUCAGGAGAUGGUUUAGGCUUGUGAUCAACCAGUCAGUUGGAUCCUAUAGAGAGAAGUUAAUACCCGAAGUUGGAGUUGUCUAUCCGUUGUUUGCUAUCAAAGGUUAUCCCUUUUAUACUAAGUACGUUAUAUUUAUGCAUUGUUUUUUUGAUAUUACCCCUUAUUUGUAGCUAUAUGUGAGAUUUGACUUCUAAAACUGACAUAUGGUGCAUAUCUGGUUUUGAUCUUAAAAUCGGGUAUUAAAAAGUGGUAUCAAAGCAAUGCUGUCUGUAGGACGCAAGCCUAGUUAGAAAUUGGUCGUCUUAAGGUUUUGGAAUUGUCAUGAAAUCCUUGCUCUAUAAACCAUGGUAUUUUCAUCCAUACUAUAUCCCUAUCCUUGCUAUUUGUCUCUACCUUGUUGCUUAUUUUAAAAGUACUUGUUCUCACCUUCACUCCUUGAUUUGGCAUUCUAUUAGAACCUUUUCUUACCAUCUUCUUGCGUCUUUGAAAUAUAAGUUUUAGGAUCUUUACCCUUACUAUGAAGAGAACGAUAGUAUCGCAAGUUGAGUGAAGUGUGAACUUCAAUGCUUAGUUGGUUUGUCAUUAUGCUUAUGCUUGAUUUGGAUCUUUGUAAUGAGUGCAAUGAUCUUGUGGGUUUUCUCCAUAAUUUCAUUUAGUUUAGAGAUCUAAGGUUUAAGGAGUAAUGAAAUAAAUAGUUGGGUUUUGGUUCUCUCUUGUUAUCUUAUCCUGUCUUUUCAGAGUAUCUCCUCUUUAUCAGUUUAUAUCUCUGUUCUUGCAUAACCAAAAAUCAUGAGAAAAUUUUGGAUGAUAGUAGACUUCAAGAUCUUUCUCUGACCGCAAGAAUCACCCUCAUAGCUAUCACGGUUUGGAAGUUACAAAAAUUCACAAGACGAUACAAAUGUGCUGUCAGGAAUCUGGACCAGUUUUGGUUGCCUACUGUUAGAGACAAAUAUAGCUAUAGAAUUUGGAAAAGUGUUCUAUAGAAAAGUUGUAGACAAUUUUCUAAGCUUUUCAAAAGUAUAACCUGGAACUCAUUUGGAUAAGUAUAACCUGAGAUAUGACAUUUACACUUGGAUGUUUCUGUUCUGUUUUAAGAUCUGGACAGAUGUGGUAUUUCCUAUUUUCGGCCAGGUUAAAGUCAGAAUCUGGGAAAGCGUUCUAUACAAAAGUUGUAGAGGAUUUCCUAAGCUUUUCAAAAAUGUAAGGAUCAUCUCCAUAUGAGUUAAGUAGCUUGAGAUAUAAUUUCUGGAAUUUACUGCACCUUUGCUGAGACAUUAUCAGGAAGGAUAUUAUGUUUGGUUGUUUUACCUAAGCUUAAAGACAGAAUCUAAGGAGGUAUUCUACAGGAAAGUUGUGGUGAAUUUCAUAAGCUUUCUAACGGUAUAAGCUAUAACUCUAUUGGAUUCAUAGAGUAAGAGUUAUGUCCAUUUUACUACGCUGGUGUUUUUCAUAUCACGAAAAAAUUUCAGGAUACCUGUUUGUUCUCUUGCACAUAAGUUCUUUGGGAUGUCAGAAGUUCUCAAUGUUAACUUGCCUGGAAAAUAUGCAAGCUACCUUUCUUGGUCCCCUAGUUGACUUUUCUUAAGGGGGUAGCCUAAUUAAAGAAGUUACAAGAGAAGAAGUGGUUAAUGACUAGAACAACUACAAGGACAUCAAGUGCUUGGUAUGUUGGUUUGUUUCAAGAUAUCAUUCUAUUUGAAGUGUGCUAAUACCAAUGGAGGUUUAUGUCAUUGCUGAUACUUAUGGAUUGAGAGUUGUGUAUGAGGAUCAGAUGACACCAAAGGCUACAAUGUUACAUAUGCAAUAUGAGAGUGAAACAACUUAAUUGUGAUAAAGGUACCGAUAAUUGGGACUUAGUGAUGAAACUAACCUUGGAUCAAGAGACUCGGUACAACGAAUACAAAAGACUAUGAUGUGUAGCGUACAAAAAGGAUAGGAGAGCUAGUCUCUAGUGUCCUCCAAUCAAUCUCGUCUUAAGGGGGUAGUACUAGGCCUGGGCAAAUUACCCGAUACACAUUACCCGUACCCGAAUUACCCGGACCGGGACCCGAAUUACCCGAACCCGAGGUACCCGAUCCUAAAUUCAGAUAGUGAUUUUGAUUACCCGAAAUUUGUUUGGGUAAUUCAGGUAAUAUCUUUCGGUACCCGAACUACCCGGAUUACCUGAAUAUUUGUCUAUAUCUUUGUAUUUAUCAUGUGUUGUUAGUUAAAUAUUAGAAUUUAUCAAUUUAUUAGAACAUAAUUCUUUUUGUUUGAACAAGUGAUAGUAAUAUAUUAUUCUCUACAAAAUGCUAUUGAAAUUCUAUACAAAUUGCUGGUGAAAUUAUAUAUAAAUUGCUAUUGAAAUUUUGUAUAGUGUGUUGUUUUUUGAAAAUUCGGGUAAAUCGGGAAUACCCGAACCCGAACCCGAAUUAUCGGGUACCCGAAAUUGCGGGUAGUGUUUUUUCGGGACUAAUAUCGGGUAACAAUUUUCAUUACCCGAAUUUUGAAUUACCCGACCUGAAAAAAUCGGGUAACCCGAAUGCCCAGGCCUAGGUAGUAUGUGGAUACCACGGGAUGAUGCAUAUUUAAUUUAUCUUGAAGUGAUAAUUGUGUUCUAAGAUAUCCUAUGGUUAUUAUCAUCUUUCCUUUGAAGAAAAGUGUUACGAGUAUGACAAAGCUGAGUGUUAUCAAAAUAAUAAUACAGAAGAGCAAGUUGACAUUGAACCAAAUCAGAAUCCACAACGACGGAAGCAUAAAUGGAAAGCUCGUAAAAAGCCUGCUCUCGGAAGUAAAGUGCAGCAAAAUUAUAUCAAUGGAAGACUGAGCAAUGUGGAUAAGAAUAACAUUCAAGGAGCCACCAAAGUGGUGGGAGGCUAUAUUCAAGUGGGCUCAGUGCUAGUUUUUGUUCUGUUUGACCGAAGUGCUUCGCAUUCUUUCAUUUCCGCCGACUUGGUAAAGACGAUCGAACGGGUGAAGUGUCCAACGAGGAAGCCUUUGUUUGUUCAAACCACAAUGGGAGAAAUACAUGCAGAUCAAGUUUGAUCGAAUAUUAAUCUGGUCAUAAGCAAGGAAAACUUCACAGUAAACCUCAUUGUGCUAGAGUCACUCGACAUUCCUUUGGUUCUUGGCAAUGGAUGGUUAUGUGCACACAAAGGAGUGAUCUAUGAUACCCAGUGGAAAAUUUUCUUAACCGCGCCAUCAGGAAAAAGAAUUGAGUAUCAAGGUGGUCCACUCCUACUUGAGGAGGCAUAUCCAUGCUAAGUUAUCAUAUCUUUGAGUUGUAUAAGUCAAAAAAAGUUAGUAGUCAAGAUAGACUUUGAUCAAUUAUGAAUAAUAUACAUUCCAUGGAAUAUUUGAGUUUGCCUUGGUAUACAAGUUGUGAAGUUGAAAGAGUUAUCAAGAUCUUUUUCCCGUUUCUCUUUUGGAAUCCGUGCCUCUUCCGAAUCUCGAGGACGAGAUUCAUUUUAAGGGGGGGUAGAUUUGUAACACCCUAAAAAUUGUUACCUUAGAAAAUAGAGCUAAAAUGAAUUAUUUAUGAAUUUUUGUGCUCAUGAAACAUAGGAAAAAAAUAAUAUUUUUUCAUUAAAAUAAAAAUUUAUCAUAGGAUUAGUAAUAUGGUUGUGCAUUCAUGCUGGAAAAUUCAUUUUUAUUGUGAUGAGUGAUUUGACCAAAGAUCAAAAAUAUUUCAAACAUAUUUUAAAUUGUUUUGAAAAGCCUUUGAAAUAAAAAGAAAAAAACAAAACCCCAGCCAGCCCCAUUUCCCCAGCGCUCAGGCCCAUAGGCCUGGCCUUCUUUUUUUCCCCACGCAGGCCGCUCCUUGGCCUAGCAGGCCAGCCCAGCGCGCGCCCUCUACUCCCCCUCUCUUCUCUCUGGUGACCGGGCCCCGACCCUUCUCUCACCGACCUCAUGGCCCCACCCAUCAGCCGACUUCUUUCCCCCUUCCUUUCUUCUCCACGUAACCGAACGGGAGACUCCACCGAAUGGCAGAGAAAUCCCAGUUUCCUCGGGAUCCCUUGCCAAUGCGCGUGUCAUGCCCCUAUAAAGCUCUCAAAUCAACCCCGUCGACCCCCUUUCACACUUAAGUCGUUCAACCCGAGCUCUAGCUUCGUUUUCCACGAGAACUAGAUCUCAACGAGAGUCCUCUACGCCGCGGCGAGUGCCCGGCUGUUUCUGCUCCUUCUCGAGUCGAAUCGACCCCCUAGGUGAGAUCGCCGCACUCUCCUCUACUCGCCCAUGUGCUCGGUUUGAAUUUUGGUGCAAGGAAUCGUGAAAUCCGUUGACGGCGGCGAGCUCGGCCUCCCUGGCCAUGGUGCCGCCGCGUCGGGACUGUUGACGGUUCUUAAGUAUCAAUUUUAAUUAUCAAAUAAACAAGGGAAAGGACCAAUAUGCAACCAACACCUAGAAUUAGGGUUUGAUCUGACAGAAUUCCAUGAGUUUUGUUGUUUAUCUAUUUCUGCAGGGGGUUAUCAGGAAAUAAGGAAGAAAGGCCCACAUGUCGGGAUUACAUAGAGAUAUCAACGCACCGCACGAUUUUCUACCAUCUAGAAGACUACAGAAGCCACGAGAAGAAAACAGAGGCUGAAAGGGGCCAGGCCCAGGGCGCCCGCCCUGGUGACCUGGGCGCCCGCCCCCCUCUGGAAGCCUUUCGGGACUCUCUUCGCACGGGAUAUUCCACCGACCUAUUGGAUCAAGAAAAACAUAGUACCACCUCGCCUACCGACCCAAAAACGCAUAGAGGAGGAGGACUAUAUAAGGAGACCCCCCUAGCCCCUCGAGAAGAUAUUAAGAAAUUAUCAUAGAGAUUGAGGGGUGCCCUCGAAGGAAAACCUCUUCUCUAAUUAAUAUUUCUUUUUAGGCUUAGCAACCAAUGUAAAGUAGAAAUAGAUCUUCUAGUUUCUACUAGAUUGAGAGAUAUAGAGUGGAGGUGUAGAUCGGAGGAAGGCCGGCCUGUCGGUGUCUACUCCAAGCUUGUACCUGCGGGAUCAAGUUCUCCUAACCCGAAGCUUGCUCCUAGGAUUCUUCAGUAUUUCGACUUCUAAAUUCUAAUAAGUUCUUGUUUUAUUGUUCUUCUGGUUUAUGAGUUUACUUUAAUCUCUUCGCUUAGAGUUUAGAGUAAUCAUUGCUGGCGUAAAUGUGGUGUUUAGGCUGGGGUACUCAUAGAUAUUCCCUGACUAGCUGGACCGUGGAAGUAGUGAGGAACGUGACAAUUCCGAGUUACCUUUGCAGACCAUAUCUCGUUAGCAGGAAGGAUAGGGUUUAUAGGUGCGGGUUGAACAUCCUUUGUGGUGUCAAGAUUCCGUUAGCCUCCCCAAUAGAACAGUAGAUCAUCCUUACCAAGGUUAGAAGGAGACUACGGUUGCAGUCUUCUCUAUUUAUCACUCACAUCGAAAGACAUUCUUUGUGCCUAAAGGGUUAGUAGUAAUAGACCGGUUAGUCAGAUGCACUCUUUCUCCUAGUGGUAAAAAAAUAAAUACGAUACUCUGGAUAAUUUCCCGGGUGAAGUGCUCACCGAUAUCCGUGCGCUUGCGGAUCAAUUCCUUAUUGCGUUCCCAAAUAUCAACAAGCAUUUCUGGCGCCGUUGCCGGGGAGAAAGACGGUUGCUGAGAUAACCUUGAGUCUUACUACUAGCUUGUAUCUAUACUUUUAUCUUUUCUUAUCUUUUAUAUUCUUUAUUUAUUUUCUUUACUCUUACCUUAUGGAAAACCAAAAUUCUAAAUCGAUCCAUGAGUCUGCAAUCCCUUCAGUAACUGACCUUUUACCAUGGGAGUCAUCACAGCCUAUCCAAACAUCCCAGUAUAAGUUAAGUUCUAGUUUGAUUGCCAUGAUUCAAAACCUAUCUUUUUCAGGAAAGGAAGACGAAAACCCUUACCUUCAUAUUAGAGAUUUUGAGCAAACAUGUGAUUGUCUUCGCAUUGAAGGCAUUUCUGAUAAAACUUUACGUUGGAAGCUUUUUCCUUUUUCUUUAAGGGGAGAAGCUAGACAAUGGUACAGUCAGAAGGUAAGUCAACAACAAGGUGAAUGGGGUGUUUUACGAGCCAACUUUUGUCUAGAUUUCUAUUCCCUCGACCGUAUAGCCGACCUUAGACUCGAAGUCCUAUCUUUUAAACAAAAAGAUAAUGAAACUUUGGGAAAAUCCUGGAAACAUUUUUCUGAUCUUUUAGAAUCUGGUCCAAACCUUAAUCUUGAAGACCCUGUUCUUUUAUUUCACUUUUUUCGAGGUCUUCAGAAAAAUUACAAACAAAUGCUACACACAAUGUCUAGAGGUUCUUUCUUUCGAAUCCCUACUAAUGAAGCUAGAGUGAUCCUAGAUAGAAUCCUAGAAGCUGAGAUGGAUAAUACCCUUCAUGAUGAAACCUACGAAGCCGAAGUAGACACUCUGCCAAAUUCUUCAUCUACUUUAGCUAUCCCAAGUUCUGAGCCACAAGAGGAAGAAAUUCCACCACCGGACUUCAUGCUGGAUAUAGAAUCCGAUCUUUUUGCUGAUUUUGGAAAUAUUUCAAACUACCAUUCUAUUGACAAACCCCAAAACGGCCAUUUUAGCAUUUAUUUGCCAAGUGAAUAUCAAUUGAGAGAGCUUAUCUCAGUCAUAAGUAGCGAAUGGUUGGAGGAAUCAGAGCUUACCUCCGAUGUGAUCCGUUUGGACACACCCUCUAUAACUAUACGCUGUGCUUAUAAUUCUGAUCGAUUUAAUGCUCUUUAUAAUUCUGUUGUGGGGAUCAACAUCAUGUCUGAAUCUUUUGCACUUAAACUAUUUAAAAAUCUUGUCUUAACCCCCACAACAAAGGUCAUAGAGGAAUCUUCGGGACGAUUAGUCCCUAGUCUUGGAAUUAUUAAUGUCCUACCUCUUACGGUAGAAGGCUCCAUGGUUCAUUUGAACUUUUAUAUCUUUGAUACAUGGGACUUCGACCUGUUGAUAGGACAACCUUUUAGAAGACUCCUUUAUGAAGGUCAUACUGGAAAGAUACACAUCUCUUUUGGAAAAACCUAUAAAAUCCCAAUAACAAUUUCACACUCCUUAAACAAUAAGGCCGAGUCAUAUCUUUUGCCUGAUCCUAUGGAGGAGGUAAAGGCUGCAUCUCUAGAGCUUUUAGAAGAAUCAGACUUAGAAGACGAAAUUCCUUUCUUCACUGAAGAAGAAACCGAACCUUCUGAACCUGAACCCUUAGAUGAGUUUGCAGAAACACCUAGACCCCCCAUAGAGCUUAAAACUUUACCACCCGGUCUUACAUAUGCUUUCCUAAACAAUAAUCCAGAGUUCCCUGUAAUCAUUAGCGAUAAACUCACUCAGGAUCAAACUCUGCGAUUAAUGACCAUUCUUGAGAAACAUCACUCAGUUUUCGGCUACUCACUCCAAGAUCUUACAGGAAUCAGUCCUAUGAUUUGUACCCAUCGUAUUCCAACAGAUCCUUCUGUUUCACCCUCUCGAGAACCCCAACGUAGACUUAAUAACACUAUGAGAGAGGUAGUUAAAAAGGAAGUUAUAAAGUUGCUGCAUGCAGUGAUUAUAUAUCCUGUGCCGCAUAGUGAGUGGGUAAGCCCAGUGCAAGUUGUGCCUAAAAAGGGAGGCAUGACUGUUAUUAUGAAUGAAAAGAACGAGCUAAUUCCGCAACGCACCGUGAGAGGAUGGCGGAUGUGCAUAGACUAUAGAAAACUAAACAAAGCCACGAAAAAGGAUCACUUUCCUUUACCUUUCAUAGAUGAGAUGCUAGAGCGAUUAGCGAACCAUUCGUUCUUCUGUUUCUUAGAUGGAUAUUCAGGAUAUCACCAAAUCCCGAUCCAUCCUGAUGAUCAAAGCAAAACCAAUUUUACAUGCCCAUAUGGAACUUAUGCUUACCGUAGAAUGUCUUUUGGGUUAUGUAAUGCACCAUCUUCUUUUCAAAGAUGCAUGAUGUCUAUAUUUUCUGAUAUGAUCGAAGAAAUUAUGGAAGUUUUCAUGGAUGAUUUCUCUGUUUAUGGAAAAACGUUUGAUAGUUGUCUUGAAAACUUAGACAAGGUUUUGCAAAGAUGUGAAGAAAAGCACUUAGUCCUUAAUUGGGAAAAAUGUCAUUUUAUGGUUAGAGAAGGAAUAGUGCUGGGACACCUAGUGUCUGAAAGAGGUAUUGAGGUAGACAAAGCUAAAAUUGAAAUAAUUGAACAACUACCUCCACCUGUGAAUAUAAAAGGAAUUCAAAGCUUUCUUGGCCAUGCUGGUUUUUAUCGUAGAUUUAUAAAAGAUUUUUCAUUUAUUGCUAGACCACUUACUCUUUUGCUAGCCAAGGAUGCUCCUUUCGAAUUUGAUGAUGCAUGUCUAACAUCUUUCAAUUUAUUAAAGAAAGCACUCAUCUCUGCACCAAUCAUUCAACCCCCUGAUUGGUCGUUGCCUUUUGAAAUUAUGUGUGAUGCUAGUGAUUAUGCUGUGGGGGCAGUAUUGGGACAAACUAAAAAUAAGAAGCAUCAUGCAAUUGCUUAUGCCAGUAAAACUUUGACAGGAGCUCAACUUAACUAUGCAACCACUGAAAAAGAGCUUCUGGCUGUUGUCUUUGCCAUUGAUAAAUUUAGAUCUUAUUUAGUUAGAGCUAAAAUAAUUGUUUACACUGAUCAUGUUGCACUAAAAUAUUUGCUCACUAAAAAAGAUGCUAAACCUCGCCUGAUUAGAUGGAUCUUAUUACUCCAAGAAUUUGACUUAGAAAUAAAAGAUAAAAAGGGAGUAGAAAAUUCUGUUGCUGAUCACUUGUCUAGAAUGUAUUUUAAGAGUCCACAGGAAACCCCCAUCAAUGAUUCACUCCGGGACGACAUGCUCUACGGGAUUAACAGGUCUGACCCCUGGUAUGCAGAUAUUGUUAAUUUUAUGGUUUCAAGGUAUGUACCACCAGGAGCAAACAAGAAGAAGCUUAUUCAAGAAAGUCGUUCACAUAUAUGGGAUGAGCCAUACCUCUUCCGAGUAUGCUCUGAUGGCUUAUGUUGGGUAUUCUUAACAUCAUAACCAAAAGUAGACAGUUUCCUAAUUCUAGUAACGGUGCCAAAAAUGCCAAACCUAUCCCUCACACCACUUAAGCCAAGUUGUCAUCCCCAGCAUGACAUGAGAGACGCGGUAUUGAAAUAUGCAAUUGCUCUUCUAAAUAAAUAAUGAAUGGGAUCUGCAAGCGCACAGAUUAAUACCGAUGUAGCAUUUUAACCGGGAAGUAUUCCAGGUAUCGUUAUUUAUAUUUUUACCACUGGGAAGGGAUUAACAAUCAUCAAUAUUGAUUACAGAAUAGAAUAUGAGAUUGAGUAUCUAUCAUUGCAUGUAUAAUUGAGAACAUUUAUCUAACUCUUUCAUACAGGGAUAAGUGUCACAUAAAAGAUAUAUGAAAUAAUGAAUAGUGACAAAGAUAAUUAGUCUGAUCAUAACUUAGCCACAUAAUAAAUAUGAUAAGCACCUCAAUUAGAUACUCUAGAAAGUCAUUAGCAUGGUAUUAGAACGAACUACAAGAAUAUUUCCUAAGUUAUUCUCAACUAUAUUGUCUAGCAUUAUCAUAAUUAGUGCAAGCAUACUUAGCAAUCAUUGUGAGACAAGACUACGCCCAUGCAUAGUGAUAUUAGCAAGGUAAAUGAGAAACAUAGCAAUCACUCCCCUGUAAUAAUGUUGCUCUGCCAGCCCAAUACACGAGAGGGGGACUAUAUAAGAAUCAAUGAAGCUGUCACUCAGGAGAUGUGUGACCACUGAAGAAGGAUGGAAGAUCAUCGACAGAUGUCAUUCAUCACCAUAUGGAGGUCACUAUGGAGCAUUCCGUACACAUUCAAAGAUCUAUCAGUGUGGAUUCUACUGGCCUACAAUGUAUGAAGACACGAAGCAAUAUAUCAGAAGAUGUGGGCCAUGUCAAAGACACGGAAACAUAAAUACAAGGGAUGCAAUGCCACUCACCAACAACCUUUAGAUUGAGCUCUUUGAUGUCUGGGAAUAGACUACAUGGGUCCAUUUCCUCCAUCAAAGAAGUGUGAGUACAUCUUGGUGGUGGUUGACAUGUCUCCAAGUGGGUAGAGGCAUUACCUUGCAAGCAUGCCGACAACAUCAGUUCAAAGAGGAUGUUUGAAGAAAUUAUAUUUCUAAGAUUUGGAGUCCCCAGAGUAGUGAUAAGUGAUGGAGGAGCACACUUCAUCGACAAACGCUUCAAGCAAUAUCUAGCAAAACAUGGAAUCCGUCACAACAUCGCUACCCCUUAUCAUCCUCAGACAAGUGGCCAAGCAGAAACUUCCAACAAACAAAUCAAGAAUAUUCUUCAGAAGACAGUAAAUAAAAUGGGAACGGCGUGGAAAGACAAGUUACCCGAUGCACUCUGGGCAUACCGGACAACAUACAAGACCCCAAUCGGAAUGUCUCCAUACUAAUUGGUGUACGGGAAGACUUGCCAUCUACCUGUUGAACUAGAGUUCAAAGCACACUAGGCCGUAAAGAGAUGGAAUAUGGACCUAGAUGUUGCUGGAGAUCAUAGAAGAAUGCAACUAUCAGAAUUGGAAGAAUGGCGAGAAAAAGCAUAUCACAAUCUACAAAGAAAGAGUCAAAAGGUGACAUGACAAGAGAAUCAAGAAGAAGGAGUUCACACCCGGAGAUAAGGUAUUACUUUUUAAUUCCAGGGUAAAGCUUUUCGGGCAUGGGAAACUCUGGAGCAAAUGGGAAGGACCAUUCAAGGUAAUUAAUUCAUCAUCCUACGGAGCUAUCACACUUCAAAAUGACGAAGGUACGUUAUUCAAGGUAAAUGGUCAAUGUCUUAAAUUAUUUUUAGAGCCCAAUAAAGAAUUAGAAGAAAUAGACGUAGUCCACUUUUACCUUCCCAUGGAGAAUUAGAGCCCGACCUUUUUAGUCUGAUGUUUUUGGGUCAUGUAUAUAUUUUUCUAAAUAGUUUUGCAUCUAGAAACGCGCUCGAGAAAGUGGGCUCACAGAGGGGCCAGAGAGAGGGCGGGCGCCCAGCUCAGGUGGGCGGGCGCCCAGCUCCUGUUCCCCCUCGGUCCCGACUUUCUCUAUUAUGGAAAAUGCACUUAUGGUAAUCCGAAUAACCCCUCAGAUGGAAAGUUUCGCACGCACAUCGACGGGAGCAACCCGAACAACCCAUAGAGGCACUCUUUGACCCCUAUAUAUAAACAGACCCCUGACAUCAGUUUUCAAACACCAAGCCACCAAGCCUUCUCUUCUUCUUCAAUUAGAGCUUGAUUAGUUCCUUGCUGCUCCAAUGGCCGAGAAGUACCACGAUGAUUGGGAAGUCGUCCCCUUCAACCUCAACAUGGAGCCUGUGGAAGACCCCGAUGCCCGUGCUCUCGUCCCGGCCAACACAGAGCGACAGCUAGAAGCCAUGCCAUUACGCCAGCGCAGCUCCGCCCAAUCCUACCAUGCUCAACCAGUUCUCACCGCACCGCCACAACCCCUACUCCUUAUGAGAUCAUCAUCCAAGACGAAGACCACUAUCAAGGUGCCAAUCGGCACGAGGAUCCUUCCACCAAGACCCAAUGAGAGGGUCGUUGGAGUCAAGACCAACCGGAGCGGCGAGAUCAGCAGCGUUCGCUACACUACGGAGGAGGAAAGACCUUACUUUGAAGGGAUUAGAGCAGCCAAAGUCCGUUUCAUCCCUCCAAAGGCAGCCCCGAAGCACGCUCUCAAUGCUUUUGAGACACCUCCCAAGCGUCGCAAGACUAUAAUGGAUAUUGAUGAGGACGUUCGCAGACUAGACAGAAUUAUCAUAGACCUCCAGUCCUCGAUUAAUUCCCUCACUAGGCAGCUCUCUAACCACAACACCAUUAUACUAGGCCUUAGGCAGGAUCUUGCUAGUGCCAACAAGAAGAUUAAGGAAUUAGAGCGCCGCUAAGUUAUCUAGAUUAGAACUUGAGGCAAUGCAUCUUAGUUAUUUAUCUUUAAAUUCGGUUUAGGUUUACUAUUAUCAUCAGUUUGCUACUAGUUAUUUGUAGUAAAUGCCUCAAGAUUAAUAAAGAGUAUUAUUAUUAUUAUGUCUUGUGUGUCUCUACUUUAUUUUUGUGCAAGAAAGCAGAAAACAAGUAUGGGGGAGAUCCCUCAACAUGCCAAACACACUCCGACUACACCACUCCACGAUUCAGGUACACACUCUGCACACUUUACUUUACACCUACACAUAUCUUAGACUAUGCAGAAUACUGUUUCCGACAUGAUAAAUUAAAAAGAUUAAAAUAUUUCUAAUCAUGAUUAAUCUCACUCUGUUAUAUUUCCUGAAAACUUGCAAUUAUUAUAAAAUCAUUUUAAAACCUUGUGUUACUUAAGUCAAUAUGGAAUAUGUGAUGGUAGAAUAUGAGUUUCUUAUUCUUGAUAUCAUUGCUACUUGGAGAAUUUAUUUCAAAAUAUUCAAAAUUCUAGCUACCAUCCUCAGUGUUUUAUAUGCCUGAUAAAACUAAAAAUAUUAAUUAUGAUUAUAAAAGCUAUCUACUCUGUAUUGAGUUUGUUCAAAAUGAGUUAGACCCUUGUUGAGAGAUUUAUCAUGCUCCUAAGAUCAAGACAUUUAUUCAGAAAGAUUCACUCUUCCGAAGUAUUAUUGCAUUAGAGGCAUGGGCUAUGCAAAAAUAGAAAUAUUUUGAGGAAAUAAAAAGGAGCAAGUGCUCGACAACCUCGCAGAAAAAAUGGACAAGUGUCCAACAGUAGAAUUAGGGAUACCUCGGUAUCCACUUAAAAAAAAGAAGAAGAAAAAGAGAAAAUGAUAGCCCAUGGUCCCUCUAAUAAGCAAUAUGCCAGCAAGAGUUGACAAAGAUUUUAAUUUCCAAGGUAUUUGAUCUAAGAGUAUGACAUUCCCUUCCUCGGAUCCCGUUUUGAUCAGGCAAUAAAUGCAAAGUAAGUAUGCUUGAGAAUUUUUGCAAAUUAAAACAGCCUCAGUGAGAUAUAUAAAAGAUAAUGAGUGAUCUGAGAGAACCUAUGAGGAUAAAAAGGUAUGCUAACUUUCUUUCAAAAAUAUACAAAAAACUCCAAGUAACAGGAUUGAGAAGAAAGGAUCUUUACUCUUAAUCAUAUACUUCCCUGACUACAGUACACAGUAAAUUUUAAUACCCUACAAAUAUAAAGAAUGUUUUAAAUGAUUACCCCAGAUAUUUUUCUUAACCAUCCUUUUCUCGAGGACGAGUAAAAGCCUAAGUAUGGGGGUAUUUGUUGACGGUUCUUAAGUAUCAAUUUUAAUUAUCAAAUAAACAAGGGAAAGGACCAAUAUGCAACCAACACCGAGAAUUAGGGUUUGAUCUGACAGAAUUCCACGAGUUUUGUUGUUUAUCUAUUUCUGCAGGGGGUUAUCAGGAAAUAAGGAAGAAAGGCCCACAUGUCGGGAUUACAUAGAGAUAUCAACGCACCGCACGAUUUUCUACCAUCUAGAGGACUCCAAAAGCCACGCGAAGAAAACAGAGGCCGAAAGGGGCCAGGCCUAGGGCGCCCGCCCUGGUGACCUGGGCGCCCGCCCCCCUCUGGAAGCCUUUCGGGACUCUCUUCGCACGGGAUAUUCCACCAACCUAUUGGAUCAAGAAAAACAUAGUACCACCUCGCCUACCAACCCAAAAACGCAUAGAGGAGGAGGACUAUAUAAGGAGACCCCCCUGGCCCUUGGAGAAGACAUGAAGAAAUUAUCAUAGAGAUUGAGGGGUGCCCUCGAAGGAAAACCUCUUCGAUAAUUAAUAUUUCUUUUUAGGCUUAGCAACCAAUGUAAAGUAGAAAUAGAUCUUCUAGUUUCUACUAGAUUGAGAGAUAUAGAGUGGAGGUGUAGAUCGGAGGAAGGCCGGCCUGUCAGUGUCUACUCCAAACUUGUACCUCCGGGAUCAAGUUCUCCUAACCCGAAGCUUGCUCCUAGGAUUCUUCAGUAUUUCGACUUCUAAAUUCUAGUAAGUUCUUGUUUUAUUGUUCUUCUAGUUUAUGAGUUUACUUUAAUCUCUUCGCAUAGAGUUUAGAGUAAUCAUUGCUGGCGUAAACGUGGUGUUUAGGCUGGGGUACUCAUAGAUAUUCCUUGACUAGCUGGACCGUGGUAGUAGUGAGGAACGUGACAAUUCCGAGUUACCUUUGCAGACCAUAUCUCGUUAGCAGGAAGGAUAGGGUUUAUAGGUGCAGGUUGAACAUCCUUUGUGGUGUCUAGAUUCCGUUAGCCUCUCCAAUAGAACAGUAGAUCAUCCUUACCAAGGUUAGAAGGAGACUACGGUUGCAGUCUUCUCUAUUUAUCACUCACAUCGAAAGACAUUCUUUGUGCCUAAAGGGUUAGUAGUAAUAGACCGGUUAGUCAGAUGCACUCUUUCUCCUAGUGGUAAAAAAAUAAAUACGAUACUCUGGAUAAUUUCCCGGGUGAAGUGCUCACCGAUAUCCGUACGCUUGCGGAUCAAUUCCUUAUUGCGUUCCCAAAUAUCAACAAUCUGCUUCAACCACCAAGAACUGGAGAAAUGAGGGACGUCGCUCCAGCGGCCGGCCGCCGCCCGUCACACCCCAGCGCGCCUGAGCCGUCCAAUCGAGGAUCAACGCUCUAGAUUAAAACAUACCUUUUCGUUGAAAAACUUCAUUAAGAGUCCCUGCAACUUUUCUAUAUUUACUCCGCAAUCCUUGGCGUUUUGGGCGGUUUGCGCUUCUCAGUUUUGAAAGUGUAAUCUAGACGGCUGGUUUCAAAAUACGCUUUCCAAUAUUCGCAUAUUUGUAUUUUGCUCAUAAUAUAUUCGUUUUAACUCCGUUUUUGUCCAUCCAAAUUUCGUUAGAUUCAUCUUAACGAGCUCUAUAUGUUAGAAUUAUUAUUUCUCUGUUUUGAAACUUUUUAUUUCUGCAGUAGCAUUUAAUUAAUUAUUUUUCUAUAGGAAAUCUUGGAAAAUUCAUAACUUCUACGUUUUAAUUCUGAUUUUCGUGAACUUUACGUUUGUGUGAUCGUAGCGCUGCGUAGAAUAUUUUGAUAAACUUUUAUAUUUGUUUUACCACUGUUUGGUGUAUUGUUCUAAUUAUAGCUUGUUUGCUUCGUGUAUGAUUGUCUACAUUGGAUUGUGUGUGUGAUCGAUGAUCGAGUUUAGACGGAGAGCAGUUUUUGGUGAUCAAGAUCAAAGCUUUGGCAAUAAGCAAGACUAGUAGAACCAAGAGGAUCAGCAAGAGCAAUUGGAUUAAGGCAAGUAUAGCAUUUGGGUUUUAAUUCUAUGACCAUGAUCGUGUGAUUAGAUUAAUGUUAAGUAAUAAAUGAUAAAAAUGACUUUUUAGCCACUUGAUGAUUUAUCUGUAAGUGAUAACCGGGACAACAGUGCAACCAUGAGGGCUAUAAUGGCUCUGGCUUUAGCUCAGUAUGAAGCCCAUUUCUAGCUUGUUAGAGGUUACCCGAAAGGGCGGAGGGGUUGAACUGUUUUGGGUAUAGUGUGGCCUCUGUCUGUAUGUGUAUAGGCUGCGCGUCAUUGUGCCAUCGAAAGGAGGGUUCUAUAUCUACGCGCAAAGGAAACCUUGCGGCUCUAACAGGUUAGAUGGACUUUUAAAAGGCUUCAUAGUGAUCCCUGCCGACCUUCCUUGGAAGUGGGUUAAGAGGCUGAUCACCUCGGGCGAAAGGGUAAAUCAUGACUCAUGGGUAAAGAUGUACAACCUCUGUAGAGUGUUAAAAACUGGUAUAUUAGCCGUGCUCACGGUCAAGAGCGGCCUUGGGGAUUCUUGCAUCGACGAUGAUGAUUUUUGUGUAUUAAAUAUGCCCAUUAUUAUUAUUUAAUGCUCUACAUUAUUUAUGUCACAUUGAUCAUGAGACUGUGGGAUCUAUACAAUCUUGUUGCUAUACUUAUGGAGUUCGACAUGGACUCACUCUUGCUAUUACCCCCACACUUCAGGAGAUGGUUUAGGCUUGUGAUCAACCAGUCAGUUGGAUCCUGUUGAGAGAAGUUAAUACCCAAAGUUGGAGUUGUCUAUCCGCUGUUUGCUAUCAAAGGUUAUCCCUUUUAUACUAAGUACGUUAUAUUUAUGCAUUGUUUUUUUUAUAUUACCUCUUAUUUAUAGUUAUAUGUGAGAUUUGACUUCUAAAACUCACAUAUGGUGCAUGUCUGGUUUUGAUCUUAAAAUCGGGUAUAACAUAUAGUUACUGUGUACAUGUAACACAUACACAGAACUCUUCCAAUACUUUCUUAUCAGUUGAUACCCCAGUUAUGGUAGUCCUCUUGAAAUCUUCCCAUGUUAGCACUGGCUUCUUCCUAUUUGGUGUAUCAACAAAGUCAGGAUAUGUGGGGGUAUAAACCCCUAUACCCUUACGGCAUGACUUGGGCCAGGAGGCUUGGCCCAUUACGAGACAAGUUCGAGGCUUGAUCCGACUGCUCGGAGUUUCGCGCAAGGAAACAGGACGUGGAGAUCAAACAUGAUUCUAGUCGGUUAGAAUAGGAAUUGAUAUCGUAGUAUCUAUGGCAAUUGUAACUGACUAGGAUUAGUUUCCAGAUCUGUAACCCUGCCCUCUGGACUAUAUAAGGAGAGGCAAGGGACCCCCAUAGGACACAUUAUUCUCUCGACACAAAUCAAUACAACAAGACGCAGGACGUAGGUAUUACGCCCACACGACGGCCGAACCUGGAUAAAGACCUUGUCUGUGUCUUGCGUCACCAUCAAGUUCGUAGCUUGCGCACCGUCUACCGAUAAACUACUACCGUGGGUAUACCCCAAGGUAGACUGCCGACUUGCUUUCGUCGACAGUGGCGCGCCAGGUAGGGGGUGUGCGUACAGCUCUCCCGACGAACAAGAUGGUCAUCGUUCCAGCUUCCGCGGCCGUGCCCGAAGGCCUCACGCUCACCGUCGGCCAGAUCACGUGGACGACUCGUGGCGACGGCCUCACGACCACGACUUCAGAAGAAACCCAGAUCCAAUCUGGGGCGACAACGGCGUCGACUCCGAUCACGCCGACACCGACCACUCGACCACUGCUCCCUCGCUACAGGGGAAAGAAGGUCGACAGCUCAGAUCUUUUCCGAGCCCUUGAUCGCCUCGAUCUCAGGCUCCUCGAAGCUUCCCGACUGAUAGAUGGGAUCUCGUGCCAGUCUAAUCGAAUCGUGUCAAUAGAUUUUUUUGACUCCUGCCAGCCAACUCGUGUCAUCACGCACGAACAGCUGGAGACGUCUCUGGCGAUAACAUCCACCCCCGCAGGGCGGUCCGUCAAGCUUAGGGCGGACCCGGAUCAGAGUCCUCCUUACGGGCUAAACAACUCAGCCGUUUACUACUCACGGCACAUCCAAUCCCUUUUCAACAGGGCGGGUUGGGUGCCAAAAUGGAACAGUCGACCGGCUCGUCACUACGUCAACAUGGUGACAAUCCGAGAACUACCAAACGACCAGGCUUCCAGCACAAACUCCAGCACUGGAUCCGUCCCCACCGAGGUUAUAAACUCUGAGGACGAAGAUUACGACCUGGAAUUACCACAGUACCCUCCGGGUUUCUCUCGCUUCCCGGUCUUUCCGCCCCGGCGGGGAGAUCUCGUCUUCAAUGUCAGCAACGACGAACCGGUUGUCGAUGGAGAGAUAGACGAUCAGAGGCACUCCGUGAACAGCGCAAUGCCGACCGUGCUCGGCGACGUGCGGACGAGGAGCGACAACUCCCGCCGCAUAACCUUGGUGACGCUUUCGACAUGGUCGGAGAUCAACAAGUCUACAAAACGCCAAGUGCUAACGUGGCUGUUGCUAUGGCAAACCUAGACCGACUCCCUGAUACCCACGAGUGCCAGGGCGUCCGAUCCAGCGUACGCGCGCAUCUGAUCGUCGUGAUGGGACAGACAGCAACCUUACUCAAAAGGGUCCAAGCUAUCUCCUACACAGAGGUCUCCUCCGACCAGACUCAUCGUAGUCGGACCUCACCACAACCCAGCGAGCACCACCGCAGCCGCUCCCCCAAUAAUCGUCGGAAGAAUUCACGGCGUGGCAACGGUGGUUGGGCCGCCGGCGGCAACCGCGAGCAGAACCGCGGGCGUGGUCAGGAGGUAAACCAGGACAGGGAUCUACGAUACAAUAUCCCUCCCAAAGACGCCCGGGACCACAUCAACAGGCGCGCUACGGAAAGAGCGGUGCACGAGAACCUGCGGCAUAUUGAGUACGACGCCACGCACGGUCCUCCCGGCCUGAGACAGUUUUCCUCACACCUUCGCCAAGUCGUAUGGCCCCGCAACUUCAAACUCGAGAAGCUCAAAAAAUACGACGGCAAGGAAAACCUAGAAAACUUGAUCACUCUCUAUGAGAUUGCAGUCCGUCCAGCAGCAGACAAUGAGCACGUCAUGGCCAACUACUUCCUAGUCGUCCUCGACCAGGCUGGUCAUCAGUGGCUCCUGGGCCUGCCCGAGGACUCCUUCGAUUCCUGGGAAGAAUUGCGCCAAGCAUUUAUUGACAAUUUUAUCUCUACCUGCGAGCAGCCCGAGAACAAAUACGACCUCGAGAGAAUAAGGGACAGGAAAAACGAGCCUUUGCGCAAUUACAUCCGACGAUUCUCAGAUAUGCGCCUUAAAAUCCCGAAAAUCUCUCACGACGAGGCCAUAUCCGCCUUCAUCAAAGGACUACGCUUCCACGAGGCACUAAGAAACAAGCUACUGUGCAGAAGGCCAACCACGGUGGCUGAGCUCCUUGCCACAGCAAAAAACUAUGCCGACGCCGACGACGCAGAAAAACUCAUCCGAGAGGAUGCUAGAGGUCCCGACCAGCCUCCUCGACGGGACGACAGUCGUGGUCGUUUCGAUAACAGAAACCACCGUCGCCCCGACAACCGCGACCAAAGAGAAGGUUGGGAUAGGCAGCGUGAUAAUCAUGAUGAUUUCAGGAGCAAGCGCCCUCGAGACCACGACCACGAGGUGAAUAUAGUCAAACGCCCCAACGGACAGCGGGACUACCAGGAAGAUUACAACAAGACGUUGAAGGGACCGUGCCAACUCCACCCCAAGUCUAACCACACGAUGGAAGAAUGUCGUGUCCUCAAAAGCAUCUACACGCGGCGGGCCGCUCAAGAUGAUUCCGCCAAGAAAAACGGAAAGCAGGACGGGCGCGAUCACGAAGACGAAGACGAGGACCUGGAUAGGGACCCACGACACCAGUAUGUCAACCCUACCGACGUGGUCCACUCUAUCUUCGGAGGCAAAGUUUCCAUCGAAUCCAAGCACGAAAGAAAGCUCCUAAAGAGAGCCUACCUCAAUGUGGACAGCACAGACGGUUUGAUCGCCGAUCCGAAAUUUCCUUCCUGGUCGCAUAGGGAGAUCUCCUUUAGCAGGAAGGAUCAGUGGGCCGCCAUCCCGGAGCCAGGACGUUUCCCUCUGAUCCUGGAUCCUUGCAUCAACAGCAUCAGAUCCAAGCGCGUCCUUGUCGACGGGGGAAGCUCCAUUGACAUCCUCUUUUGCAACAGUUUGCCUGCUCUCAAGAUAACCCCAGCACAACUAAAGCCAUAUGACGCACAAUUCUGGGGAGUCCUGCCAGGUCAAAGUUGAGUACCCCUCGGACAGAUAACGCUGCCUAUCCAGUUCGGAACGCGCGACCACUUCCGAACAGAGUUCGUCAACUUCGUGGUCGCCGACUUUGACAGAACUUAUCAUGCCAUCUUGGGCCGACCAUCGCUGACAAAGUUCAUGGCCGUUCCGCACUAUUCAUACCUGGUCCUUAAAAUGCCAACAGAGAAAGGCGUCCUAACUGUCAGAGGCAACGUUUAUACCGCAUACACUUGCGAGGAGGAAAGUUUCAAGAUCACUGAGGAGCGCUCUUCAGGUUUCUCAGGGACAAUGUAAGCGUUUUCACGUGGAAACCCGCGGACAUGCCCGGCGUCCCGCGAAACCUGAUCGAGCACUCCUUAAACGUCUCGAAGACCACAAGAUCUAUCAAGCAGAAACUACGACGGUUCGCUCGUGACAAAAAGGAGGCUAUUAGGACAGAAAUAACUCGGCUUCUAGCAGCCGGAUUCAUUAAAGAAGUGUAUCAUCCCGAUUGGAUCGCCAAUCCGGUUCUUGUACGAAAAAAGAAUAAUGAAUGGAGAAUGUGUGUUGAUUACACUGAUCUCAAUAAGCACUGUCCUAAAGAUCCUUUUGGUCUCCCUCGCAUCGACGAGGUGGUCGACUCAACGGCCGGAUGCGAACUCCUCUCUUUUCUAGACUGCUACUCUGGUUAUCACCAGAUCUCGCUAAAGGAAGAUGACCAGAUCAAAACAUCUUUUAUCACUCCUUUCGGCGCGUAUUGCUACACGACCAUGUCCUUCGGACUCAAAAACGCUGGAGCCACCUAUCAACGGGCCAUUCAGCAAUGCCUCCACGACGAGAUUCGUGAUGACCUCGUCGAGGCUUAUGUAGAUGACGUCGUCGUCAAAACAAAGGACGCGAGCACUCUAAUCGAUAACCUAGACCGAACUUUCAAGGCACUAAAUAAAUACAAGUGGAAGCUUAACCCCAAGAAAUGUAUCUUCGGGGUCCCCUCUGGUCUACUGCUCGGCAACGUCGUUAGCCGCGACGGCAUACGGCCGAAUCCCUCAAAAGUAAAAGUAGUGCUCGAUAUGCGACCACCCAAGAAUGUCAAGGACAUUCAAAAGCUCACCUGAUGUAUGGCUGCUCUCAGCCGUUUUAUCUCUAGACUGGGAGAAAAAGGCCUCCCCUUCUUCAAGCUCCUAAAGGCAUUAGAAAAAUUCUCCUAGACAGAGGAAGCUGACGCUGCGUUCACCCAGCUCAAAACCUUUCUCACUUCGCCACCCAUUCUCACAACGCCUCAACCCAAUGAGGACCUACUCCUUUACAUAGCAGCAACCGACAGGGUUGUCUCCACGGCAAUGGUGGUCGAGCAGGACGAGCCAGGCCAUGUAUACAAAGUUCAGAGACCAGUUUACUUCAUAAGUGAAGUCUUAAACGAGUCCAAGACCAGGUACCCUCAGAUACAAAAGCUCAUCUACGCCAUCUUAAUAACUUCAAGGAAGCUGAAGCAUUACUUCGAUGGUCAUUGGGUCUUGGUAACCACUAGUUUCCCCCUGGGGGACAUUCUACGCAACAAGGACGCCAAUGGCAGAAUUGUAAAAUGGGCAAUGGAACUAUGCCCAUUCUCCUUGGAUUUCCAGAGCCGCACUACCGUCAAAUCCCAAGCCUUGGUCGAUUUCAUCGCAGAAUGGACGGACCUCAACGAGCCUCCCUUCUCUGAUACUUCCAACCAGUGGUCAAUGUUCUUCGACGGGACCUUAAACAUCAAUGGUGCCGGCGCUGGAAUACUCUUCGUGACACCCAACAAGGACAAACUACGCUACGUCCUUAGGAUUCUCUUUCCGGCAUCAAAUAACGUCGCUGAAUACGAAGCAUGCCUUCACGGCAUUUGACUGGCUGUCGAACUGGGAGUCAAACGCCUCUACGUUCACGGCGACUCUGCCCUAGUCAUUAACCAGCUCAACAAAGAAUGGUACGCAACGCACGAAAAGAUGGACCUCUACUGCAAAGAAAUUUGCAAAUGGGAGUCCAAUUUCUACGGCAUAGAAUACAUCCACGUGGUCCGGGAUAGGAACCAGGCAGCGGAUGCGCUGUCAAAGAUAGGAUCAUCUCGGGCCAAGAUCCCACAAGGCGUUUUCGUUCAGGACAUCCACGUGCCAAGUGUGGGCACAGACCCGGUCGAAAAACAACCCAAUGAGACAAUGAUCAUAGACGACUCCGCUCCGGCAACCAGCAGCCAUGAUUGGCGCGCCCCUUUCAUCAGGUACAUAUCGGACGGAUCCGGUCUCCAAGAUAAAACGGAAAACGAGCGUCUCAUCCGGUGAUCCAAGAACUACAUACUAGUGGAUGGAAAGCUUAUGCGAAAAAAUGUAAGCUCCAAAGUACUGCUCAAAUGCAUAUCCCAAGGUGAUGGCAUCAAGCUUUUAGAUGACAUACACGCCAGAUCCUAUGGCAACCAUGCCGCCUCCAGAACACUCGUCGGGAAGGCUUUCCGAGCAGGCUUUUACUGGCCAACUGCGGUCGCCGACGCCGAGAAACUGGUCCGACAUUGUGAAGGAUGCCAGUUCUUUGCCAAGAGGACUCACGUGCCUGCUCAUGAGAUUCAAACUAUCCCGUCAUCCUGGCCUUUCGCCUGUUGGGGCCUGGACAUGAUCGGGCCAUUCAAGCCGGCCCCCGGUAACUUCAAGUUCGUCUUCGUGUUAAUCGACAAAUUCUCGAAGUGGAUCGAGUACAUGCCACUGGUCAAAGCAACCUCCGAGAAGGCUGUGGAAUUCCUCAACCAAAUCAUACACAGAUAUGGGGUUCCCAACAGCAUAAUAACCGACCUGGGCACUCAGUUCACUGGCACUACAUUUUGGGACUUCUGCGAUGACAGGGGCAUAGUCGUAAAGUAUGUGUCAGUAGCUCACCCACGGGGCAACGGUCAAGUAGAGCGAGCAAAUGGAAUGAUUAUUGAUGCUUUGAAGAAAAGGCUGUACACAGAGAACGACAGAGCACCAGGACGUUGGAUGAAAGAGUUAUCGGCCGUGGUCUGGGGCCUCCGAACACAGGCUAGUCGCAACACGGGCGUGUCACCCUACUUCAUGGUUUACGGCACCGAGGCAAUGCUUCCGUCGGACGUAACUUUUGGAUCUCCAAGAGUCGAAAACUUCGACCAGCCUUCGGCUGACAUCGCCAGGGAGCUUGAAAUCAACUGCAUGGAAGAAAAGCGCCUACUCUCGUGCCUUCGAAAAGCAAAAUAUCUCGAAGCCAUUAGGAGGUAUCACAACAGGAACGUCAAAGACCGUUCCUUCGUGGUCGGUGAUCUUGUGCUAAAGUGGAAAACAAGCCAAGAAGGAACGCACAAGUUAUCCACACCUUGGGAAUGACCCUUUGUGGUCGUAGAAGUCACGCGCCCUACAUCUUAUAGACUGGCGUACCCAGACGGAACACGCCUGCCUAACUCUUGGCACAUAAACAACCUGCGGCGUUUUUACCCAUAAGUUCCAGUACAUUUUAUUUGUAAAUCUCUUAUGGUCAGCGUUAAUAAAUUUUCUCUUUCUUCCUAUGUACUUCUUUUAUAUGCAGAGCUUUCGACAAAGUGCAACAACCAUCUUUAGGAUGAAAGUCCUUAAGAGUUAUUAACCCAACUCAGUGAUACAUCACUCAGACAAUAUUACAGCGCUCAAAACCAUGGUCAUGACAAAUCAAACUUUAUUACAAACUUUAUGUACAGAGUUUACAAUAAACACCCCUCUGGGCGGUCCCUAGUCUAUUUCUACAGACUACUCUACAGGCCUACUGCUCGGGAUGAUCACCCGCUCGGCCUUGUUGCCCGGUCGAAGGGGUCGGGGCCACCGGCGCCUGGCUGGUCGAGACCGCAGGCGUCGACCGCCCAUCUCCGACAAUGGGCGCUCCCGACAACUCCCUGGCCGAUCUAUCUGACCCGGGCUGGUCAGGGGGAGUUGCCGUCCCGCAGAGGUUGAUGUCGCCGAUCACCGUCAACGACAGGUCAAGCAGACCAGCACGAAGGUUGUCUGCCUCCUGCGGACCAACCUCCUUGGGGUACCCCCCUUUCCAGUCGUGACAGGUCGACCAGGGGAUAGUGGGCGCGCACCAUGCUAAGGACAUGCGCACCAGCGAAUUCCCCGGCGUCCUUCUCGACUGGCGUCAGCUUCGGCGCACGGGGCUGGUCUUCAGGGAGCUCGGGGCUGAUCAAAUCAAGAACCGGGGCCACUCCUUUCAAAAGCUUGAUGCAGUUGGCCUUCCAGGAGUCCCGGUCCUUGAUCAGCUCGUCAAAGUGCUUCUUCGCAUUCACUUUGAGCACUACAAACCAAGUAGGAGGUCAGUUUACGAAUAAGAAAAGGAACGUCGAGCAAUCAAGGAAAAAAGGGAUCGCACGGCUCUCACCAGACAACUCCCUAUUCUUGUUGCUUAGCUCCUUGCCAGCUCGGCGCCCGGUCUCCAGCGCCCUGGCAAGCUCCUGGUCGAGCCGCUCCUUCACUUGUCGGAGGUGUGCAAUCUCCUCCUCCAAGUCUGCAGGGGCAAUUUCUGGUCAAUAAAAAACGACUACACAGUUAUAUACAACUGCUCGGAAUACAUGACUAACCUCUUCUCUCCCGAUCCUUGUCGGCUAAUCGCCGAUUAAGGUCGAGCAGGCGCUCUUCCUGAGCACCCAUCUCGUCCGUCUUCUCCUCGGCCUCCGACCGAAGCCGGUCCACCUUCGUGGACAGGGCCUUGUUCUCGGCCACGAUGCCCUCAAUCUGGUCAAAGCACCUUUUCCGGUACUUCGCCGUUUUCAUUGCGCCCUGCAAGAAGAAUACUUAGUGAAUCCAGAAACAAUGCAUAUAAACUUUGAGCAGCACAAAAGACUACUUACCUUAACCUCGUCCACAAGCCACUUCGCUGCGCGCUCCACCCUCGUGGCCUCCUCCGUCUCCGCGAGUUCCUCAUGACCGAUGAAGUGGUCCCCGCGUUGGCGCCACACGUACACGUGCUGGCGGCCAUCUUGGGGACGACCUUGGAUCUCCUCCACUUCAUCGUCGGAGGCCGUCCGGGCUUCCUCGCCCUCCGCACUACCCCCGGCCAUGGUCGCAGGUAUCACUGGACCCUGAUCCAGGCCAGGGGAGCCUACUGGUGAAGAGGCCCCUGCUCGAGGCGGGGUUGGGACUCUCCCUUCUUCCGCCAGCUCUGCCAUUUUCCUCUGCAACGUUGCUUGGGGGAGGCGUCCUCGCAGCCUCUCCAUCCCUUGUAGGGGUGCCCGCUCUGGCCCUUGCCAGCGCCGGAUGCUCCUCGGCACUCUCAGCCGCGGUCGUCGUCGCGGGCUGCUCCUCGGCAUGCUCCUGGGUGGUCUGUGGCACGGCGUCUCCAACGACAGCUAUGGGCUCGGCCGUCCUCUGGCCAGCGAUGUGGUCAGGGUCAACGUCCGAUGCCGCGCUAACAAAAUAUGACAUUUAACCAAUGUCAAAAGCAGCAAUAACAAAAACAAGAUGAAGCGUAAAAGUGAGAUUGAGCAACUUACAGAUCGGAGCGCCUGUGCGUUGCGGUGAAGAACCUUCUCCUGGUCCUACCAGCCGCCGCCGCUGCUCCUGUCUCUCCAACACGCGUCGGCUUGGUGUGUGGGGCAGGUGGGUCGCUAGUCAUUCGACCAGCAGUGGCCGGCGCAAGGUCCGGAUGACUACGCGGCCUUCGAACCAAAGAUGGUGCCGCCUCCUCCUCCUCGUCGUCGCCGGUGAUCCUGACGAGCCGACGACGUUUCGGCGCUUGGCUGCUCUCUGCCGGCAGCGCCUCUGCAGGGGGCGGAUCCACUGCUAGUGGCCUUUUCCCCGCUACCCUAUCCUCGGUGGUUGGGGCGGGACGGUUCUGCUCCUCCUCGCUGCUGGUGUAUUGAUGACACCGAGCAGCGUCGUCCUCUAGCAGGUCCACCCCCGCAGGAUUCUCCAUACCAGGCGCCAGUGAUAUGUACACUGCGCACCGAUCAAUGUCUCCAAUCUGCAGUAGAACCAUCGACAAGUCAUAAACUAGGCGGACGAGUACUCAAAAAGCAAUACUAGUCAAUAACACUAUUUAUUUACCUUAGGAGCUGGUCGCCCCAGCUUGAAGGCGUGCACCCGAUCACUACUUCGAACGAAGUUGUCAUCCGUAAAGUUGAACAACUCGUUCAUCAGCUGUUGCACCUCCGUCUUCUCCAGACCGUCGGGGCUCAUCUUGGUCGGGUCCAGGCUCCCCGCGUACUCGUACGCCGAGUGUACCCUCCUCUGGCAGGGCAUCACCCGACGUACAAUAAAGUUCCCGACCACCCCUGGCCCGUCUAAACGGGACCAGUCGAUCAGCUUCAUUAGGUCUGCCACUUGACCGGAGAAGUCUGGGCGGUCUGUCCAGCUGACCCUCUUCUCGAGGAUGUAGCCCACGUCGCAGAACGUGGUGCUACCCGGCUCUUCCCUGAUAUAGAAUCACUUCUUGUACCACUCGGUAAGAGAAGUGUUCCACGGGCAGUUGAGGUACCGGUUCUUCAUUCCAUCACGCAGAUUGAGGUAUACUCCACCUGCAAUCUUGGAGCCUCCAACUGCUCCCUUCUUCCUCAGACAAAACAGAUAACGAAAAAGAUCGAAGUGCGACUCUAUCCCAACAUAGGCCUCGCACAAAUGAAUAAAGGUGGAGAUAAGAAGAAUUGAGUUCGGGUGCAGAUUGCAGAUCCCGAUCUCAUAGUAAAGAAGAAGGCCCUGGAGGAAAGGCUGGACAGGAAUCCCAAAGCCCCUUUUGAUAAAAUCUUCAAAAACCACGAUCUCACCGGCACGAGGGUCGGGGUAGCUUUCCCCUUCCGGCGCCCUCCAGGCACCGAGCUCCUGGUUGUGGAGUAGCCCCAUUCCGACGAGGUCGUUAAGGGACCUCGUGCUGCUCCGGGACUUCUUCCACUCUUUCGCCAUCAGCUCGGCCCUUUUCUUGUUGUCACUCUUCGCCAUUGAUACUGCGGGAAUGACUGUGAGCUGGGAGAACUGGUGGUGGUUGCAGAAGACAGGAAUGGCAAGAAUGGAAAGCUCGAAGGCAAAGGCAGGGUAAAGAUUAUGGGUGUAAUGUCAGGCUUUUAUAAGCAACAGCUCCACCUCUUCCACUUCCCGCAUUCUUGGGAAGUGGGCGGGCCCAGCGGCGGAUGCAGCGUUUCGGUUCUCAACAAUUACCGGCAGUUAAUACGGCGGCUUUUUUGUAUAAUUGAUGGUUUCCUUUUCUUGAACCGCGCCAAGAGCGGCUGCACAGUUACCAGGCGCACCUUUUCACGCAGCCAUCUGACAAUAUGCCAGGAUGCUUCGUCACAUCACACAUUAAUGUGGCAAGAUGCUUUUUUCAAAAUAACAGGCAGAAUUGGUGGAGGACUGACAUUCCUGGGGACUGUACCGACCACCGAGCACUAUACGCUCGGGGACUGGUCGACAAGUCUGCUAGUUUGGAGACCUGGGGGCUGCACCGACCACCGAGCACUAUAUGCCCAGGGACUGGUCGACCAGUCUGCCAGUUUGGAGACUUGGGGACUGCACCGACCAAUCUGAGCACUAUACACUCAGGGACUGGUCGACCAAGCCUACAAGAUGAAAAUUCGGGGACUGUACCGAUCACCGAGCGUUAUAUGCUCGGGGACUGAUCGAUUAGUCUAUACAAUUGCAGACGAGCAUGAUAUGCUCGGGGAAUGGUAAAUUAAAUUUUUAGACCAUGCUACAAGGCUCAUACUUCGCCUUCCAGCAAGCUCGGGGACUACAUCGGUACGAUGCAUCUGGCGAUGCAUCUCAGUUUUAGAAUUUCUAUGAAGACUUUUUUGACCCUGGCACCACGUGCCUACGUCACCUACUACCAGGCUCAGGGACUAAGUGGGCACACUUCACCUUGCGGUGAACAUGCUUGCUUUUUGAAAGUCUCUACUUUUCAGAAAAGUAAAGUAGGCACACUUCACCAGGAAAGAAAUCUUUUUUGAUUAAAGAGCACCAUGCAUUCUUCGAACAACCUACUUCUUCGAUGUCAAUGUUGAUCAAUUGUCUUUUGAGUUGGUCAAGAUACAAUUGCAACUGUUUGGGCGACUUUCCUGCUUAUUGAAGAUGUCAAGCCUUACUGGUCGAAGAAGCUCAAGACGACGUGUUACAUCACAAUACAUGGUGCUCGGGGACUAGCUGUGGGGGUAUAAACCCCUAUACCCAUACGGCAAGACUUGGGCCAGGAGGCUUGGCCCAUUACGAGACAAGUUCGAGGCUUGAUCCGACUGCUCGGAGUUUCGCGCAAGGAAACAGGACGUGGAGAUCAAGCAGGAUUCUAGUCGGUUAGAAUAGGAAUUGAUAUCGUACUAUCUAUGGCAAUUGUAACCGACUAUGAUUAGUUUCUAGAUCUGUAACCCUGCUCUCUGGACUAUAUAAGGAGAGGCAAGGGACCCCCCUAGGACACAUUAUUCUCUUGACACAAAUCAAUACAACAAGACGCAGGACGUAGGUAUUACACCCACACGGCGGCUGAACCUGGAUAAAAACCUUGUCUGUGUCUUGCGUCACCAUCAAGUUCGUAGCUUGCGCACCGUCUACCGAUAAACUACUACCGUGGGUAUACCCCAAGGUAGACUGCCGACUAGCUUUCGUCGACAGGAUACAUCUCGCGAACUAGAGCACCAAUUACAGUUGGGGGUUUGCGAGAAGUUCGAUAAGGAUGCACUUCCCAGUUCCUGAUAAUUUUACAUAAAACAAAUGACAUCAUCAUAUAGGUAUAAAAGAUAUAUGAUACAUAAAUGAAAUGUUAAAGAAAAAACUCAUGGAACCGGCCAUUACUGAAUACACCCAGCCUACAGAAGAUGUGGAAUGUUAAAAAUACAACAUAUUUUUUUUAGUCUUUGCAAACUUUUUAAAUAACUAUGCUGGUGCAUACAACUAUCUAUAAGUAGGCUACUAAACUAAUGACAAGACAUUUUGUUCUCCAUCAUGGAUAAGCUGUCCUUGCUAAAAUUUAAUCUAAACAAUGAGCACUUGAUUAAAUUGCCAUUACAUCAGCACUUAGAAAAAAAUAGGACAUGCUACAUGCUAAACACUAAACAGUUCUGGAAGUCUUUUACUUACUCUCCAGCAGCCUUGAUUGUGGGUCUUUCACUUUCUGGAAGUCUUUCACCACUAUCAGUCCUUGAUCGAGUUUAUAUGUCGAGCUCUGAAGUCUCUACAAAAUUCUAGCCAUGUGACAGGAGGAGCAUUGUUGGGAAGAGCAGCUUGAUAUGACUCCCACCAUGUCUGAGCUGCCCCCUGAAGCUGUCCAGAAGCAUACAACACCUUCUCCAAGUCAUUGCACUGGGCUAUGUUCAGUUGCCUCUCCACAGCACGUAACCAAUCAUCUGCCUCCAUGGGAUCAGCUGAGUGUGUGAAUACCGGAGAUCUUCCAUUCAUAAACUCCCCACGCUUAUCCCUCACAUGAACAGGUGGUGGUGUUGGUGGAGGUUGCUGCUGUAGGUGCUGAAAGAAAACGUGCAUCAUCUCAUUUUGGGUUUGCAUGAGUUCCUCCACAGUGAUUGGGGCAUUGCCACCAUUGCCAUGGCCUCUGCCCCUGCCUCUUCCCCUUGCUGCCAUCUGCAUUCCAAGGUAUAUAAACACAUCUUAGUAAUGCCCAACAUGACAAUUACAAGAGUUAACGGAAUCUGAAAUUUUCUGGGUAACAUCCAACAUCAGUAGAUCAGAAAAUCAAUCAUAUCUCGAGUUCCAGAAUAUCAAAGGAUACAUGCUGUAAACCGUUGGAAAGAUAAAGAAAUUGUCUACAACUUUCAUUUAGAUCAUAUUAACAGAUUCCAAAGCUGGUUUAAUCAAAAACUGGGUACAACCGAAACUGUUCCAGAAUUCCAGACUGCGCAGAAACUUCAAAUUUAAACAGCCAUAACUCACAGCUCAUAACAGAUAAUCAUGACAUUCUUGUGGCAUUGGAAAUAUGGGAAAGUCUACUUGUUCCCAGAAAACAUUGAUGAACAUUACACGAACAUAAUUUGAUUUAUACCAGAAUCAUUGCAGACUGCUCCAGAAAACAGCAAAGGACAGAAACAGGAUAUGACCCCAAACCACUAUUUAUUCAUGUUCUUACUAAAGGUUCUUAACUAGGGAACUUGUGGAUAUACCCACAAGGUUCCAGCACUCAUUACAAAAAUUCAAAUCAAGCAUAAGCAUAAUAACAAACCAAACCAAGCAUUAAAAGUUCACACUUCAAGCAUUGACUCAACUUGCGGUACUAACGUUCUCUUCCUAUUAAGGGUGAAGAUCCUAUAACUCCUAUUUCAAUGACGUUAGAAGGUGGUAAGAAAAGUUCUAAAAGCAUAUUCAAAUCAAGGAGUGGGGAUGAGAACAAGUCUUUAAAAUAAGCAACAAGGUGAAUAUGAAUAGCAAUGGGAAGGAUAUAGUAUUGAGGAAAAAUAUCAAGGUUUAUAGAACAAGGACUUUAUAGUAAUUUCAAGACCUUAAGACGGCCAAUUUCUAACUAGGCUUGCGUCCGAAAGUCAACAAAGCUUUGAUACCAAUUUGUCACACCCAUAUUUUAAGAACAAAAUAGGAUAUAUAAAAGACUCAUAUGUGCCCCAGAAACAGUCGCACACAUAAGUAGACAAAUCUCAAAUGUAUCAUUGCAGUGUUUAUUACAUAGUGGAACAUUAAUAAAUCACAUAGUGUUACACAAAAAUAAUAUGAGAUAAACAACGCUCUCGACGGAAGCUCCACACAGGGACACUGUUGACUGGUUGACUCCAAACCUAAUACUCAUAGUGAUAGUCCUCAUUCCAAUCAUCAUCAUUAGCAUAACCUGGGGUGUUGGGAAAUUACAAGAGUGAGGACAUAUCGUACUCAACAAGUAUAACCAGGGGUUCAUGAGGCUCAAAUAGCUGACACAGGUUUGACUGCAUUUAGCUUUUAAUAGUGGAUAGCAUGUGUUGAUAUUUGGUAACGCAAUUAGAAAAUAAUCCGCAAGCGCACGGAUAUCGGUGAGCAUUUCACCCGGGAGGUUAUCCAGAGUUAUCGUAUUUAUAUUUUUACCACUGGGAGAAAGGGUGCAUCUGACUAACCAAAUCUAUUGCUACUAUCCCUUUAGGCUACAAAGAAUGUCUCUCGAUGUGAGUGAUGUAUAGAGAAGACUGCAACUGUAGUCUUGUUCUAACCUUAAUAAGGAUGAUCUACUGUUCUAUUGGGGAGGCUCACGGAAUCUAGACAACACAAAGGAUGUUCGACCCGCACCUAUAAACCUACCCGUCCUGCUAACGAGAUGUGAUCUGCAAAGGUAACUCGGAAAUGUCACGUUCCUCGCUACUACCACGGUCCAGCUAGUAAGGGGAUAUCUAUGAGUACCCUAACCUAAACACCACGUUUACGCUAACAAGUGAUUACUCUAAUACUCAACCGGAAGAGGAUUAAAGUAAACUCAUAAACCAAAGAACAAUAAAACAAGAACUUACUAGUAUUAGAAGUCGAAUUACUGAAGAAUCUUAGAAGCAAGCCUCGGGUUAGGAGACUUGAUCCCACAGGUACAACUCGGAGUAGACACCGACAGGCCGGCCUUCCUCCGAUCCACACCUCCACUCUAUCUCUCUCAAUCUAGUAGAAACUAGAAGAUCUAUUUCUACUUACAUUGGUUGCUAAGCCUAAAAAGAAAUAUUAUUUAGAGAAGAGGUUUUCCUUCGAGGGCACCCCUCAAUCUCUAUGAUAAUUUCUUGUCUCCUCCAGGGGCCAGAGGGGGUCUCCUUAUAUAGUCCUCCCCUUCUAUGCGUUUUUGGGUCGAUAGGCGAGGUGGUACUAUGUUAUUCUGGAUCCAAUAGGUCGGUGGAACGUCGUGUGCGAAGAGAGUCCGGAACGGAGUCCAGAGGGGGGCGGGCGCCCUGGGCCUGGCCCCUUUCGGGCUCCGCUUCCUUCCCGUGGCUUCUGGAAUCUUCUAGAUGGUAGAAAAUUGCGCGGUGGGUUGAUAUCUCUAUGUAAUCCCGACAUGUGGGCCUUUCUUCCUUAUUUCCUGAUAACCCCCUGCAGAAAUAGACAAACACCAAAACUCGUGGAAUUCUGUCAGAUAAAACCCUAAGUCUAGAUGUUGAUUUCAUUUGGAUCCUUUUCUUUGUUUAUUUGAUAAUUAAAUUUGAUACUUAAGGACCGUCAACAAACUCCCCAAAGCUUACCUCUUGCUCGUCCCUGAGCAAGGAUGAACUCAAGAGUUUCUGCAGUGGUUUCAUUUCUUAGAAGUACACACGCAUUUAAGCAAGAUCUCAUCUCUGACUUAGAAUAAACUGUUAAGACUUAAAACUUACUUACUUUACCUACACCAUAGGACUUGUAACCGUCACUUCUGUCUUGAGUGGUUAAAAGAUAGAACAGUCUAGCCAAGUGUCAUGUCUCUUAUUCUUGAUCAGCUAUAGCUCUGGGGUUUUUGCAGAUUUUCAAAUAAAACUCAGAAAUUCCUUAUAUGAUUCUCUCAGGUCUCUCUUUUGUGGUAUUUUUGGAUCCUUACCAAGGCAGUGAUGGUAUAUGCCUUCUCUCAAGAUAUGUAGUAUUUGUGGUAUGAAGCAUAGUGACAUUGUCUUCUCUCUCACCCUACUCUAAUAAGGCUUUAAUAUCUGGAGCUCAUAGGUGGGAGAUAAAGUAUACAUACUUACAAGACAUUUAUUGCAUAGUCAAACCAUGGAUCCAGAGAAACAAGUCAAUAAGUCAAAUCAAGAUGUGCAUGUGUGGCGAAUGUAUGGUGUAUGGUGAUGAUGGUGAUAACAAUGGUGAAAGUCUAAUUCUACUUUUGCUCUUUUAAGGGGAUACAUACCUUUCUUGCACUUAGAAGCUUUUUGGGGAGAAUGAGAUGCUCCAUAUUUUCUUUUUCUUACCUCUCAGGUGGGUAUCUUGUACCCCUAAUUCUACUAUCGGACACUUGUCCAUUUUUACCUCUCGUCUCACUUUUUCUUUUCUUCGAGGUUCCGGGCACUUGCCCCUUUUUAUUUACUCGUAUAUUUUUUAUUUUUUUUUCUUCUUCUUUUUUUUUCUCUUUUUUUUUUCUUUCUAGAGCACUCAUCUCCUGAAAUAAUGUAGCAAGUGGUAGUAACCAAAAUAACUAGAGCAUUUAUUUCACAGGGAAUAACAGGGAUAGGAAAAUAUUUUUGGCUAUUCUCUCCCGGAUUAGGAGUAGAAUAAUUUUGGGUAAAACUGGAGAUAGAAAUGAGUGGAUAUAUGUGGAUGAUAUUUCCGGAGUAGAAGUAGCAUGUAUGAGUAAUCGUGCAAGUGAAUCUUGAUUUUAACCACAUGACAAGCUCCUAAGGGUCUACACAGCUUGACCACACUCAAUGCUCAUAAGCAGUAAAUGGUAAAUGUGUGGCUCAAGGUCUAGCAAGCAUGUAUAUAUGGCUGUGGUAGGAAUUUAAACUCUCAUCAUACAGGAACUCAUCAUGCAACAUUUUAAAGAUUUUCAAAGAUAAAAUUCUCCAGAAUUCUAGCAUCUCUAGGAACAGAUAAACAGCAGCUCAACCUUCCCAUAUCGUAUCCGUUAACAACUUAGACUUCAGCUCAAGUUUUCAUCCCACAAGUUUAGGUCUAGAGCAAGCCUUAAAUUAUAACAGUUAUAUCUAAACUUGAGAGAGAACUUCAAAUUUGCAAAUUAGGCAGAGCAACUAUUCAUCAUAUCCAUGCUUAAGUUUUAUUAGAUACAGAUUAGCAUAGCCACUUUAUUUAUUUAUUAAACAUACUAAGCAAAAUAUAUAUAAGCAUAAAAUCUUUAUUUGGUUUUUCAUAGUUAUGUGUAUUUAUAUUCUAAUAUAGUAUAAGUAUAAAGAUAGAUAGAAAUACUUAUCGAGAUAAAAGGGGGUGCUCUCCCCCAAGCUGAAUUUUGACGUAAUUUCUCUUGAUGUAGCUAGCAGGUGGCAGAGGUGUGUUUGAAAGUCAGCAGUAUUUUGACAGCGAUUAGAAUGUCCUCCGUCUGCUAGUCUUCUUGAUUCUUAAAUUCUGUGGAGCUCAAAUAGACAACAAAGCUUGUGGAACUAAUUAAGUGUUAGCAUAAAUAUCUAGCCUUCAUCAUGUUGAGCUUCCUUAAUAAAUGUUAUUUAUUUAGCAGGAUCAUACACUUAUUAUUAUUAUAUAUAUAUAUAUAUAUAUUUAUAUAUUUUUAAUUUAAGAUGAAAACUUAUUUAUUUUAUUUUUAUGCCACAACAGUGAAUGUACUUAUGGGUUUUAUGCCAUGAGCAUACUCACAUGGGGCUUACUAUUUUUUAACAUUUUUAGUAUUUUUAUUUUCUUUUCAAGAUAGCAUGAACCUGAUUAACUAAGCAAACUAUAAUUGAAUAAUUGAAAGGAAAAGGAUAACUACCAAGUUUACCUCUUGGCAAGGCGUUCGGUGUUUUUAAGUCCUCCGAAUGGGACUCCUUGUGUUUUUAGUCGUCCUGGAAUUCGCUAGGUGGCGUAGUCGGUGAUUCCGGUGGCGCCUCCUCUUUGUGUAUAACUAUGUUCUCUUUCCAUACCUGACUCGGUGCUACGGUCUCCUCAGGACAGUUCUGUUCGUUGUAUGUCUUCAGUCCUUAUCACUUCUCCUUCGUAGUCUACCCAUCCGUCCUUGAUGAUUUGCCUCCUCUGGUUGCGGUUGUGUUGUCUUCUUCUUGUCCUGACCUGCUUAGAAUCUUCAACUAUAUAGUUAGAAUCAUUAAAGUAGUGGCGUACCUUCUCAGAGGGGAAGUGCAUGUGGACUUCUCCGGUUCCAGUAUAGAUAAUGGCUUUGAUAGCGCUGAGGAACGGUCUUCCAAGGAUGGUGGAUGGAUCAUACUCGUCUUCUCUCAUGUCAAUGACCUAAAAAUUGCCUGAAGCUGAAUGUAUCUUGGUUGUAGGAGCAUGGUUCCAUACAGGAGCUGAUAAGUGACUGCGGCCAUUAUGUUGUCGUUAGAUCCGGUGUCGUAGAGUGUCUUCUGAAAAGAGUAUCCGUUGAUUGUGCACUCGAUGCUUGGAACACCAGGGUUGUCCUUCUUGAUCAGGAAUGGCGACUUGAGUCGACGAUCUUGACCUCUUUGAACUGCAGUGACCAUCUUAGCUGACUCAGUCCACAUUUGCUUGUUCCUGUUCCUCCUGUUGGUCCUCUUCCUUGGUUCAUGUCGGGUUUGCUCUGAAGCUUGUGUAGUCUUGUUCUUGAAGGAAACUCUCCUUCUUCCCCUUGAUGUAGAGACUGAUCUUGGCAGCAUUAGCGUAGAUGACUCCUCUGGUGUUUAGGAAUGGCCUCCCUAAGAUGAUGGGUGCUCUCUCCUCACUACCAGUCUCUAUCACCACGAAGUUUGCUGGAGUGUACAAGGUACCAACUCAGACACAGAGGUUCUUCAAUAUUCCUUUGGGAAACUAAGUGUCUGAUCUCCAUUGUGUUUGUGCUCGUAGAUCUCGGUUCUUCACUUGAUGGAAUCUGAGAGUUGUAAAACGCCUUCACGUUUCUCAAAAUGUGUCCUGCUCAUAGAGACAAGACAGAGAUCAAGUGCAUAGGCCCUGUUGGUGGAAAACACCAACAGAACCAAAAGUGUAUUUGUUCUUCUCUAACCUUAAGCAUAUUGAGCAAGACAAAGUUGAUGGAUCAUGAGUGUAGCAUUUAAAACAUUUGUUAGAUCAGAUGGCUCAACCUAAUGGAAAGAUAAUCUAUCUAUAUUUAUGUUUUGUUUAUAUCUUCUAAAGAUUGAAUGUGCAACAUAUUAGCUUAUAUGAUUAGGAGUGUGAGAUCACGAAGGUAGUACUAAGAACAAGGAUUAAAGGAUUAAACAUGUUGAAUUAAUUGAGUUGGUUAAUUUGGAGUUAUAAAUCAUACAUGUUUGUCUCUUUAUUUAUGUGAAUGCCAGAACCAAGGAGGAGGUUAUAAAAGUGUUAGUCAAGUACCUUAAGAUGUUACCUUACUUGAAGAGUGAUGGUACAGUAUCACCUUGUGGAAGCUUUCCUUUCUUAGCGGUUGUGCAUCGUGUUUGUGGCACCCUCCAUGAAUCAUCUCUUAUGAGCUACGUCUUUCUUGUGCAAAUUGUUAAACUUCAUGUGUCACUUUCUUCAUCUCUAAUGAGUUUGCAUCUCAGGACUUCCCAGGUUGUUAUUGAAAGUUUUCCUACAGGGGUUAGUCCAACAAAAUAUACCAAUAUCUACUCAAGCAGUUUUUAGUUCAGUAACCAAACUAGACUCCAUGUCUAAUCAGAUUAAGGAAGGCUAUUUAACCUAAGCACCACGCUUAAUUUAAAUGCCAUUGGAAGUGUGACCAAUACUUCCAAACUAACACUUACUAGGAUAAACAAAGGUAGCAUGAUGGCUUUUAUAGAGAUCUACUCAAGUGGAGAUGAAGUAGUGUGAUUAGUAUUUAACAAAUUGAGCAUGUCUCAAAGGUAAGGACAACCAACAUAGCAACAUGGCAAAGGAUGUUUUAUGUAAAGUACUCCCCCAAGCUUGAAUUUUGCAAAAUUCAAGAUUGGAUGAAUUUAAUUUAAUGUUGCAUGAUGAUUGGUUGGGCAUACCUUGCGCUUGUCAUUCAUCCGAUCUUCUUGCUCCAAUCCUAGAAAGGUUAGUGGCAAGAAUACCCGAAGGAAUAUUUCUACAAUUAUCUUUAUAUGCUCAAUACACAAGGCAAUGUUGCAAAUAAUUAGAAGUGCUUGUUUUAGGACACUAAGCUUGUCCUUGGGGAACCAUCAAUUAACUCAACGAGAUCUGCAAUAUUUAUUAUAGACAUAUGCAUCGACAACCGCCCUUUUAAAGUUUUUAUAAAUAGAAAAGAAGAGGGGGUUGGAGAUCUCAAAUGUGAUAAGGAUGGAGAGACCAAUUGAUUGGAGAGAUGUUUUAUAUGAGCAAGGACUGGGUGAGGUAUUUAUGAAAUAACUUCCAUGCUCACUGCUGUUUCUCUCAUUCUCAAACUCCAAAGAUGAUUCUUCAUGAAUGCUUAAAAUUCCUCUAGGAUUGUCUCUCAAAUUUGUUUUAUCUAUCCAUUCAAUUGUGAUAGCACAUGGAUUUUUAAUGCCCUCUAGCCAUUGAUGUUGCUCUUCUCGAUCCUCCUUCUUAUGCAUGGGAUGUCUAGAGAGAUUCAUAGGAUUAUCGGGAGGUUCAAGAGAAAGAGCAUAGUAGAAUUUAUUAAGCUCAAGGAUGGGUUGGAUAGCCGAAUCAUGGGAUUGAAAUGUUUGGAAAUCGGCUAUUGAAACUUCCUCUCCUUGUAUGGGAGAUGAUUCCUUCUCUAUCUCUAAGAUUUUUCUAUGAAGACUAGUACAAGAAGGAUGUCCACAAAUGAAGACAUACCUUCCUUUACUAAUAGAUAAAGAAAGAAAGACUCUACCAAAAAUUAUAUGAUUAAGACCAAUGUGAAAAUAUCUAGGAAAAACAUGGUCUUGUAGGGCUAGGUCUAAACCAGAAUUUAUAGAAAGAUUAACACAUUCCCUAGGUGUAGCUAAAAGUGCAUUAUCUUUUUGAUUAAAAGAUAGGACCUCGGCUAUAGAAAAGGGUUGGUUUUGACCUAUUGCAAUCAACUCCGGACACAGAUCAUAAUUAGGGGCAGGACGUGUUGACUCCCAUGGUCUAUGGCUGGUCUCCGAAGGUGCAAAGAAUUUAAUUAUAGGUAUGGAAUUCAAGUUAUCCAUAAAGAUAAAAAUAAAAAGAUAAAAGAAUAAAUGUAUAAAAGUAUAAUACAAGAUAAUAGCAAGACUCAAAGUUAUCUCAGCAAACCGUCUUUCUCCCCGGCAACGGCGCCAGAAAUGCUUGUUGAUAUUUGGUAACGCAAUUAGAAAAUAAUCCGCAAGCGCACGGAUAUCGGUGAGCAUUUCACCCGGGAGGUUAUCCAGAGUUAUCGUAUUUAUAUUUUUACCACUGGGAGAAAGGGUGCAUCUGACUAACCAAAUCUAUUGCUACUAUCCCUUUAGGCUACAAAGAAUGUCUCUCGAUGUGAGUGAUGUAUAGAGAAGACUGCAACUGUAGUCUCGUUCUAACCUUAAUAAGGAUGAUCUACUGUUCUAUUGGGGAGGCUCACGGAAUCUAGACAACAUAAAGGAUGUUCGACCCGCACCUAUAAACCUACCCGUCCUGCUAACGAGAUGUGAUCUGCAAAGGUAACUCGGAAAUGUCACGUUCCUCGCUACUACCACGGUCUAGCUAGUCAGGGGAUAUCUAUGAGUACCCUAGCCUAAACACCACGUUUACGCUAACAAGUGAUUACUCUAAUACUCAACCGGAAGAGGAUUAAAGUAAACUCAUAAACCAAAGAACAAUAAAACAAGAACUUACUAGUAUUAGAAGUCGAAUUACUGAAGAAUCUUAGAAGCAAGCCUCGGGUUAGGAGACUUGAUCCCACAGGUACAACUCGGAGUAGACACCGACAGGCCGGCCUUCCUCCGAUCCACACCUCCACUCUAUCUCUCUCAAUCUAGUAGAAACUAGAAGAUCUAUUUCUACUUACAUUGGUUGCUAAGCCUAAAAAGAAAUAUUAUUUAGAGAAGAGAUUUUCCUUCGAGGGCACCCCUCAAUCUCUAUGAUAAUUUCUUGUCUCCUCCAGGGGCCAGAGGGGGUCUCCUUAUAUAGUCCUCCCCUUCUAUGCGUUUUUGGGUCGAUAGGCGAGGUGGUACUAUGUUAUUCUGGAUCCAAUAGGUCGGUGGAACGUCGUGUGCGAAGAGAGUCCGGAACGGAGUCCAGAGGGGGGCGGGCGCCCAGGUCCUCAGGGCGGGCGCCCUGGUCCUGGCCCCUUUCGGGCUCCGCUUCCUUCCCGUGGCUUCUGGAGUUUUCUAGAUGGUAGAAAAUUGCGCGGUGGGUUGAUAUCUCUAUGUAAUCCCGACAUGUGGGCCUUUCUUCCUUAUUUCCUGAUAACCCCCUGCAGAAAUAGACAAACACCAAAACUCAUGGAAUUCUGUCAGAUAAAACCCUAAGUCUAGAUGUUGAUUUCAUUUGGAUCCUUUUCUUUGUUUAUUUGAUAAUUAAAUUUGAUACUUAAGGACCGUCAACAGCAUGUUUAGUCAUUGGAUAGCAAAUAUCAAGGUAGCAUAAUUAAUCCCAUAACCACAUGAUCAAUGUAUACAAGAAUUAAGAAUAACACAUAUAAACAACAUAAUAAACCAUCAAUUAUCAUCAUUAAUCAUAUUCAUCAGUGUCCAUCUAUUGUGUCAGUUUUCCGGGCCACCCGUAUCCGUGGGCACAGCUAGUAUACUAGAUUUAACACUCUGCAGAGGUUGUACAUCUUUACCCAUGAGUCAUGAUUUACCCUUUCGCCCGAGGUAGCUAAUCUCUUAACCCCCUUCCAAGGGUGGUCGGCAGGGAUCAAUGACGCGCAAGGUUUCCUUUGCGCGUAGAUAUAGAUACCCCCUUUCAAAUGGCACAAUGACGCGCAGCCUAUACACAUAAGGACAGGGGCUCGCACUAUACCCAAAACGGUUCAGCCCCUCCACCCUUUCGGGUAACCUCUAACAAGCUAUAAAAGUUCUUCAUACUGAGCUAAAGCCAGAGCCAUAUAGCCCUCAUGGUUGUACGAGUUGUCCCAGCUUUUGCCAAGGGAUAAGUCCUUAUGGAGGGUCAAGAUCAAUCCAGCAAAAGCCAGAGUUCUUUCCACCCUUUAUAUUCAAGUUGCUAGAGAGCUUAUUUUAUUGAUUAUUGUAUAUUCAAAUAUUCAUGUCACAAGAUCAUGGAUUAAUAAUCAAGCACUAGCAAGAACUACCCAUAUGCAUAUCCAAAUAGGUAACAAGGAAUUCAGGAUAACAAUCAUCUAUGAUUUUGCUAAGGUCAUCAAGGUGAAAGCAUGCAUAUGAUAUAUAUUGUAUUAAUUGUGUAUAGGUAACAAGGAUAGUCCCAAGUUAUACUUGCCUUGAUCAAAGCUCUCUUGAGCCAGCUGGUCUUCAAAAGCUUGAUCUUGAUCACCAACGUACGGCUCACCGUCUAUUCCCAAACAUCAAUCAACAACACGCAAUCCAAUGUAGACAAUCAUACACAAAGCAAACAAGAUAUAAUUAGAACAAUACACCAAACAGUGGUAAAACAAAUAUAAAAGUUUAUCAAAAUAUUCUACGCAGCGCUACGAUCACAUAAACGUAAAGUUCACAAAAAUCAGAAUUAAAACGGUAAAGUUAUGAAUUUUCUAAGAUUUCCUUUAGAGAAAUAAUUAAUUAAAUGCUACUACAAAAAUAAAAAGUUUCAAAACAGAGAAAUAAUACUUCUAACAUGUAGAGCUCGCGAAUACGAAUCUAACAAAAUUUGAAUGGACAAAAACGGUGUUUAAACGAAUAUUUUAUAAGCAAAACAGUUUCAGUGGCAAUUUUGUGAAUUCUGGAAAACGUAUUUGGAACUCACUGAGUCGGUUUACGCUUUCAUAUCGUCAAAACGCAUUUACGAAAGGCGCCAAAGGGACCGCGGGUUCUAAUGCCAAAAAGGAGGGGGGCUCUUUAGCAAAAACACAUGUGAAAUGUUAUCUUUUAAUCCUGACCGCUGGAUCGCGAUCCGACGGUGGUGGUUUGAUCUGGGCGCCGAGCUAGCCGACGGCGGCUGGAACAGUGACGCCCGCGGCGGCGCCAUGGCCGAGACAUCGCCGGAGACGCGAAAACCACGAUUUAGAUCACCUAAAAAAUGAAAGGAGUACAUGGGACGGUGGAGAAGCUUACUGCGAACUCACUAGGGGCGAGAUCGGGGCACGAGAAGGAGCAGAAACAGCCGGGCACUCACCGCGGCGGAGAGGACUCUCGGCGAGAUCUAGUUCUCGUGGAAAAGGAAGCUAGAGCUCGGGUUGAACGGCUUAAGUGCGGAAGGAGGUCUACGGGGUUGAUUUGAGAGCUUUAUAGGGCAUAGCACGCGGAUUUGGUAGGAAUCCCGUCGUUUUCAGAAUCGGUUGGAGCCGGUUCGUGAGGAGGCGUGUUCGGCCACGCUGGGGAAGAAGGAAAGGUGGGUGGGGAGGCUGACUUGCGGGUCCCGCGUGACAGCCAGAGAAGGAGGGGGGAGAAGGCGCGCGCCAGGUGGCUCUCCCUUUUCUUUUUUUCCCUUCAUUUUCUAUUUUAUUUUCCAAAGCAUUUUCAAUUAGAGAAUGAAUUCAAAUUUUGGAUCAAACUAAACCACACAGCACAGAACAAAAUUAUGGCCAGCAUGAAUGCAAGGACAUGUUACUAAAUUUAUGGUGAAUUUUAAUUUCAACAAAAAAUAUUUAUUUACUAUAUUACAUGCUCAUAAAAAUAUUCAAAUAAAUCAAAUUAAAUCCUAUUAUUUGAAAAUCAAAUUUUUGGGUGUUACACUCAUCCUGCUUCAUACAUGGAAAUUAGUACGUUGCAUAAAAUAUUUAUUAAACAAGAUGAGGUGGCACAAAAAAUUAGGUGAUACACAAGUAAAAUAAGUGAACUAAAUCAUCAAUCGAACAAGCAUGCACCACAUUCAGAUUGGGAAGACAUAUUUCUUGUUCGACAUGAAAGCUAAAUAGUAAGAUACUAAUGUACAUAUUAAAAUAAGGAUUCAAUAAUCAUCAUGAUCAAAUUCUAAGGAAUCAUCAUCUGUGGUUUCCUCAUCCUCGUCAAUAUCUUCCUGGUCGCUAUUUUCUUCAAGUAACUGUUGCUCUUCGUCACUACUACUCCCAUGAUAAGAAAUGGCAUCAUCCAAUUGAUCUUCAGUGCUGCUUUGCUUUUCUAUAGUUUCAAUGUCUUGGGGAUCAAGGACAUCAUCCAUGGCCUCUGAAGAUACAGGUACGUCAUCAACCAAGCCAUCAACAUCAAUGGAGAAGCUUCCCUGCAGCUCAUCUUCUUGGAAAAAUACAUCUCUAGUAGGUGGCUCAUGUGCAGCAUCUCUGUCAAGGUUGGUCAAGGUCCUUGGUUGGAUCUUGUUAACAACACACCAAUCACGCAAAUCAGGCCUUGGAGAUGGGUACUUCAAGUAGUAUACUAGUGUGGCUUGGUGAGCCAUGGCAAAGGGUUCAAAAAUCACUAGCCUUGAAGAUGGCUUGACCUCCACCAAACCUAGUUUUGGUUCAGAUCUAAGACCAGAGAUGGGAUCAAACCAGCGGCACUGUAAGAGCACCAUUUCAAUUUUUCUACCAGCACUAAAAGACAAUUUGAUAAUAUCCUCGACUACACCAUAAUAGUCAAGUUGUUGAUCAUCUGAGGUGAAUGAUGUCAAACAAACCCCUGUGUUCACUGUGGUCACCUUUGCACAAGAAAUCUCAUAUCGCUCUGAUCUGAACCUAUAGCCAUUAACAUCAUACGAGCUGUAUGAUAGUACUCUAGACUUGCAUCCAUUGGCUAAAUUCCACAAGUCUUCAUCUGCUUCAGUAUCCUUUCUACACUAUAAAAAAUGAUUAUUAGAAAAAUAUAUAUACACAUGUGUUGAUGAAAUUUGGCUAAUUAAGGAAUAAUAUGACCUUACAGUGUUCUUAAACCAGUCCACAAAUUCAUUUGUGAUCAAUUGGUCCAGGGCCUUCACUGACAACCUAGGAUUAUUAGCACACUUCUGUGCCACAAAUGACCUACAAAUAUAUACAGUUAUAGAACCUCUGCUAGAAUAGUUAAAAAAUUGUUAUUUGAAUCACUUACUCAAGAUGUCGAUCUACAGCAGAGCAAUUGGUCAAAAUAUAUAGCCUCACUGCAUUCAAUUCUUGUUCUGAGAGAUCAUGAGGCACGCCCCUACCAUGAAGGGUGCCUUGGUAUUGGAAAACAUCUAAAGUGCAGCCACCAUUCUUCACGUGUGUUCCUCUACUAUUGUAUCUGUCAAUCUUUUUCCAUCUAGUACGAACAUGGUCAGCAAAAUAUCCAGAAAAAAAGUCAGUUAUCUCUUUCACAAUCUUGGCCUCUACAAUAGAGCCCUCAACUCUAGCUUUGUUCUGCACUUUCAGGCCCAGGUCAUGCAUGUACCUAGCAAAAUAUUAAUAGAAUGUUUAGUGACAUAAUAACAAAAAAAUGAACCGAGCUGAACUAACUGAUUUAGAAAAACUAAAUAAUUACCUCUCAUGUUGGUACAUCCAACGAAAUGCCACAGGUCCGCCUACCCUUGCCUCAUAUGGAAGAUGCACAAUUAGAUGUUGCAUUGGAUUAAAGAACCCUGGUGGAAACAUUUUCUCUAGCUUGCAGAGAAGAACUGGAAUCUCCUCCUCAAGUUUACGCAUUAUCUCUCGAUCAAUUUCCUUGGCACAUAUUUGUCGAUAAAAAAAACAUAAUUCUGCUAUAUCCUUCCAUUCCUUCUCAGGGAUGAAACCCCUAAGUGCAACUGGCAGUAGGCGCUCGAGGAUUAUGUGUAAGUCAUGGCUUUUUAUACCAAUAAAUUUAUGUUUAUCCAACUUUACAGAUUUACCUAAAUUAGCAGCAAAGCGAUCUGGAAACUUCAAUUGCUUGAACCACUUGAGGAUAACCGAUCUAUCAUCCUUACUAACACAAUAUUUUCCCCUCGGUAUUGACCAUGUGCCAUUGGGCUUCUUAAUCAAGUUAAAAGUUGGGCGGUCACAAAGCAUAGCCAUGUCAAGACAUGCUUUAAUAUUAUCCUUAGUUUUAUCUGCGAUAUCUAGAGUUGUGCCUAAUAGUGCCUCUGCAACAUUUUUCUCAUUGUGCAUGAGAUCAAUGUUAUGUCGGAGAAGCAACUUUUUGCAGUAUGGCAAUCGCCACAAACAACUAAUAUCUGUCCAAUUGUGGGACUUCCCAAACCCUUCAUAUUUAUUCUUGCAUGUCCUAUCAAGAGUUAGAUGAUUUAACUCUUCCAAUAUCUCAACACCAGAUAGGUGCUUUGGUGGAGGAUCUGUAACUUUAGUUUUCUUACGAAAACAUUUCACACUUUUGCGGAAUGCAUGGCUAGCUGGAAGGAAUCUCCUAUGACAAUCAAACCAGCAAGGUUUUUUCCCAUGCUUCAAAUUAAAUGUAUUAAUGUCAGACCCACAAAUUGGACAAGCUAGCUUCCCGUGUGUGCUCCAACAUGCUACUAAGCCAUAUCCAGGAAAAUCAUGAAUGGUCCACAACACCAUUGCCUUCAUGGUGAAGUUUUCCUUUCUAUAACAGUCAUAAGUAAGAGAACCUUCUUCAAAUAAAUCCAGGAGCUCAUCAACUAGUGGUUCCAUGUAUACGUUAAAGUUCUUCCCCGGGUGUUCACGGCCAGGAAUAACGAGUGCAAGGAUGAUGUUGCUCUUUCUAGUGCGCAUUUCAGGAGGGAGGUUAUAUGGAACAACAAAGACAGGCCAACAAGAGUAUGGGGCAGCAUGAGCACUAAAAGGUGUAAAACCAUCAGUUACCAAACCAAGACGCACGUUCCUAACCUCUUUAUCAAACUCUGGAUACAACUUGUUAAAUUCCUUCCAAGCUUCUCCAUCCGAAGGGUGAGCCAUAAUAUUACCAUUGCUGCGGGGUUGUGCAUGAUACCCCAUGUGCUUUGCCGUCUUCUGUGACAUGUACAGGCGUUGUAGCCUUUGAGUAAUUGGAAGGUAACGCAAAAUUUUUUUGGUACUUUCCUAGAUUUCUUUCCUCUAGUUGGCUCCUCAUACCGAGAUUCACCACAAAUAGAGCAGCUUUCUAAAUUUUCUCUAUCGGCUUUGUAAUAUAUCAUGCAUCCAUUGGGGCAUGCAUCAAUCUUCACAUAAGGCAUUCCUAGGCUAUGCACAAACUUCUUAGACCUAUAAAAGUUUUUAGGGAGAUCCUUGGCAGCCUCAUCUCCAACAACUUCAUGUAUAAGAUUCAUUGUUUCAUUGUAACCAGCUUGAGAAAGAUUAUACUGUGAUUUUAUGGUCAUAAGUCGUGCUACAAUGGAUAGGCGGGAGUGAGAUGUCUUAUCAUGCAGCGGUUUAUCUACUUCUUCUAGGAGCUCAUAUAACUCCUUUGCUGCUUUAGUUCGUUCCUCACUCUCAUGGACACCUUCAGCACCAAUAGCAUCAAUUACCAUUUCAUUCAUCCUAUCUGAGCUACCAAUGUAUUCAUUGUCUACUUGAUCAUUUACAUCAGACUCCCCAUGCCUAGUCCAUCUCUCAUACCCCAACUGGAAACCAUUGCGGCAUAAAUGCAUCUCCAUUUCAUCCUUUUUUCUCUUGUGGCAACAGUCACACUUAGUACAUGGACACUUAGAUGUCCCAUCUAUAGCAGCUUCAGGUAAUGAAAAGGCAUGGUUCAGAAAAAUGUCCAAACCAGCUUUCCAAACUGGGCUAAACAAGCUACCUUUCCGCUCAUUGUACAUCCAACUACGAUCCGCACCCAUGGAAAGUACCUACCUAAAUAUUAGAAUUCACGCUUUAGGAAAAAUCAAAUUACUUUCAUGAAAAGAAAAGAAAACUCAAAUAUGCAUAUGGUUCACAAGUGUCAAAGCAGUCAACUUUCCACCCAAAUAGAAAUAAUAGAAGUGUUGCAAGAAAAUUAAUUUGCUGCACACAAAGAGGGAUGGAGGGAGAGAGAUGAAUUGUAGAACCAGACCUUACGUUCUCUGUUUGCGUUCAUGCAAACACUGGUCACCUGCCCAAGCUCCAAUCACCGGCACCUUAGCACACCUGCCAGCACACUAAAAGAGAAGAUGAUUGGAGCAUCAACAAAAUUAUUUUAAGAGAGAAAAUAUGUAUUGGGAAAUAAUGAGUAUUGGAAAAUCAAUUAUCAAUAAUGCAAGACAUGCUCCUAUUCUAAUCUUCACACCGGCCAGCACACAAAAAUAUUUCACAGUAGAAUGUAGACAAAGAAGAUAGCAGUCUAGACAUUGCUCUUCCACCCAUUUACCCUUUUAUCUCCAGGUCUUCUUUGACUUGGACAAUUCUUAGUCAUAUACACGUUCAAAGUUCAUAGUCAUAGAUUGUUUAAUAAUUUGCAAGUCAUGAUCCAGCAAAGUAGCUAAUAAUAAUAGAGAAUUUUUAUAUUUGAACCAGCCUGAACACUAGCAUUAUAUAGCACUAAGAAUGUUCUGAAUUAUAUAGCAUUAGUUCUAAAAUAGUUCCAUUUUUUUCUAGUCAUAAUUCUGAAUUAUUUCUUUUAUCAUGCAGAACUAGCCUGAGUUGUCUUCAGUAUCAGCAAGCAGACCCUUACUGCUCCAAUGAGUUUUCCCUGAAAUCUGAAUACAUGGAAGCCCUUACUGCUCCAUUUGAUAGCACUAAUUUAUUCAUAAGAUGAAGACCAAACAAAUAAUGUCUCAUAAGUUUUCCCAAUUGCUAAUGAUCAGAUGGUACAUCUAAACUACCACAUACUGAGAAUCCACUGUUCAUACUAAUAUUCAGAAAAAAAUUGGGACAUGCUUCACCCAGAACACCAAAUAUUUCACAUCGCAACAUAGACAAACAAGAUAGCAGUCUAGGCAAACAAGAUAGCACAAUUCAGAUCAGGCUUUGCUCCUUCCACUUUGAUUCCACCCUUCAGAUUAGUAUACAUAAGUAAUUCACUUUCCAUCUUAUUAGUAUAGCACUAGUCGUCCAGUCCAUAUGAGAACACAAAUUAAUUAACAUCGUCCAAACCAUCUCAGAACACAAAUUAAUUAAUCGAACCACCAAUUGUUGUCAGACAAAGAUGAAUGCAGUGCAGAUUGAAUAUCCAAAGAACAACAGUAGGGUUCUUGACCAUGGACCAUAUGACACAGAGUAGGACAGGGCUUCGUAUUGUACCUUGUGAAGAAGAUAGCAGAUGUCUGGCGGCACAGAUGCUGAUUGAUUUAGUCCGCGAGAGCUCGGUGCCUGCGAGCGAACGAGAUGUUCUUCACCCCGCGAGAGCUCGGUGCCGGCAACUAGAUGUUCUUCACCCCUCCUGCAGGAGGAUCUUGGCAACCAGCUGCACCCUAUGAUCACGGUAAUUAGAUUCAAUCGGAGUGGGCGGCGAUAAAACCUCUUCGGUUGGGAACGUGGCCGAGAGAUUCGGGAUAUGCGGAGUGCGGCGGUGGGAGAUUAGAGCAUAUCCAACAGAGUAUCUAAAUCAUUUUGUAAAUGUAAAUUUGGCUAAUAUGAGGAAAAAACAGCUCCCAACAGAUUGUCUAGAUGAGUCUUCAAAUUGGAUAACACUCCUUCCCGGAUUUUUCGGUAUCCAAAGAUGGAUAUCAUGCGCCGCUCGCUAUUCGGCUUCCGCGCGCGCCAGCGAAGCCUUCCCGCGCGCCAGACACCUCCUUCCCGCGCGCGAGAUGCCUCCUUCCCGCGCACAAGCGACCACGCACGCAUCAGCUUCCACCGCCACAGCAGGAGGGCGCGUUCCUAGCGGGCUUCAGCUUCCUCCGCCACGGCCUUUGCGGCGGUUCCCCAACCAAUCACCGGCGACGGCGCGAGAUGUCACUGCCGCCGCGACCUCGUGGUCUGGCACCUGUGAGCGGGGAGUACAGCAACCUGGCCGGGCGGGCAUCUUCUACGAUGGGCCAAUUUGCCGGCGGUUCCGUGCCUCAAGGAAGCCAGGAAUUUGGCCAUGUGAAUCUAGGAUGGAUGGAAAACAGAGAGGCUGGAUUGAUACAGCGUAGAGUGAUUCCUUCCACUGACUUCAGUUUCCAGCCAUCGCGGGCCCCCUCCCCAAACCAGCAGCCACAAUUCCCCUUCCUAGAUGCAUCACAGGGUGUCGUCGAGGAAUUAUCUGGUGAGGUCUUGGUCACUCUAUUUCUUUUCUAGUAUAUUCCUAGCAGUGGAUGACUAUUGCUAUUCUCUGUCUAAUGGAUUGUCAUGAUUGAUCUCUAUAUUAAGUACUGAAACUGAGACUUAUUUGUUUCUGCAAACUGAGAUUAUGAUAACAAUAUAACAUUACUGAUUGUGUAGACUGCAGUAUAUACCUUGUAGCAAAGCAACUUGUUCUUGUUGCUUAUCUGAUUCAGUGUUCUGAAAUGUUAUAGGAUCAUUGGUACUCCUCUCCAGUAGUACGAAAUUCUAGUUCUGUCAGUUGGUUGAUAGUGCAUGCAUACUACUUUGCCAGCCAUAGAAUUUGAAACACAUUUGAUAAAUCGUUGUUAUUUGCAAUCAUAGGUGCCAUGGAUUCAAGGGGAUAUUUCACUGGUCUGGUGGAAAAUGGCUUAGGUCUUUCUGGUGAGUUUGAAAACCCACCUCCUUCUCAGGAAGUAGUAGCACAAGAUGAGGUUGAAGCAAUAGGGAAAGCAAACAUGAAAAGAACAAAAAACUUCACAAUUGAGGAGGAUGAACAACUAGUGAAAUCAUGGCUCAACGUGAGUUUGGAUCCAGUAAAAGGUGUGGACCAAGCACGUACCACAUAUUGGAAACGGAUACACGCACAUUUCCAUGCCCACAAGGAUUUCUCAUCUGAUCGCACACAAGGCUCUUUGGUAAAUCGUUGGUCUGGUAUACAACAUGAUGUGAACCUCUUUGCUGGUUAUCUUUCCAAGAUUGAGAAUAGAAAUCAAAGUGGCAUGACUAUCGAUGACAAGGUUUGAUGACACACCUUUCCAUUUCGAAUUGUAUAUUAUUUAGACGCAUCUUACAGAUUAUUCGUUGCCUACUAUGCAGCAAGCAGAUGCAUUGAAAAUGUUCAUUAAAGAAGACAAGCACCAUAGGCAAUUUCCAUACAUGCAUUGCUGGAAAUUAUUGAAAGGCACAGCUAAGUGGGCAGAUAGGCAGAAGCAGAUGCAAACCCAUAAGACAAGCAGUAAAAAGCAAAAGGUUGUAGCCAAUUCAAGUCCUGCAUCAGCUCCUCCAUUGUUGACCACUGCUACUACCGAUGACAAUCAACAUUCAAAUAAUACACUUCAGAGACCUCCAGGGCAAAAGAAGGAGAAGCAAAAGUUACGGCAACAUUCUAGCAUCGAAGCAUUGGAUUAUCUUUUGGCAAAAAGGAAAGAAGCCGAUGCAGAAAAGGAGUUGAAGAAAGAGGAGAGGUGCAAGAAAGCCUUUGCGUUGCAGGAAGAAAGAAUCAGGUUGGAGAAAGAAAAACUUGAGUUACAAAGCAAACAAUUUGAGUUCAACAAGAAACUAGAAGAAGAGAGGGUUAUGAAUGUCGACACAAGGCACAUGAGUAUUGACCUACAAAAGUACUACGAAGUGCUCAAGAAAGACAUAUGUGCAAGUCGCCUAAAUAAUUAGUACUUGUUCUUAUAUAUUUUGUAGAACUUGGUCUCAGAUUACCACAUUUGCUGUCUCUAUUAAUAUAUUUGUAGUACUUGUUCUCAUAUUGACAACACUUUGAGUUCUACAUGGCUGUUCUGGUCACAAUCAGUUUGACACAUGGCCUUGUGAAGUCUGUUCAGUAACUCAAUGAGAUCAAUCAUGAAUAUAAGAUAAUAUUCUAAAGGUAAAUAAAAUUAUCUAACAAUUAUUUCCAAAUAGUAAAUAAAUUCAUUCAACAAUAAUAUUCUUAUAUAGAUCUGGAUAUAUGAUGUUGCCAUAAGUGCUCAAUAAGGUCGGCUUGAAGCUGUGUGUGAGUUUCCUUGUCCUAGAUGUUCUUGUAGUUUUGAAUGAAUUCAUCUAGUUCAGGUGUACGAGCAUGGGAUAUUUUCACUUUUUCUCCCAUAUCAUCAUAAUUGAAAUCAUCUUCGUCAAUACCCUCAUCCUCGACAAUCAUGUUAUGCAUAAUGACACAAGCAUUCAUGAUAACUGCAAGUGUUUCCUCAUCCCACACACGAGCUGGCUGUCGAAUGAUAGCAAAACGAGCUUGUAGAACCCCAAAUGCUCGUUCAACAUCCUUCCUACAAGCUUCUUGAGCCUUGGCAAAAUAUUUCUUCUUGUUCCCUUGUGGCUCUGGUAUGGUUUUCACAAAUGUAGCCCAAGAUGGAUAUAUGCCAUCUGCAAGAUAAUAGCCCAUUGUAUAGUCGUUCCCAUUGAUGUUAUAGAUGACCUGUGGACCUUCACCUUCAGCAAGUCUUGCAAAUAUAGGAGACCUUUGAAGAACAUUGAUAUCAUUAUGUGAGCCUGGCAUCCCGAAGAAUGCAUGCCAAAUCCAAAGAUCUUUAGAUGCAACUGCUUCUAGAAUUACAGUAGACUCCUUUUUGUGUCCGCGAAAUACACCUUUCCAUGCAACAGGAUAAUUUUUCCAGGUCCAAUGCAUGCAAUCUAUAGAGCCUAGCAUUCCCGGAAAACCUCUACUCUCACCAAUUGCAAGUAGUCUAGCAGUAUCUUGCUCAUUAGGCAAUCUCAUGUACUCAGGUCCAAAUACCUCAACAACAGCUGUGGCAAACCUUCUCAAACUUUCUAGAGUAGUACUCUCCCCAAUUCGUACAUAGUCAUCUGUAGCAUCAGCUGCUACACCAUAAGCUAUCAUCCGAAAUGCGGCCACCACCUUCUGCAAACAAGAUAGUCCUAAGGUACCGGCUGCAUUUCUCUUUUGCACAAAGUAGUCAUCAUGCUCCUCAACCGCAUUCAUUAUACGAACAAACACAUGGCGCCUCAUUCGAAAUCUAUGGCACAAUACAAAUUAAUUUUUUUAGUUAAAGACAAUACAAACUAAUUAGCCAUACAUAUAGUAUAUGUACAAAACAAAAUCCAUAGUACGAGGAAAAAUUUAAAACCUGCGCCUGAAGUGGUCCGGCCCAUAUGUAGGAUCAUCUGAGAAAUAGUCUUGAAAAAGUCUGGAGUGCCCAGAUUGCCUAUCUCGAUCCAAUACACGAUGUCCCUCGAUAGAUCCUCGACGAUUUGGUUCAUUGUCAUUGACCUCUCCAACUAUGUGCGCAGCAGUAUAUAAAUCAUCCCCAUUGUCUGAAGAUGAGGACUCAAGUAUUUUAUUCUGUACAAAUGUAUCGAACUCAUCUUCAGAAUCCAUCGUUGACACAACUUGAGCUAUACGGAACAAGAACAAAUUCCUAUGGUCAACCAGACUAAUUCAAUGUCAGCCAAAUUAUCUGUACAGAUAGGGAAACAUACCUUGUAGAUGGCUGCAAUCAAGGCCCCGUGCAGGCUGCCGCGUGAUGCCUGGCCAACAGCGACGUUGCUAUGGCGGCGGUCCGCCACCACGAUCAGGCUGCUGCGCGUGUUGCCUCUUGCCGCCGUGCCGUGCGGCCGUCGAGUGCUUUGCCUAGCUAGCAGAUCCGGCUUCAAAUAGAUGAAGGGUUGCAGAGUUCGCUUGCGGUGUACGAGCCAGACCGGAUGCGGUCGAUGCAAUCCAAAAAAGACGGGAGAUCAGGUGACGUGGCAUGACUUUGAAUAUAGAGAGUCUUAAUUUAGACAAUCUGCUGGAGUACUCUAGUUUUUUCAAGUAAAACUCAUUAUACAAAAUAGCUAAAUGGCUAAAUUUAGAUAAUUAGUUUAGAUAAUCUCUUGGAGAUGCUCUUAGGCUUCAGUUCGUGGUAAAACCUAUCUGGCUAAAAGUGUGGAGGAUAAGAUUCAGUUUGUUUAGAACUAAAGAAAUAUACUCUUAUAAGGAGAAGCAAGCAAGCAUUAGCCUAGUGUUAGGGCGUUUUCCUGGGCAAUAGAUUGUCCUGGGUUCGAGUCACCAUUGCUACAAUGUAUUUUUGAACUUUUUGCACUUUUUUUUACUUAUUUGAACAUAAUGUUUAUCCAUGUUGUUUCUUUCUUUAUUAAGAUAACAAAAAAAUACUGGAAACAAACUAGCAUUUAUUCUCACGUAAAGUUCUUCCAUGUUAUUAAUUUUUUUAUAAAAAAUACUGGAAACCAAACGCAGAAAUUUAGAAGUGUACAAUUAUGAUGUCACUAAAAAUUAUGUUUAAAUUUAUUCAAAUAUCAAAAUUUACGCCUAUGGUAAGUAUUAUCUUUUAAAGCACAUGCAAGUUCUCUAAGGACAACGCGCGGUAUAAGAGAGAAAUUAUAAUAAACAAAAUAAUUGUAUUGUGCACUCACAAUAUUAUAAAUUAGGCACUAAGAAUAGAAUUUUUCAAAAUGGUCUCGGAUGGGGAAAUGACCAAAAUAAAAUUUGUAGAUAUCAAAAAGUUAUGAGUCUUUGUUGUUAAGAACUUUUCUAUUUGAACUCAUUUAAUUCUCCAAAUUGUUGCUCCAAAUUUAAUUUCACAUUAUUGAAGAACAACAAUUUCUUUUUUAAUCUAUGGCUAAAACUUGUAACUAGUCUCUCUCUCAUACUAACUCCAAAUUUGAUGGUUUUUUUCUAAAUUUUUCUAAAAUCAUUGUCUAUCAAGAUAUUGUGUUCUUACUGAUAUUCUUUUUGUCAUAUUUUCUUGUGUCCAUUUCAAAUUUUGAAUAUAAAAAAUGAAAACUUUGGACAACAUUUUCAAACAUCAAACAAUUUUGACCGAAGAAGUCAUGAACAUAAAAGUUGCAUAACUCAUCAAGAUCUAUAAUUUUUGUAUUGGUCAUUUUUUCAUACGAUAAAGUGAAAGUAAUAUUGUUCAGAAAUCUUAGAUAUCUCUCUUGUAGUUUAUGAAACUACAAGAGAUAUAUAAGAUUUAUGAAUAAUGUUACAACCACCAUAUCGGAUGAACAAAUGACCAAAAUAAACUUUGUAGAUCUUCUCAAAUUAUUGCAUUUUGCAGUUGACAACUUUUUGAUUUGAAUUUAUUGUGGUAAGGAAAACGUCGUUUGAAUUUAUCUAAUUUGAAAUUUGAUUUUUCAAAUAACCUCUGAUGAAAAAAUAACCAAAAUAAAUAUUGUAGAUCUUAAAAAGUUAUGAAACUCUAUAAUUUACAACCUUUUGAUUUGAAAUCAUCUUGUCAUGCAAAACUAUAUUUGAAUAUUGAAAUAUAAAGGCCGACAGUGCCACUAAAACCGUUGGUAAUUGUUUGUACAGUCGGCUAUUCAAUGCAAAGACCGACGGUGUCACUGAGACAGUUGGCAAAUAACCUUGCCCUCUCGGCAUUCUAGUAUAGUGCUCGACGGGGCGACAUCUAACGCUCGGGAAUAGUGUGUACCGUUGGCUAUUUGAUACAAUUAACGAAGGUGUCACUAAAAACCGUUGCAAUUUAUUUGGCCUGUCGGCCUUCUAGUGCAGUGCGCGAUGGGUCGACAUGUAACCCUCGGAAAUAGUGUGUACUGUCGGCGAUUUGAUACAAAGCCCAACGGUGUCACUAAGACCGUCGGCUAAUAUACUUCCCUCUCAGCCUUUUAGUAUAGUGCCCGACUGGUCGGCAUCUAACGCUCCGGAAUAGUGUGUACCGUCGGCUAUUGGACAUAAAAGCCGACGGUGUCACCUAGACCGUUGGCUAUUAUACUUCCCUCUCGGCAUUCAAGUGUAGUUCCUGACGGGUUGAUAUCUAACCCUCGGGAAUAGGUUGUACUGUCGGCUAUCCUACACAUGAGUGACAGUGGACCUUAUAACCGUCGAUCACAUAUUCACUGUUGGCAUUCACGGUUUGGCCAACUAACCGUCGGCUAUUAUACUUCCCUGUCGGCAAAGGUUGUGUUUCUAGUACACAAACAAAACAAAUAUAGCGCACCAGCUUAACUCAUUCUAACUACAAGAGCUUCCAACACCAACACCAGUCAUCUAGCACAUCACUGAGUGGGAGCAGUGAAACACUCAUUUCUACUUCUAACAAAUGGAGCUAGAGAGCCGAUUUGUACCAAUAAAAAUGCAGGUUGGAUUAUGAUGAAAUCACUAGUAAAAUAUCUAGGGUUAAGAUGGGGUUACGGUAGAACCACAAUCCAUUAAGUCUUAAGUAUGCAUGAAAACUCUCUCUCUCUCCAUAUAUACACCAAAUACCUUGGUGUGGCCCAGAUAGUACAGGCCACUGGAUUCUGGUGUGUGUUGGUACAGAGUGUUAAUAUAUGAGCGAACUGAUUAUAGAUUAUCUAGUGGGGUUUCUUGUGGUGGAACCUGUUCACCCGGGUUUAAGUCCCUGAUUUGAUAUGGGUGCUCACAUUUUCGUGAAUUUAUUUCACAAUUUAACGGCAUUAUGCUUUCAGUGGUAGGCGACGUGCCCGUUGACAACGAGGCGCCUAUAGUGACUUCGUCAAUCUCGAGAUUUACCGGUCUAACUCGGUUCUUCAGAGGUGCUCAUUGGGGUAGGGUGUGCGUGCGUACAUUUAUAGGGGUGAGUGUGCACUCGUGUUUGUGAGCCUCUGUGUAUGUCACCGGGUCUCGCAAAAAAGAGUGUUGACAUAUGAAGCAACGUCAUUAUAUUAGGAAUGAAGUUUUUUAAACAAAUGCAGACCAAAUCUUUCUUGCAUGUAUUGUUUAAGAGAAUGCACUGACUCUGGAUGUGGGUGCAGUUACAAUGCUAUGAGGAACACAAGCGUCGGGUGUAGUACCACAAUUAGGGGUACGUGAAAGGACCUUGAUGUCGCUUAGAGAGCGGUGAAUAGGCGUUUCUGAAAUAUAUUAACAAUUUAAAACAUGCAACGGACUAGUAGAGCAUGGAACCUCCGGGCUGAUACGCGGAACCUCCCGGACACGGAACCUCCGGGCAGCACAAAGUACUCAGCUGCUACACCUAGAGAUCAAGAACUCAAGCCGAACUUGAAGAUGUGUUUGUUGAUACCCAGUGGCAAGUCCGCGAAGUACCUGAACUCACAAACACUCACAACCAAAUAGAUCGAGUGAAACAUAAAUAAUACAAUUUGAAAUACGAGACAAGAUACAUGAUUUAUCUCGUGGUUCAGCUCGCCACUAAGGCUGACCCAGUCCGCAUUUUUUAGGAAGCCACAAAGGCUUUGGGUCUCUUCCAACCCUAUCCUCUUCUCAAGUUCAACACCGAGAUUGAGCUUGAGGGUUUCACUAAGAUCUCUGGGUAAUACAGACUUUCCACGGCUCAGCUCAAGAGUAACAAAUACGCAACGAAUGCUUGACGCAACCCAACAAGUGCUCAAGGGUUGGUUAGCUCUUAAUUGCUCUCUAACACUUGAUUAACCACUAAUCACCCACUCUCACCAGAGGGGUUAGAGAGAGCUCUCACAAGGCUCGACAUAGGUUGAGAAUGAAAUGGGAGCCAGCAGCACGACCAAGAGAUGUGGAAUGGCAAAAACUAGUUGUUGGAGGUCAAAACUAGCCGUUAUGACCUACAGACCCUGGAACCUCCGUGUAUAGGCACAGAGCCUCCGUGCAAUCACGUGGAACCUCCGCAGGUCUACAGGAUAGCACAAGUCACCAUACGGAAAAAUUCAUAACUUUUUACUUUAAACUUCGUUUUUGGUGAACUUGGACUCUCUAGAAAGCUUAUUUCGAGGGCUAUCCAGCCCAGCAGGGAACAAGCCCUAAAACCAACAAGUGCAAGUGUUAUGCAAAUGUGUUUCUCUCAUGUUAGUACUUGGGUUUAGUUAGUUUGAGCACUUGAGACUUGUCAAUGAUUCGUAUUGUGUUGGUAUUUUUAACAACACUUCACGUUAAGUUGUUAUCCCUAACAUGAUGUCAAAAACUAGAGGUAAAAAUUAAUCUACACGCAACAACUCUAAAUAUAAUAGUAUAGAACAUAUCCACAAGCGCACAGAUAAUUCUCCCAUUGUAGCACUUCACCCACUAAGUAUUCCGAGUAUCGUUGAUUUAUUUUAUGCCAAAAGGAUAAAGAUAUAAACUAGUGGAUCAACAAUUAAACCAAUGAACAUAUGGAUAAACAAUUUAAUUAUAGGCAUUAAUAAUGAAGAUAAAUGUGUAAACAUAACCAAUAACUCUAAUACUUUAGCAAUGAUAAGUCAAUAAUGAUAUGAUAAAUGAUAACUGAAUAAAUAAAGUAAAUGGUAUUCCAGAGAUAGAAUAUAGAGACUCACUAAUAUAGAUAGACUAUCUUGAGAUUCAACUAGAGUAAAAGAAACCUAUGUAAUUACUAAAUAUAAAGUCUACAGCCUACGCUAUAUUACACAUUAUUAUUUAUAGAAGAACCACUCAGAAAACAUCAUAAGGAGCAUCAUUUAAUGAGGAUAUUAAGACACGGGGGUCACCUCCUUCAUGACCGCGCUCUGCUAGUCCUACGUACGGGGGGUGGACUAUAGAGGAACCAACGUAGCUAUCACCUACUCGGACUACCACACGACCUGGCACGUCAGGGUGCCUCCGUAGGUACAAUAUGUAUCUAACACCACGUCUACAUAAUAUGCACCAUCUAACUCACUCGAGUACUGAACUAGGCUCUUUACGAUCAAAUGACAAUAAUCAUCAUGAAUUACAACUAUAUCAAAGAUGCAACUAGAAUAGACUAAGUGCUGAAUAAAUAGCAAUAUAUUGAAAUAGAGCAAAGUCAUUUUGAGAUACAAGAUAUAAUACCGAUCUCCCAGACGAACGGAUCUAGAAUCCUGAGCGUAGCGCCCAACUCUACUUGGACCUUGCUAGACGUCUAAACUAUGAACUUGAAGAACUAGAGCUCUACUUCUAAUCUCUGGAAACCCUAAACUUCUAUCUACUCUUGACAAAUGAACAAGAGGAAUUGUGGCUCUCUUCUGGAGGAGGGUCUGCCACUUUAUUUAUAGUCCAGUGGGGUCGGUGUGCGCCAUAGGAUCAAACCAACCUAACACACGGCCGAGAUGCAUCCUAGGAGGCGGUGGAGGAAGCUUCCAGAAGCGAGGGCCAGGAAACCCUAGGGGGCGCCGACCAGUGCCAGGUGGGGCUGGCCGGCCACACCCUGUGGGUCCCCAUGCCUCGCCUUUUCUCAUGUGUUCCAGAAGGUUCCCCCGAUCUGAUGGCGGUUGAUUUGCUUCACAAUCAAGUUUUGUGAUUUUUAUGCAUUUUAAUCCCUCUUUUUGGCCUUUUCUAGAUGAAUACCUGGAAAACAGACAAUUCACCGAAACUCGUGGAACCUGUCAGUAAUAACCCCUAUGAUUCUAUUAUUGAUCUCUUUUUAGCAUUAGUUGACGGUAUAAAAUUGGUACUUAAGAACCGUCAACAUAUUGCAUCCUCCUUCAUAAUACGACAUACCUAUACUCAAGAUAAAGAGAAUAUAACUAUUUCAACCACUUGAGUCUUCAAUGUAUUCAUACGCCAUUUCUUCUCAAUAUCACCUUAUGAGGGUUUGCAAUCACCUUUGUCUUAUCUCUUUGAGCAAACUCACCUUGAGCAUGUGACUUGAAUCAUUUUCACACAUAUGAGUUUAAUUCAUGGCUUCAAGUCACUUUCACUAAUGAUUUUAUCCUCAACAUGACAUGACUCCUCAUAGCUUGAUUAGUUCCUUGACUCAAUGCAAGUACUCUCUUCUUCACCUUAGCCAUGGUACCUCAGUCCUCAAGCCAUCGCUUGCUAGUCCCUUGAAGCCCUUUCCUUGCUAUCUUCAUCUUAUAAAGCUAUAUUCAAGUCACAUCAUACUAAGCAUCCAUUGAAAACUAUUUAAUAAAUAUUGUGAUCCUUGAUUGAAUAUCUGGAUAUGAAUGUUGAGAUCAAUCAAGCUUCAAUUUGAUUCACAUAGAGACAUAUAUGAAUCAACAUCAAUAUAAUCAACCAAUUCAUGAUUCCUUAUAUCCUUUUCAUUUUGGCUUGAUAUUUCUACACUCACAUCAAUCUCUAUCUUCAUACUUCUGGCUUGAUCAAAUCAAUGCAAAGUGAUUUUUGAAAUCUUUAUCCAUACAAGCAAACUAGAUAUAGAGAUCAACUUAUCAUAUACUCUUAUAAAGAUAAACCUCACUAGAUGAUUUCUCUAUUCAUGCAAGGUGUCCACAUCAUUUUCCACUAAGUCAUCACACUCAAUGUUAUAUAUCUUCAUGCAAGGUGUCCACAUCAUUCUCCACUAAGUCCAUGUUAUCCCAUAUUAAUUAUAAAAAAUAUUUGUAUCAUCUCUAUCAUGUGAAGUACUUUAAAUCUUUAAUCUAUUAACAUACAAGUCAUUUACAUACGCUAUUUGUUUCAUCACCUAUUCCUCUACUAUAUAAAUAUUUUUUUACCAAAUCUGAUAUAAUAAAAUAACAUGAAAGUCAAAUUCAUAAUAUUAUAUAGUAAUCGUAUGUAUAUAACAAAUUUAUUUUUUAAGAAAAUCCCACGGCAACACGCGGAGUAUACUCCUAGUAUCCAAUUUUAGUUGUGUCAUUUGUCAUUUGACCUUUGCUUGACAUUUCCUCACUUAUGCAUUCUUGAUUCAUCUUCAAAGUGAUCAAAUCUCAUUCACUAUCAAACUCUUCUUGUUCAUGCGAACCAAGCCACACUUGAGACCAAUCCAAAAUCAUUCACUCAUGUCUCUUUUGCCAUUUGCCAAAUAUGCUUACUUUGUCAUGAUACUAUGAUAUCCCACAAUAUAGAAGCCAUUUCAUCAACUCUAUUUGCAUUGUUGUCUUCUUUUUGAACUAGAUUAUUUCCAUAAUCUUCCAACAUAACAAUACUCAAUUUUAGCUUUCAUUUCAACAUUAUGUGGAAUACCAUCAAACUUGCCUUCUUGCUGAACUUUUGAUACAUCUUGUUAUGCAAUAUUCAUGUAUAUGCAAUAUGCUUAAUUUCCUAUUCAACACUUAGCAAACUUAUUAGACCUUUAAUGGUGUUGUCAUUCAAUUCACUAAAACCCACUAAAGGGAUAGAUGCACUUAUAAUACCCAAAGUCAGGGUAGAAACUCCCACAUAUUCACCUUAGGGGGUCAACCCAAAUGAGCACAUACUACUUGCUGUCUCGCCCGAGGCCGAGCCUUGAGGCCUCAGACUCACUUGAGGCUCAUUACUUUUUCCGCCUCACCCGAGACCGAUGUUGUACGAGACUAACGAACUCUGACUCGCUUGAGAUCGUCCCGGACAAGUCAGCCACACAAUCUCUGCUCCCCCACCCCAGGACUCAAAUACCUUCCUACCAUUGGUGUGCUCAAGACCCUCUGUGACGUUAACCAUGAUGCCACGAUAGAGACGCAGUAUGACCCGACGAGACAAGGGUCAAAUCACCUCUCCUCCCACGACUACACAAGACAUAGUCUGACCACCACUAUGCCACCGACUCCCAUCACUGUGUGUACGGCUAAGGUCCAUGCGGACAUGCAGGUGUGAAAGCCCAAGUUUGAUUUUGGUAAUUAAUGACACCUAGUUGCUAAUGUCAAUGUGUUAAGUAAUUUGAGUUAGGAAUAGCAACAUAAGUGAUGAAGGAGAAAUAUGACAUGGAGUGGUGGACACAUGAUCAUAAAGAGAUGAAGCAUGAAGUGGAGAUCAUGGUGAUAGACAAGAAGUAAAGUGAUCAAGGCAAAGGUAUAAACAUAGGGUUUUGCUUUUGUCGAUCUAAGUUGAGUAGAGAAGUGACUGACCAGAUUUAGGAUAGAUAGCUGACUAUUGAGAGGGGAAAUCAUGGUCAUCUCUCGAAUCAAGUGCUACUAGGUCCAUAUCUUGAGCAUAUGUAUUAGGAUAUAGUAAAGUGCUAACCUAACUCCUUUGAUGAAAAUGUUUGUGAAAUGCUAAACACAUGCACAAUGGUGGUGGACACUUGGUGGUGUUAGCAUAUUUGCAAAAGGAGGUGAAGUUCUUAGGGUAGAGAGGGGUUUGGGUUCCUCUCUCCCUCCUGCCAAGCUUGCGAAGUGGGAUUCGAUGCUUCGAAAAAAUGAAAUGCAUAUUUUUCAUUGCACUGGAGGAAGUUUUCUGAAAAGUCAUGUGAGUGUUUCUUAGCGAGAAACACUCGUCGAACGCUGGGCCAGAUAGCGUCAGAUGCUAGACUCGUGUCCAACGUAUGCAGCAUAGUGAGGCGCAACUCAAACUGUGUGUCAGAGCAUUCGAUACUCACACUGUAGCAGUAGGGUUUCAUCUGUGAACUCACCGAAUGAUGAGGCUGCAUCUGAUGCCCCUUUGUCGGACACGUUUGAUGGCCCUACUAGUUUGCAAACCUCUCUAAGUAGCGUCUGGUGUGAGGCGGGGCAAACCUCUCUAAGUAGCAUCUAACACGUCCGACGCAUGCUCCAAAAGUUUGUUAAUGUUUGUUAAUGCUCCAAGAGAUUAACGGUCCAAGUUUAAGGAGAGACACAUGGUAGCGCUCUAAUGAGCGAGGUAGGUGAGCGUGAGACGCUCAACCGCAUCUGACAGGGUGGCAUAAGAGCAUCUGACGCCCUCGCAGAAAGCCCUAACGGCUAGUUGUCAGGCUAACCUCUUUAAAUAGAAGGUGGCCAGCCUUGGGAGCUUCUCUCUUGCACUUUUGAACACUUGAGACAUACUUUGAGCUAGAGAACACUCUCUCCACUCAUCUCCUUGCUUGAUUGCUAAGUGAGAUUCAAGUGCAUUGCUUAGUGAGUUGCAUCUAGUGGCACUUGAUCCUUGAGUUUGCUAUGGAAUUCUUGUUACUCUUGGGUGUUUCCUGACAUCCUAGACAACAUGGAGUAGUGGAGGUGUUGAGCUCGUGAUUGGAGAUUGUUUUGAGCCUCACCAAGUGAUUUGUGAGGGGUUUUUGAGCCUUCCCCAUAGGAGAUCGCAAUUGGCUACUCUAGUGGAUUGCUCAUGGCUUGGAGGAUCCCCAUCUUGUGAGUGGAUGUGCGGCACCCGCUGAGGGUUUGGCUUUAGAUUGUCAAUAGCUCGUGAUCCAUCAAGUGGGUGUAUCGCCACAACGAGGACUAGCUUGCCGGAAAGCAAGUGAACCUUGGUAAAAAAUCUUGUGCCAUCUCUUGCCGGUGGAUCCUCUCUUGUGGUUGUGAUUGUUAGUGAUUCUUUGGAUAUAUCUUUACUCUACAACAUAGGUAUAACAAUCACUCUCCACUCGUUUACUUGCACUUCUUACUAGUUGUUUAGCUUGUGUAGCUUAGUCUCCUUGUUUAGGAGUGUUGCUAGCCCUUAGUUGUAGUUUGUUGUUGUGACUUAGUGUUUAGGCUUCUUGCUAGACUUGUGUAGGUGGCUUACAUAGUUUAGUUGUGUUAGUGCUAGAAUAGCUUCGCCAUUUGUUUUACUAACCAACUUGUCUUAUUGAGAUUGUAGAAAAUUUAAAUAGGUAUUCACCCCCUCUAGCCAUUUGAACCUUACUAGGUGUCAUUCCAAGCUCCUGUGCCCACGAACUCGCUAGAGUUAGAGCACGGCUUCCAAUCCAGCAUGGCUCAAGACGACGACUAAAGCGCGAGCACGCCAUGCACUAUCGCCAUAGGUGCCGCGGAGAGUGAAGGAUAGAGACCAUACCUCUACUAUGUCACGCCAUGCCUCUACAGUGUGAAGAUACAGGGCCUCGGAUCAGAUAGGAAAUAAUAUGAUACACAUACAUGUAAAUCCUGCCUCUCCUUGCAACUAUAAAAAGAAGGGGCAGGGGUCAUUCCUAAGGGGACUCUUUUGGUCUUUUGGUUCACAAACGCCACAACAUUCCCAAAUCUACAGAUAACACUCAACCUCAAGACCUAGGAAUAACUCCCUCUCUCACUGAGCUUGUAACCCCUACUACAAGCACUUCGGUGCAAUAUAAAACAAGACGUCCUCCCCCACUAGAUGUAGAGCAUUCCUUGUCUAAACCAGUAUAAAUUGUUUGUGUUCUUCUUGCGCACCAUACGGAUCGAAGGCACGCAUGUAAUACCCGAUUUUAAGGACAAAAUCAGAUAUGCACCUUAUGUGAGUCUUAGAAGUCAAAUCUCACAUAUAGCUACAAAUAAGGGGUAAUAUCAAAAGACAAUGCAUAAAUAUAACGUACAUAGAAUUAAAGAGAUAACCUUUAGUAACAAACAGCGGAUAGACAACUCCAACUUCGGGUAUUAACUUCUCUCUAUAGGAUCCAACUGACUGGUUGAUCACAAACCUAGACCAUCUCCUGAAGUGUGGAGAAAAUAGCAAGAGUGAGUCCAUGUCGAACUCCACAAGUAUAGCAACUAGAUUGUAUAAAUCCCACAAUCUCAUGAUCAAUGUGACAUAAAUAAUGUAAAGCAUUAAACAAUAAACAAUGAGCAUAUUUAACACACAAGAUUCAUCACCCUUAAUAUAGAUGUCCCGAAGGCCGCUUCUGACUGUGAGCUUGGCUAGUAUACUAGUUUUAACACUCUGCAGAGGUUGUACAUCUUUACCCAUGAGUCAUGAUUUAUCCUUUCGCCCGAGGCCCAUCGACCUCUUAACCCACUAUGAAGCCUUUCAAAAGUUCAUCAAACAUGUUAGGGCCGCAAGGUUUCCUUCGCGAGCAGAUAUAGAUACCCCCUUCCGAAUGACACAAUGACGCGCAGCCUAUACACAUAGGGACAGGGGCUCGCACUAUACCCGUGUCGGUUCAGCCCCUCUAGCACCCUUUCGGGUAACCUCUAACAAGAUAGAAAAGGUCUUCAUACUGAGCUAAAGCCAGAGCCAUUAUAGCCCUCAUGGUUGCAACGUUGUCCCGGUUAUCACUUACGAAUAAAUCAUCAAGUGGCUAAAAAGUCAUUUUUAUCAUUUAUUACUUAACAUUAAUCUAGUCACACGAUCAUGGUCACAGAAUUAAAACCCAAAUGCUAUACUUGCCUUGAUCCAAAUGCUCUUGCUGAUCUUGCUGGUUUUACUGAUUGUCCAAAGCUCACUGAAGCAGUGUGGUUCACCAAGGAUUGCUCAUCGUCUAAUCUCAAUCAUCGAUCACACAAACAAUCGAAGAAAACAUAUACGAAGCAAACAAGGCUACAAUUAGAACAGUACACCAAACAUAUAAAAACAGUAUGAAAAGUUUAUAAAAUGAUUCUACGCAUCGCUACGAGUUCAAAGACGUAAAGUUCACAAAAAUCGGAGUUAAAACGGUGAAGUUAUGAAUUUUCUAAGAUUUUAUAUAAAAUAAUAAUUAAUUAUAUAGGGUCACAAAAUUAAAAAGGUUUCAAACUGAGAAAACAGUGUUACUAACAUGUAGAGCUCAUGAUUAUGAACCUAACGCAAUUUGAACGAGUCAAAACAGAAUUAAAAUGAAUAAUUUAUGAUCAAUUUAAAUUCAGUGGUAAUUCUAUAAAUAGCGAAAACGUAAUUAGAACUGAGCCGAGAGAAAAUACGCUUUCAAAAUUGAGAAACGGCUUUCCCAGGUGACGCCAAGGACCGCGGGUUGGACAUUGAAUCUUCCAGGGCUCUUUAAGAAAAAGACGCAGCGAAGGGGUACGUUUUAAUUUCAGCCAUCCGAUCUACAUCCGACGGUUCAGAGUCCUUCCAGUGACUACUCCGGCCGGCCGGCUUCCUUCCUGAGCUCCGGCGCGGCCAACCACCAUGCCCGCCGCCGUUGAAGCUCACCGGGGUCGGCGUCUUCUUGUUUCCGUGCACCAAAAACAAAACCGCGACCAUGGAGAGAUGGAGGAGCGUGCGACGAGCUCACCUAGCCACUUUGCAAGGGCCGAGAGGAAGCGAGGAGCUCGCGCGGCGCGAUGGAUAAGCUCGGUCACGGCUAGAUCCCGAAACGCGAAGGUGACGGCUUCUAGGGCUUUGAUUCGCGACUUUAGAUGCAAACAAAAUCUGUGGCUUUGGAGGAGGAGCUUUAUAGGGGCUUGGUUGGCGAAAAGGGCAAGGCGAUCCCACUGUUUUCGGAAUCGAAAUCGGCUGCGCAGAGUUCAUGUCGACCACGGUGCAGGGAAGGGGAUGGAGGCGCUGUCCCCGGGGCCCCACGCGUCAGCGAUAGGAGAGUGGGACCCGGUUGUCUGUCACCGAGAGAAGAGGGAGGGGGAAGCUUGGGCCUCGGCUGCUGGAUGGGCCGUCGCUGCGACAUGGGUCGAGAGAGAGGGGACAAAAGCUGGGCUAGGGGAAAACGGGCCGCACGCUGGGUGGCCAGGCCGCCCGGAUCUGGGCCGUGGUGAGGAACUGGGCCGCGCGAGGGGGAAAGGGGAAAGGGAGGGAUUUUGGUUUUUUUAUUCUUUUAUUUCAAAAGCCAUUUGAAACACAUUUUUUUUAAAAAAAAUCCUUUUAAAUCAUUUUGAGUUUUGAGUUCAAAUACACUCAGCACAAUAAAUAAAAUGCAGGAGCAUGAGUGCACAAAAAUGUUGCUACACCCUAUGAUAAAUUUUAUUUUGAUGAAGAAUAUUACUUUCCUAUGUUUCAUGAGCACAAAAAUACAAAAUUAAAUCAUUUUAGCUCUAUUUUCCAGAAAACAAUUUUUAGGGUGUUACAACGCACAUACAAAUUUACUAGUUGAUGUAGAGACUGUAAGUCUAGACAUCGACAACAAAGAUGUACUCGAGGAGUCCGCCUUGUUGUUCUUCACAUCAAAUGGAUGAUUGGCCUUCAUUAGUCUAAACUUUCGGGUGUCCCUUUAAGCUUCGUGUUUACUUGUAAGAACUCAACGAACUUGUGUUGGGUGUUGCAACUCUGUAAUAAUGGCCUAAUUCUAUAUUAUGUACUCCCUCUAUACCAAAUUAUAAAACAUUCUAAGAAUCUUUGAAAAUCAAAGCAUCUCGAGUUUGACCAGGAUCUAUAUGAUAAGAUAAUAAUAUUUAUUAUACCAACUAAGUAUCAUUAGAUUCUUUAUUAAUUAUAUUUUUAUAGUAAUACUUAUUUAAUGUUAUAAAUCUUUGUAAAUUUUUUUAUAAUUUUAGUCAAACUUGAGAUGCUUUGACUCUUCAAAAUUCUUGAAAAUGUCUUAUAAUUUAAAAUAAAGGGAGCAGACAAAGUUGGAUAUUAACUAUUAACUAUUCUUUAUCUAAAAAAAUAUAGUUUGAUAGGCACAUACCUCUAUGUACGUUUUAAUUUGUCAUUCUCAUAAUGGAGCAGUCAAACAAACUUAACUUUAAUCCAUAUAUAUAUAUAUAUAUAUAUAUAUAUAUAUAUAUAGAAAUUCCUUUGUACACGUACGUGUAGUUACUCUCAUCUUCAAUAAACUACAUUGUGUAUGUAUUCAUACUUGUUUAUCAGUUUGAGUAUGUUUAUAUACUCAUAUUAAGAUACUCUAGAUCUUACCACGCGAAAUUUUUUUUAAAAAAAAUUAUAUUUUAAAUAUAUUAUUAAAAUGCCACUACUAUAUUAUAUACAAUAAGUAUAACUAUAUACUCUAUGUAUGUAUGCAUAUUUAAUAUACAUAUCACUUUAGAUAGUCUAGUAUGAUCAUAUACUUUGUCUAUAUACAUUUUGUCCGGUCAUAUACACUUUAAAUCUAAAGAUACAUAGAUGAUAGUAACUACACGCGCGUGUAAAAGAAACGCGUCUAUAAUAAAUAUGAUUGGAUUAAAUAUUAUACAUAUACUUUUAAUGCCCUUUGUUACAGUGUCCACUAUUAACUGUCUGCUUCGCGCCAAAGAAAUGCUUUGCUGAUCUUGUUAACGACACCUACUCGUAAAGCCUAAUAUUGUAGGUAGCUUCGAGAUAUGGCAGUGUGCAUUCCAUCGAGCACGUGAUGAGCAAUUUAGCCAUACCAUCGAGCACGUGAUGAGCAAUUUAGUCGAACACAUGCAUCAACGAGCAACGGAAGACCAGGCGAAGCUUUGCUCGUGUUGUGCGGAUCUCGCUCCUCAUCUGGGAGGAGCUCCGGCAUGCCACCACCACGAGCAGGUGCGCUGGCCGAAAACAAGAGCACACGCGAAUCAGGGCGCCCACAUCCUGCAUCUGCGAGGAGUGAGAUGGAUGGAUCCAUGGCCGCCGUGCAGUUUUUCACCUCUCCCUCUCGCUUUUUACACUUUCCCUCGCGGAGCUUCGCCAUCCCUGGUGAGCAUCUCUUACGUCGGUCUCCUCGCCCUUCCCCUGGCGUGCGCCGCCAUUCCGCAGGUCCUGCCGCCGCCGCCGCCGCGCGGCUAACCACGCCGAGCCCCGCGGCCGUGCCACUGGGCUCCGCCUCCGGCGCUGCGGGCACCCGCCGCGGACGCGGGGAGGCCGGCUGGUGACCGCCGUGGCCGGGGAAUCGCCCGGCCGGUCUCCCUCCUCUGCUCCUGUGGGUUGGGGAGAGGAGCUGGGGCUCGAGGUGAGAAGGAGGGUAAACUUAGAGGGGGGUUUUGCAAAUUCGCCUGACAGGAAGAGUUUUAUUUUUUUGCACAAAUCGGUUUGUGAUUUCCUCGGGGUCCAUCCUGCAAAGUGCUCGGGUAGGAGCUUGGUGGGCUGCUGGCCGCGCGGGCCUCUUCCUAGGCCUCGCCCUCGUGGGCCGGCUCACCGCGUUGGGGCAGUGCGGCUUAGGCCACCGAGGUGGGGCAGGCGCAGGCCGCGGGCCUGGCUUUCCAUAGGAAAACUCGUUUUUCCUUUUUCUUUUCGUUGGAAACUUCAAUAAUUGACCAAAAAUCAUAGAAAAUUUAGAAAAAUGCCAGACCAGUUUUGUUAGCUUCCUACAAUUAUGGUCUAUCCAUAAAUAUUUAUGUACCUUGUUAGGAUAUGUUUUUUCAAUAGGUAUAAUAAUUCAUCCUUGCUUUGCUGCAUGCAUAUAGGUAGGGAUGAAAACGGAUCACAUACGGACGUAUAUCCUUGAUAUCAUAUUUGUUUUUAUAUUUCUGGUCGGAUUCGAAUUUGAAUACGGAUAAUGUCAACCAUGUCGGAUAAGAUACGAUUGGAUGUCGACAUCAUAAAUAUACAAUUUAAAUAUUCGGAUUCGGAUACAGUAUCAGAUAUUGAAUAUUCGAACUCGGAUACGGACAGAUCUAAACCCCUCUAAACGAAUUCGGUCUCAAAUACGGUCGGAAAAUAACCGUACCGCUUUCAUGCCUACAUAUAGGUGUCGCGGUGACAAGAACAUGCCAAAGGCAGACCUAAAAUACGAGCAGGUGUUAGAGGAGUAUGGGAGGAGUUACUUGUUGAGAUGUGUUUAAAUCCUUUCUCGAUGCAUAACCCUUAUUUUUAUAAGUAAUUAUUAUAAACAUGUUAUAGGACUUGCGUUAGAGAAGUCGUGUGAUGUACUGUUACUCGUGAGAGAUAGGUCCUACUGUCUCAUGGUUUUGGACAUGGAUAAUAAUUAGAGACACGAAAAAACCGAUACUUUGGAUUGGAACUUAAUUGAGCAACAGAGCGAGGCUCUGGUUGCAUUAGUCUUGCAUGUGUUGAUCAGGAAGGUAUGGUUGGGUAGACCGAUGGAGCAUCUCUAAGAGCUCCCAAUAUCCACUUUGUAUUCUAUAUUUUUUUGGCAAAACCAUAAAUUCUCAUCUCCAACAACUUGAUAUAUGCACUUGGUAUUUUGUCAACUUGGAAAAGAGGAGGCUCCGCGCGCGUAUCCUUCCGCACGCGUAGAGAGCGCGCAUCGGCGUUGUAGUACUGAAAUGGCCGGCAAAUAUAUGUGCAUGCAUCGAUCUGCUGCUGUUGACAGACUGAUGUCCGUCAGUACUGUUGGACGGCAGUUGCAGGUGGACGGCAAAUCUGCUUGACGCGACUGACAUGCUGACAGAUUGCGAGAUAAUAUUCAUCGACAGAAAGUACUUCCUCCGUCCCAAAAUAAGUAUCGUUUUCGUUUUCCGAGAAAUAACUUUAACUAAAUAUAUAAUAAAAAGUAUUAGUAUUUAUAGUACAUAAUUAGUAUCAUUGGAAAGAUCUUUAAGUAUAGUUUUUUAACAAAUUUAUUUAGAGAUAUAAAUAUUGCAUAUAUUUUUUAUAAAUCGAGUCAAACUUGUGGCACAAAAACCUAAAACGACACUCUUUUUGGGACGGAGGGGGUACAAAAUAUUCAGCGACAGAUAUCCAACCCUGAUCCUGACAACGACAUAUUCAAAUAAAAAAUACAAUAGAGUGAAACUGUGGCCUUGUUUAGUUCACCCUGAAAUCCAAAAUCUUUUCAAGAUUCCUCGUCACAUCGAAUCUUACGCCACAUGCUUGGAGAUCUUUUAAGCCUAGUUACUCUAUGAUUGGAUAAUGUUUGUCAAAUAAAAACGAAAGUGCUAGUUCUAAACAAGGCCACAUCAUAUGUGAAAAUGAAGAUUAUCUCAUGCAUAUUAAUGUUGUCUCAUACAGAGAAUAUUGUCUCAUACAUCGAAUAUUAUCUCAUACAUAGAACAUUGCAACUAGGAACAUUGUCGCAUACAAAGAUAUAAUAUUAUCUUUGUAACAAGAGUCCACUAUCGCAGCAGCAGAUGCAAUGAAAGAGUCAUCAUCAUCGGACCUGAAACGACGCCGUAGGAAGGAGGACGGUCGCGCGGCCUCUGGAUGGAAGAAAAGACCGAGAAUGGAAGGCCCAAGUAACGGUUUGUUAAAGGUGGGCCUAUUUUUUUCAAUUUUUACCAAGCGAGAAUACAAAGUUGUUGGAGAUACAUCAUUUUUCCACUUGCAAAACAAAAUACCAACUUGCUAAAACACAUGAUAUACCAAGUAAAUUUUAGGGAGCUCUUGGAGUUUCAAAUGUACCGAACAUAUAUAACAUAGGCCUUUAAGUUUUUAACAUCACACACUAUAUCUAUUUUUACCGUUAAUCAUGAAGGCAUUCAAAAAUGAUUAAUGGAGGCGGGCAACUCAACUGCCUCCAAUCAUAGGCCUCAGUUAAUAAUGAACAACCGAGGCGAGUAAGUUUGCCCGCCUCUAUUAAUCAAUAACUUUUUUAAAAGAAAAAUCCAACAAGCCCAUUGAUGAGGCCCAUUGAGCCCAUGGGCGAGCCCGUUGGAGUCCAUCUGGGGCGUGUGCCACCGCCGCCCACCAGAUUCUUGCCUAUGCCGCCACCAAGCCAGAUCUGCGACGCCACCAUGUGAGGUAUGAUGUCUGGGCCCACGCUGCUAUGCUGAGCGAGGGAGGGAGCGAGGUACGACACAUGCCCACUGAAAUGUCGCCGCCACUGGAAGGCCACGACCUCCACGUGUGGGAGUUGCCUCCGUGGGUUGGGAUGCGAGGCCAGCUUGGAUCC
rnacentral:lncRNA from 1 species